UUUUUUUUUUUGUAGUGAAUUAUAUGUAGACAGCGUGUGAUGAAGAUGAUCUCAUGUGCAGCCCCUUUAAAAAAAAGUUGUAUAGUUGAUCAACAUUCUUUAUGAAGAAAUUAGGGGAGUUGUUAUCUAUAUUUUGCCACAGUAAAAUGAUUGCACAGCUCUCGUUUAUGUUAUCUAUUAGUGUUAGGUGUGCUAGUUCAAUUUCAAAUAACUGCAAACUCUGUUGCAGAUUCAUUUGUAUGAUGAUCCAUUUGCUACUCUUUCAAUUUCAAAGUUUGCCUUAUCUCAUUUAAAUCUCAGAAUUAUCUUGAAUCAAUUUGAAAUUUGUGUUAUAAAACAUGAUUAUCCCACUGAUGUAAUGAGUUUUUGAUAUGCGUGAUUGUUGCUACCUAGUCUACAUUGAAGCAGUACUCAGAUUGACAAUCCUGUUUUACCUUUGUUUAACAAACCUUUUUUUGAACUAAAUUGGUCACUCCUCCUAUCACACUGUGCUCUCUCUAGCGCUUGAGAGUACUAGCUUUGGAGUCCCUGGCCUAUCCGAUAAGAUAAUUUCUACUAGCUGAGUGACGUUCUGAAUAAUUAAGCCCAUCACUCUAUUAGAUCGAAGAAUUUUGAUAUGCUUUCUCACAGACAUAUAAAAUGUACAGAAUUUUUUUCCAUCUGAAUUUGGAACGGAUCCAGCAUGAAUGGGAAAUGCAAUGGAUCCAGAUAGAGUCACAUUUGAUGAUGAAAUGGUGGCGAUUCGAAGAAAGACAUUGAAGAAUCUGUCAUUCCUUUCACUUAUGUAUCUGCUAAUUGCUUUGUUUUUAUAAGAAUAUGUUAUGAACCAAGUCCAACCCAAUAUGAAUACCAAGGUCACACAAGUAGUUAUUGGGCUGCAAAAAGCUAUUGGGCCGAGAACAAGCAAUAGGACCAGGUUAAUUUGGGAUCCGGGCCGAGUAGUGGAUGUGAGAAUGGUUCAAUCAAAAGGAGCAGCGGUCACUGAUUUAGGGAUGAUGUCGAUUGAAGAAAAUGAUUGUCCUCUCCUCUUCUUCUAGAAUCUAAGUUUCUCAUCCCCAUUCUUAUCUCUAUCUUUAGGUACUUGUUAUUUCAAUAUUUCCAUUGUAUUUCCGUAGUCUGAGUAUUGCAAUCACAAUUCUAAAGUUGUAAUUGCGUUUUAGUUCUCUACUUAAUAUAGUGAGGAAAUCGGGUUUGUUACAUUGGUGCUUUCAUCGUACUCUAAUGGAAGUGGUGGUUUUAGAUCGAUUUAGUGGCGACGCUGAUCCAGAGGAUUGGAUUUAUAGGGCGGAGCGGUACUUCACUUUCCUAGGUUUCUCUGAGGAACACUGGCUGCCUCUUCCUUCCUUCUAUCUUGAUGGUGAGGCCCUUGAGUGGUUCCAUUGGAUGUUUCGCAACAAACAAUUUUUUGAUUGGAAUCAUUUUAAGAAGAAGUUAUCCCUGCGUUUUUGGAAACCAACUGAUGCAAAGUGCCCUGUGGUGGACGUUCAAAUUACCAGAAUUCUUGCCUUGCUACAGAAGAUCGAGGACAAAUAUUCAUUUAUAUCUGUACAGUAUCUAGUAGAAGAUGCCGGGAUUAGUGCUGCUACAGUCCUUAACAAUGAGAUUGCUUCUCCUUUGGCCGAAGAAAACUCAAGUCGUGUUGAUAAUGUCGAGAGUCAUCCAGAAUUGUUUGGCAUUUCUAUCGUGGAACAUUCAAGUCUUGGGGACAAUCUGUCUACCAGAGUUUUCACCAAAGAAGUACAGGAAACUUCUUCCGCCUCUAGAUUUGUAGCUGAUUUGGAAGAUAUUCAGCCACUCAAGUCUCUCAACGAAUUUUUUCAUAGUUGCUGCCCUAAGGUAGUCGUAGAGGUGCAAACCGAGACUCCAAUCAAAAGGCUUGAUGAAGAAUCUGUAGGCCCUGAACGCAGCGAAGUCCAAGUGUUCGAUGAAUGCUCCCCAAAGGAGAUGUCAAAGAGGUACAAUACUACUGCUACUUCGCUGGAUCAUAGCUCUAGUAAACAUAAAGCAUUUGAGACAUUUGGUGACAAAAAUCUUCCAAAGUUUCCCUUGGAGCUUGAGACUAUUAAUGAUCUACAUCUCGAUAAUAUUUUUCUAAAAAUUGAAGAUAACAUUCCACCAAGUAACAUGCCUUCGAAUGAAAUGAUGCUUGUUGUGGAGCGUGGAAUAUCUACUGAAGAAUUCAAUGCUCACAAUAUUUUGUGGCAAUUUUCAUUCAAUCCUAAUAUGAAUUCCUCUAUUGUUUUUGUUCAUGGAACUGUGACGAAUCGUUGUGUAUGGGAUCCGGGAAUUAGUUUCAACUUCAUGGAUCCAACAUGUUAUACAUAUUCAACGAAUGUGGAUCCAUUACAGUCGUUGGGAUAUACUAACAAGUUUUGCUUCAUUGCUUAUGCUAACUUUCUGACUCAAGUGUGGGAUCUCGGACAACAAAGUGUUGCUAAGUGGGAUGUUGCAGAUGAGAUGGUAAUGAUGGAAUCAGAAGUGCAUGAUAUAUACUCUGAGGUGAAUCGUUUGUGUGAUGACAGCUCUGUAAGAGUUGCGUCACGGGAGAUACUUGUACCUUUGGAUAUUAUAUGUCUUCCCAAGUUAUUUCAAUUUCUACAACGACUAUUAGCACAACUCACAGGAGGGUUACAAGGUUGCAUCAAGUCCAUGAUGAAGUUGAUUGAGCAUCUGUUGCGUAAUUUCUCUACGCUUGAGGAUAUCACGAUUUUCUUUGGUGCUCAGGGUGUACUAGCUAGAUAUGCUACAGGUCCUACCCUUAAAUUUGAGCAUAUUCUUGUAUGGUGCUGAUGAAUUCAUUAUUUUGAUAAUGCAUGACCCUUUGGAAUUGGGUGAUAAAACUAUUGACUCCCUCCCAAUUUUUCACUGUAUGAAUUUGCUGCACUACAAGCUUGUGAAAAUAAUCAUCGAAAUUUGGCUAUGAUUUAUAGUGAGGUUGAGUUUGGUUAAAGGUGCUUCAAUUGCUGAUGCUUAUGUUGUUCACAAGUCAGUGCUCGUUGAGAGUAAAAACACUUCUAUCUUGGUUAGUUGUGGAAAGUUUAAAACUAUAACAAGGCUUAUGUGUUACCUUUCCCAUUUCAGUGGCCAUAGAAGUGUUGAAGAGCGCACCGUAGCACAACAGAUUCAACUUGCAGAGCUUGGAAAAGCAUCUGGUGCAGCCAUGAGAACCUCUCUCCUCGCAAGCUCUCGAGCCCUUCUUGUUAUAAUUCUGGAACAUAAACAUCAUUAUCUCUUCCUUCUCUGUGAGACACCCAUGGAGGUAAACAAGAAGUGUAGAUUGAGGGAUCCUGAAUCAUUUUUCUAUCUCCGACAAUCUUAUUGCUAUAAAAUAGCAUAUAUUACCUCUGCUCAAAACUCUGUUAAUAUAAAAGAGAGAAUGACAAUUUUUUGGCUUGGCAAAAGAGAGCAGAUGAUUUCUUUUAGAAUUGUGGCCUCUGUUAUGAUUCUUGGUAAUAUGGAAUUCUCUGAAGGCAAUGAAAUUGUUUCCUCAAUUCUGCAAGUUGACAGUGUUUGGUUUCAACUUUGCACCACUACUGCAGCUCUCUACACACACUCGAGUCUUGGAAGAUUCAAUAUUAUAUUAUCUGUGUGGCUCUACUCGAACCUUGAGGACAAGGUUCUUAUUGAGGACGAGAGUAUUGUUAUGAACCAAGUCCAACCCAAUAUGAAUAUCAAGGUCACACAAGUAGUUAUUGGGCUGGAAAGAGCUAUUGGGCCGAGAACAAGCAAUAGGGCCAGGUUAAUUUGGGAUCCGGGUCGAGUAGUGGAUGUGAGAAUGGUUCCAUCAAAAGGAGCAGCGGUUACUGAUUUAGGGAUGAUGUCGAUUGAAGAAAAUGAUUGUCCUCUCCUCUUCUUUUAGAAUCUAAGUUUCUCAUCCUCAUUCUUUGAGCCUAAGCUUCUCAUCUUCCUUCUAGUUAUCUUCUUCGAUAGUUUCUUUGUUUUACUAGUUCAUUAUCGUUUUGCGAUUUCCUUGUUAGUUCCAUUUUCCGUUGUAACUUUGAGUUUAGCGAAUAUAAUAUUUGAAUGUUCUAUUGUGAAAUUGGAGUUGUUACAUUGGUGCUUUCAUUGAGAGGAAAUCGGGUUUGUUACAGAAUAUUAAUAAAGUCAUGUUCGUUUUUGAAUUUUUUCUCUCAUCAACUGCCUGAAAAAAAUUGGUAUAUUUUAUUUGAUCAUAGUUUACUUGACAUUAUAGCAUGUUUGGUUAAGUUUCUAAGAAACUAAAACUAUUUACGAUGUCUCUACCUUGUUUAUGAAGGAAUUAAGAAUUUUGGGUUCAUCAAGUUGACUGGAAAUGCAUAAUAAUUUUGUUACUAGGACGAGUAACUACAAUUAGAGAGUUGUGCGCGGUAGAUUUACCCAUUUACACUUCUUUCUUUUUAUUUCUUAUAUUUUCACACUAAAUGAAAUAAGAAUAACAACCUCAAAUAAUGAUAAGCAAAUAGAUUUUUAAGGGAGAUAUUCAAAACUCAAAUUAUUGAGUCAAAGAAGUGAAGAAAUAAUUCUAGUAUGAGAAGAAUAAAAAAUACCCAUGAACUAAAAAAAAACAUAAACUUCACUAGAAGGAUCUAACAUACUUAUACAUGAAUUUUUUUUAAUCAUAAAUAAAAAAAAAUUAAAUAUAUUUUCUUAAAUAAAAUUUUAAACUAAUUGUCUCUAUACUUAUAUUUUAGGAAGAGUGCAAUGGCAUAUAAAAUGUUUGUACCUAAGAUAAAACAAUCAGAAUAAUAUACUAAUUGUGGCAAGCGAAAGAGCAAUAUGUUUGGUUCUUUAAACAAACUUCACCAUUGGUUCCGUAUUAAUUAUCACAUAUUUGUUGUUGUUGUGUGCUAUCAAAUAUAGCACAACUCACACGCAUUUUUCCCAAAAAGUAUAUGAAGAAGCCUAUAGAAAGGGACAAAAGAGAAGAUCAAUUUUCAAUCAUCCUUGCUGAGAUUUUUAAUAGAAUUAAAAAGUCACCAAAAUAGCAAAAAGAAAUUGCAAUAGUUACAUGAAUCACUAUGACUUGUAGUAAAAGAUUAAGAUUCAUGAAAUAGGAGGAAGAAACCUUUGAGGAAUGAAACAUACUUCAUAAGAAGCUUAAUUAAUGUAUUUGAAUUCGACUCCCUUAUAACGGGAAAAAACCUACAAAUAAUAGUGGCAAAAAUAGAAAAAAAAAUUUACUAACAAUAAAGUAUAUGAAGAAACAUGUAGAAAGGGACAAAAGAGAAGAUCAAUUUCAAAUCAUUCUUAUUGGGAUUUUUAAUAGAGUUAAAAAAAAAGUCAUCAAAAUAGCAAAAAAAAUUGCAAUAAUUACACAAAUCACUGUGACUUGCAGUAAAAGAUUAAGCUUAAGAGGAAGAAAACUUUGAGAAAUAAAAUAUGUUACUGUUUAUAUAUGAUAUUUCAUAAUAUAAUCUAACAAUUAUUUUUUUGGUCAAAUAUACAAAUGACAACUAAUAAUUUUGAAUCAGACAAAAAAAAAAAAAAAGGUACACACAUAAAAUUAUGAUUUGUAUACAUUAAAUAAAUAUUUUUGCAACUAUUAUGUCUAAGGCUAAUAAUAACAACUUUUGUGUAGGUGUACACAACAAAAUUGGCAAUCAUCUGCUAGUCAUCUUAAGAAAGACAUAUGUUGAUCGAAUUUCUAUACAACUUUUUACAAAACAUUACUCUCAUUCGACAACAAUUUUUUAAUAUGCGUGUAAAUAUGAAAAGGUAAGAAAUAUUUUAAAAUCACAUUCGACAUUCAAAUUAUGAGUUAUGUCAUAUAUAUUAAACAAAGGGAACUUUGUAAAGUUGAAUGUUUGAUAUAUUAUAAGAAUUGCAUAAUUGAAGUUUAUUCUAAUAUUCCUUUUGAAAUUCACUCAACAACAAUAUUUCAGUAUGUCGAGGUAUCUUGUAUUGAUAAUAAUAUUGGUUGAAUAAACUUAUCAUUCAACAAUUUGAGCUUGUAUUUUUAUCUUCAAUUUUUGUGCAACUUAUCAUGUGUUUAUUAUGAUAUUUCCAAAGUAUUUGUACUCAUUAGCAUGGGGGAUACACAUGGUGCAACACAUGUGUUUGAAUAUAUUUAUAUAUACCGUUACAAUAACUCCACGUAACUUAGCAGGGGACACACGUGCUCAGGACAAGUAGGAAUUAAAAGUGUACGAGACUUGCACUAGAAGGUAAAAAAAAAUAGGACAAAUAAUUGAUCCAAAUUGAAGUAAUUAUUUUGUUUUUUGCUGGCGGAGUGAGGAUUUUCAUCGUUAAGAAACGGUGAGAUUCCAUUUUGGUAUAAGAAAGGGAAUGGAAAAGAAAGGUUUAAUCCAAAUCAAAAUAGGAAUAGGGUAAAAUAUAUCAUCAUCUAUAAAUUACUCUCAUUACUAUAGUAUACUACCAACACAUUGCACAUCCAAUGGCGGAGUUAUUGUGGAAGAGAGGCACAACUCUUGGACAAGGUAGUUUUGGUGUCGUCUCGUUAGCUUCUACCUCCAAUGCACUAUUUCGUGGUGUCACUCUUCCCUCUCUCAUUGCCCUCAAAUCUUGGAACUUCAGUGCUUCUCAAUCGUUGAAAGAAGAAGUUGAAAUCCUCCGAAUGUUCAAACAUUCUCCUUACAUUAUUCACUGUUUCGGAGCUGAUGUCUCUUUUGAAAAUAACGUCAAUCUUUACAACUUAUUGCUCGAGUAUGCUUCCGGAGGAAGCCUUGCCGAUCGUCUUCAGAAUUGCAAUUCACUGCCGGAAGUCGAAGUUAAGAAACACACGAAGAAUGUUCUUUUAGGGCUCAGUUGCAUUCACAACAAUAGAAUCAUUCACUACGACAUCAAGCCUGGCAAUAUUCUCCUAGUAGGCAGAGACAAAACUGCCAAGAUCGCUGAUUUUGGGCUCUCCGUGACCUUGGAACAGGGCAUGAAUCAAAAACAGGGAGUUAUCAGGGGAACAGAAAGGUAUAUGGCACCUGAAUCCGUGAUUAACACCGAGUAUACCCCACAGGUUGAUAUUUGGGCUCUUGGCUGUACUGUCUAUGAGCUGAUUACGGGGACAUGGCUGUGGGAAGACGCAAAUGGUGAUGAUGUGUUGGACAAAAUCAAGUUUGAGGAACCAAAGUUUCAGAAUUCGAAGUUGUCAAAUGAGGCUCAAGAUUUUCUGGAAAAAUGUCUUGUGAAGAAUCCCAGCUCGCGUUGGACUGCGGACCUGCUCUUGAACCAUCCUUUUCUGUUGCAUUCAUCCAAAGCAGCCAACACUGCAAAGACAAGGAAGAAGAAAAGUGGUUCAAUGUCAAAGCGAAUUUUUCCAUACAAGAACAGAAGCUCACAGAGUUUAAAGGGAAAGAAGAAAAGGAUUCAGACCAAGAAACUCGAUCUUUGACCAAGUCUAGGUAUACACAGAGAUUGUCUCUUGAUGAUGUGGAAAAAUCAGAGACGUUAAUCAAAACCGAAGAGAUAAAAUUUGAGCCGUUUGAUAGAGGGACAAUUGUGCAAAAAUAGAAGUUUCCAGCUGUUUUCUCUCACGUGACAAGCAUGUGAGGAAUAUUAGUUAGUUACAUUUUGUUAGCAAUGCACGUAUAGAAUAAUGACAAGUGUAUAGGAUUUUUUGAUUAUUCUUUAAUUUUCUGCCAGUAGAUACAUGUACAAAUACCCUGUUUUAGGAUUCAAUACAAUCAUCAGAAAAUUGCCCAAAUUUAUUCUCCUUUCACUUUUGCACAAACCAAUCCAGAAGAUAACAUUCAAGAUCGGCAAUCAUAAAUUCGUGAGGCAAUUGCCCAAUCCAACAAAUAGAUAGAUAGAUCCAUAAUUUUAAAAAAUAUAUGUAAUUUUUGUAAAGAAGUGCGUAUGGGCUUGAUCCCUCUUUAGGGUUUGUUUUUGGGUAUGUAGGCAGCGUGUGACAAAGAUGAUCUCACGUGCAGCCCUUAUUAGUUUAAUGAAAAGAAAAGUUGUAUAGUUGAUCAAGAAAGGCGAUUUGGUAUAUCUUGCAAAGCUAAGUUUGUUAUUAUGAUUAAUCUAUGGUUUUUUAUUAAUAUGACUCAUCUGUUGUGCUUUUCCCUCUGUUUGUCACCAAUUUAGAAACAAUGUUUUACCUGUCAAGUACUAUUGGUUUGGGGAGUGUUAUUUUGCCUCGUGAGGAUUUUAUUGUCAUGCUCGAACUCUAGCUUGAAGCUUCUCUUGUGUGCUCUUUCGUCGAAAGAAAAUGGAAAAUGAUUGCCAUAGACAUGCAUGUGUUGUUAGAUUUCAUACGAAAAGUGCAGCCCACAGUUAAAAACUAACUCAUAAUUGGAAAGAUUUUUAUACAAAAUACUGUCUGCAUAUUUAUACACAACAUUCAUAUGUAAAACCACCACACUUCUUGGGUGCACACUUUAAUCUUUUGUACUAAUCAAUAAUGCAGAUCUGGACCAUCAAAAGAAACCUAUUCUAAGUUAAACACAUUAAUCCGUAGAAAAGAGAGACAAACUCGAGCUUAUUUGCUCGAUUCCUUGCAGCCAGCUACCCAGUCUGUCACUAUAUAGGACCUACAAAAACAUUAUAUAGACUCUCAAUUCAUCUGCAAAAAUAACUUAUACACCCUCGUAAAUCUUCACCAUAAUGAAAAUCUACUUAGGUGAUCAAGACGAGGAAUGGUGCUUCGUGAGCUUUGCAAGGACACCAACAGCCAAAGAAUUUGUAUAUGUUGUUGGCUCAGUCAUGGAUGAACUUGAGCGACGAUCUUCAAAGUUAUCGUUUUUAUCAGGACCACCAACAAUGGCACCUGUUAGCUCAUUAGAAUUGGGUUUUUCAGUAUUGUACCAGUUAACAAAACUCAUAGAGCAGUCCACCAAUUUAUUUGGAGACAUUUGUGGAACAGAGGCACCUCUAUGAUGAGCUUGAGUUGGAGGUUUGUUCCCAAAACCAACCAUGUAUGAUUUUCCUCUCGGGUUUUUCCCAAGCAGAUAGUCCAUCUGCAUUUUUUGAUUGAAACAGCUAAGUAAAUUGUGAGAUGCAUCAGAAAAGUGCUACUAAUAUGAACAAAUUCACUACCUGUUGCUUGGCGAAGUCCAUGAGAUCAGCAGAAUUGAACUUUUUAUCACCACAGCUGACCGUUUGCUUGUACAUUGCUAGAUAAUCACUAUAAGCACUAAACAGAAAAGCUGCACCAGUAACAUAUUGAGAAUUGGCUCCAUCUCUAAGGUGAAUCAGACCCCCUGAUCAUAAAUUAGACAUUGGCAGCUCAUGUACUUGUUAAACCAGAUAAAUAGAUAAAAUAUAUGGAUCGAGUUUAUAUGUAGAAACGAAAACUUACCUGGAGACAUGUGAACCUGGUGAUGGGGACUUUGAGGAUGGUUUGAGCAAAUAAAACCAUCAGCUUGUUGCUUAAAGUUCGCUAAAUCUUUCUCCCCUUCAAAAUAGAACUGCAUUAUGUGGAUGAAACAUUAACAUUUUUUCAACCACAAAGUGUGCCACUCCACGUCUAUUCAGAGAAAGGAUUUUUAAUUAUUACCUUAGAUAGGAGUAUUUGAGCUCCAGCAUAUUUAAGGUCCCAGCUAAAUUCAGCUACAGUUGCAGUAGUAGCCUCUUCUGUGAUGAAUUCCAAGUAUGUUGGCCUCUUGGUUGCUCUAUACAACCAUGUUGCAGCCCACAACAACUCAUCCUACAUUUUACACAUUUUAGAAGUUAACUUUCAUAUGCAACUAAUUAACCAUCUAAAAAGAACAUAAUUAAGGGAGUUGAUUUCUCAUAUGCUCACUCGACUAAUAGUUAUUAGAAAGUCACCCUUCUUGAUUCCAAUUUUUUUCAACAAAGAAAGUGACUUUAUGAGAUAAUAACUAUUUGCUGAAUGACUAUCUGAGAAAUCAAACUGUAAUAAAGGAAUAGGCAUGUUACAUGAUAGCCAGAAAAGGAGCAAUAGAAAGGACAUUCCCCAUCAUAGGUUCCUUUAUGGGUUUUGCCAAACUGAAAAAGCUGAGUCACAAACCAAGAAAACACUAUGAGGAUACAUUUAGGAGUUUGGCCAAGUGGAAAAAAGAUCAAACAAUGAGGAUGGGAUUAGUACCUGUUUGGCUUUAUUGAGAAGUUUACGGGAAUAGGAACGAUCAGUUCCACGAAAUACAAUAGAAGCAGCAGCCAUUGCUGCAGAAGUCUCAGCAGCAAUCUCUGUUCCAGGAUUUUUCUGGUCUAUCAUUAGCACAGUUCUCGGCGUUUUCAUGUUCUCUGGCCUUGUCCAACAUUCAUGAUCUUUCACUGGAUCUCCAACCUUUAAAAAAACACAAUGCACAAUUUUAAUCUUGAACAUUCAAUAACUACAUAUAUCUAGAGAAAUUAUGACCUAUAAGCUUGUGUCAGGAUAGGUUGUCUAUAUCACAUUCCUUGACUUGUGUGAACACGGGAUGCUUUGUACACUAAGUAGAGACUAAUUUAAUUACCUGGACGUAGAGGCAAUUGCGCUUGACACUGGCUUUCAAGAAAUAAUCAGUGCCCCAUUUGAUGGCAGAGCGAACAUUUUCCAAUUCUCCAGCAGAUUGUAGCUGUGAGUGAUAAGCAAUAGCAGCCCAUGCUAAGGUUGUUACAGUGAAAGCCAUUGGAAGCCCAUAUUUCACAUUAUCUCCAGCAUCAUAGUAUCCUCCUACAAGGUCCACCUAUAUAUAAAAGCAAAAAAGAUAUAAUGCAGUACACAAUUUCAGUACAAAAAUUUACAUGUUUUUUCUUUAUCUAUAGCUAAUUCGCAGAAAUUGUUACUCCCUAUGUCCCAACUCAUGUGACACACUUUCCUUUUUAUUAUAUCUCCAACCUAGUAAGAGGCCGUUGAUUGGAAUAAAACAUUUCAAAAGAAUUAGUUUUUGAGGAUCAUCUAGGUUUCAAACUACAAACAUGGAAAUUGUUGAAAUAACUCUUUAAAUUAUCAUGUGAUACACGAACAACGCACGUGUUAAAGAGAGGCUACAUACAUUAGCAGAUUUUCCAUCUUGAAGGGCAGAAUCUCCUCUCCAUGAAGGUCUAUGUUUAGGAGGAAGUUUUCCUGAUCUUUGUGCCUCCAAAAAAAUAAGGGAUUUGGUAAGAGCAUCUUGAUAAUUAAAAUCUCCAUGUACACCUUCAAAUAUAAUGAACCAUGCUACAACAAAGGUUCUAAAUGCCUUCAAUAUAGAAAUCUUGUUGUUCAUUAUUUAACAAAUGAAUAAUUAAGCAUCAAAAAUGAUGAUUGUGAAAAUAAAGUAUGUUAUCAUUAAUUUGGAUUAGUAAAAGAGAGGAAAUAAAGGAACAAUAGAUACUACCCAUUCACUAGGAAGUUAGAUAGUAAUGGUGUUUGUUUAAGAUUUUUUAUUUUUUAUUUUUUGUCCUGAGGUCUAGGCUUUGUGAAAUUAGAAUGGCGGGAAAUUAAUAUUAAGUUAGUUAUGGAUGUUUGGUGUAGAAUUUGAAUUACGUACACAUUAUCCCCUUUAACCUUUUUAAUUUAGGGGGGUAAGAAAACAAUACCCUCACUUUUUUAAUGGGAAAGGGAACCUCCUUUGACCAAGAAAAUGGAAAAACCCUAGCCGGAAUUUAUAAGUUUGGAAGGAAACUUAAAAGAUUACAAGUUUACAACAAUUUGAUUAAUUGUCCAACAUAGGGGACUAGUUUACUUUUAUUAGUGGCGGGGCAAGUGAAGGAUGCAAAGGACACGUAAUUGUUGGCGAAUCCAAAAAUAAAUUGUAGUUGAUCAAAUUUCAUAGGUUCAAAUCCUACUUAUAGAAAUUUGAUAGAUUCAACAUUCUUUAAAUCAUAAUAAAAAUAUUCAAAAACACAAAAAGUUGUUAAUAGGAAAAACAAAAAACAAAAAAAACUUUAAAUCAAAAUAAAAAGAUUCAAAAACACAAAAAGUUGUUAAUAGGAAAAACGAAAAACAUAAAAUUAAAGCGUCGCCUGAGAGAUUCGAACUCUCGCGGGGAAACCCCAUGUACUUAGCAGGCACACGCCUUAACCACUCGGCCAAAGCGACGAAUUUGUUAAAUGUGACUUUACUGAAUAAUUAUAUUAUAUAUAUGUUACUUUCAUAAGUUCAUUAGGCUUAAGGCAUGUUUUCCUCUUAAAACAUUUUUAAAGAAUCUUCAUUACAAUUUUUCCUCAACUUAUUAAAAAUGGUUUGAGACAUUUUAUCAUCAUUUAGGCAAUUUUACAAAGAAAAUAUACGGACUAUAUAUAUAUAUAAAAGUAAUUUGUGACCUAUAUACUUUGGGCGUGUUUGGUCAUGCGAUAAUGGAAUCAUGAUAGCCUAAUUGUUUAUUGAAUCUUAUCAAAUAAAUAAUAAAAUCGCAUAAUAAAUAAUUAUAAAGCUAUUUUUUCUCUACUUAAGUAAUUGUUUCAUCUAACUUUAAUUCAGUAAAAAAAAAUCAGUUGGUCAAACAUACUUUUAAGUCAGUUUUUUAUUUCUGAAAAUAUUUGGCAAAUAUAAAAAAUAAUUUAAAAUAAGUCAAAAUUGACUGAAAACAAGUUGGGUAGUGUUUGACAAGGUAAAAAUUGACUUAAAAUAAGUCAAAAACCAAAAGUAGGGCUUUUUAUUUUUUUGACUUAAAAAUUAUUUUAAUUUAAUUUUUUAUUUUUGACUUAAAAGCUACUUUUUUUAAAUCAAUCCAAACGGGCUCUUAAUUUCUAAAAUUGGUAUGCUUUAACAUGUGUAAAAGAUGCACACACCCCAGAUUUGAUACCAAAAUCUACUCUAAUCUAAUGCUAUUAACUUCGGUACAGAUUUUCCUUGAUAAUAUGUUUCAAAAUCACUAAUGCAAAAUUCUUUCAUUUUCACUGAAAUCUGAACUCUUACAAGUGGUUUGAAUUGUGAACGUUUGACUACGAGCUUUUUAACUGCAACAAUUUAAAUAUAUGCUUAUUGGAAAUACGCAUUACCGCGGUUGCUCCUAUUCAACUAUCAAUUGAAAAACAACUCUGAGAUCGAACUAGACCUUGGCGCCUUCUCACCGGACUUGAUCUCGGCGAAUCCAAGCUUCUGAACAUCAGCUGCUUCACCGCCGAUAUCAACUCGUCCUUCGGAUUUGGUGGCGGCGUUAGAGCUCUGAACUUGCUACAGAAAUUCAUAUGACGAUUCAGAGCUUCCUCUCUCCCAAUUCGCCUCUCCGAUGACCUCAUGAUUUCAUCCUUCACUGCCUCCGCACACAGUCCACAAAUCCAUCGCCCUUCGUUCCUCUCCUUAACCCUCCCUAUAUACGCCGCCGUGCAAUCCUCCGUCAAUCCGCAGCACUCGCAUUUCACCAAUUCCACUUCAUUCAUUUUUGCCUUCACUGGUGCCGAUUUUGCUUCAGUUCCGGCUAUAGCCGCUGCCGCCUCUUUACUCAUUACCGUCUCUGCUUCCAUUACUCAAAUUACUCGCCUGAAAACUGUAACAUAUAUUUCCUUCAAUACAUAUACAUAAAACACAAUAACCGCUUCGAAAAUUUGAAAUUCAAAUCACAAAAUCAGCAUUAACGCGCAGAUCCACCAUUAAUGAAAUAGGUGAAGUUACACCAACUUCAAUUCCUCUAGUUAAAUACUGAAGAUAUUAUAUACUAUACACUCAUUAAUUUCAACUUCUGAAAAUUCGCCUAUAAUUUUGAAAAAACAGAUACAGUAUAAAUUUUACCGUUUUGGCGAGAAUAUUGCACUGAUCAAUUUCAUAGAGCCGUGUUUGACUCUGGCUCGAUUAAUUUAUCGUCUUUUGAUUCUGAAUAUGGAAAACAGCUGAAAUUCACACCUAAAAAUUACGGUCAAGCAAACACGACUUUUGUAUUUAUGAACAGAGGAGGAGAUUCAGGGAGUUUGAUUUUCCAUGUACUACUAGGAAUAUUAAUUUAUAUGAAAUGAUAAUGUAAUUGAUAGAGAGAUUAUGGUAAUUUUUUUAUUAAAAAAUGAUUUAUAUUAUUUUAAUAAAUAAGUUGUUAUUAUAAUUAUUGAGAGUUUGUGUAAACACAAUAAAAGUUGUUUACGUCAAAGUUUAGAUGGCGGCCGAGUGAUAAUAUAUCCGUGUAUACACGUAAAAUUGGUAAAUAAUAAUAAUAAUAAUAUGUACCCAAAAAAAAGUAAAUUUUUCUUUUUAUCAACAUUGAGGGUGUGUUUGGUAUGAAAGGAAAAUGUUUUUCAAUUUUCUCAUGUUUGGUUGGGUUAAAUGUUUUGGAAAAUAUUUUCCAAAUCAACUCAUUUUCAUCAAAUUUAAGAAAAAUGACUUCCCUUCAAAACUUGAAAAACAUUUUCUAAAACUCUCUUCCGACCCACCCAUCCACCCUACCAACCCCCAACCCACCCCNNNNNNNNNNNNNNNNNNNNNNNNNNNNNNNNNNNNNNNNNNNNNNNNNNNNNNNNNNNNNNNNNNNNNNNNNNNNNNNNNNNNNNNNNNNNNNNNNNNNNNNNNNNNNNNNNNNNNNNNNNNNNNNNNNNNNNNNNNNNNNNNNNNNNNNNNNNNNNNNNNNNNNNNNNNNNNNNNNNNNNNNNNNNNNNNNNNNNNNNNNNNNNNNNNNNNNNNNNNNNNNNNNNNNNNNNNNNNNNNNNNNNNNNNNNNNNNNNNNNNNNNNNNNNNNNNNNNNNNNNNNNNNNNNNNNNNNNNNNNNNNNNNNNNNNNNNNNNNNNNNNNNNNNNNNNNNNNNNNNNNNNNNNNNNNNNNNNNNNNNNNNNNNNNNNNNNNNNNNNNNNNNNNNNNNNNNNNNNNNNNNNNNNNNNNNNNNNNNNNNNNNNNNNNNNNNNNNNNNNNNNNNNNNNNNNNNNNNNNNNNNNNNNNNNNNNNNNNNNNNNNNNNNNNNNNNNNNNNNNNNNNNNNNNNNNNNNNNNNNNNNNNNNNNNNNNNNNNNNNNNNNNNNNNNNNNNNNNNNNNNNNNNNNNNNNNNNNNNNNNNNNNNNNNNNNNNNNNCCAUCCCAAAAAAAAAAUUUAAGUUUGUUUUCAAAAAAUAUUUGAAAAUAUUUUCUACUCUAGUAAAAAUAAAAGAUAUUUCUCAAAAAUAUUUUUCAUUCAAAAACCAAACACUAAAAAUCUUUUCCGGAAAAUAUUUUCUCCUCACCAACCAAACAUGAGAAAAUAAGUCAAAAAUCUACUUGUUUUCCGGGAAAACAUUUUCCUUCAUACCAAAUGCACCCUGAGUGUUUACACCGACUUAAUAAAUAUAUUAUAUGUAUUUGAAUAUAUACAAUUAUUACUUAAUCAUAAUUAUUUAAUUGAUAUAUCAUUAUAGUCAAAUGGAGUAAAAAAAUACACCCACGUAACAAUAUUCUGAAUUGUGUUUUAGUAGAAAUAAUUGGUCAAAUUAUAAAAAGGUGCCAACUGAACUAUUGCCUUUAGUUAAAGUAUGUUAAAGUUUUUGCACGGCAUCAAUUCUGGGUGGUUUUAAAUUUUUAUUGUUAAAUAUGAUGGUUUUUAGUGUUGGUUUUUAUGUCCGUUUAAUGAAAAUUUGCGGGUUAAAGUAUUUUUCUCUAUGACCUGAGAUUGUAAUGCAUAAGUUUAGAGAACUUUUUUUUUAUCCAACAUAAGUUAUCUGAUUUGCUUGGUAUAAGUUUAGGUAUCUCUGACCUUGUCUGACAUAAGUUCUUUGUGGAAUAAGUUAUGUCUUGUAAGGCAUAACUUUGUGAUUUUUGUAACUGAACUAUAUCUCUAUCGGCAUAAAUUAUGUACGAACUAAGUUAUGUCUUGUAAAUGCAUACCUUUUCGGUUAUGAACUGGAUUUAUGCUUCUAUCACCAUAAGUCAUGUAGGAAUUAAGUGACAUAAGUUGUUAUGCCUUGUAAAUCAUAACAUUUAAUAUAAUAAUAAAAAAAAAUUGAAACCUUUUUUUUGUAUAUUAUAUUAUUUGUAAUAAUACUAUACUCUAAAUAUAUCCAAACAAACAACGUCAUUAUAGAUAAAUUUAACCGUAACAUGUCAAAUAUAAUAUACAGUCUAAUACAUUUGCAAAUUGUUUAACCGUGUCCCAUGCGCAACACACCUUUAUAGAAUAUAGUAUCAUCAUUAUUUAUAAUAAAGAAUAUUACAAUAUACAAGUUGGUCAAUAUUAGUAUUUUGAUUCUUCUCAUUAAUUGUCCACACGCUUGAGACAUGCAAGUUCUAAAUAUAAUAAAGAAAAAAGAAACGUGUUUAAUACUGUAAUUGUGAAUAAGGCAUUACUAAAAAAAAAAAAACUUCUUAUAAUUGCCUAACAUUUAAACAAAUUGAAUUCAAACGUAAAUGAUGACGCUGUAAAAGCAGGUAAACACUGCAUGAUACAACAAUAUACUUCCUCUAUUUUUAAUUUUAAUAUAAAUGAAUUUCACAUUUUUAAUAAUUCAAAAUGAAUGAAUACUUCAUAGUUUUAAAAUGUACUACUAUUAUUUAUUUAUUUUAAAAUUACCCUUCUUUUUAAUAAGUUUGUCAUUGAUUAUUUCUAAUUUUAAGAAAAAUUUGUGAGAAAAUAUAAUAGUUAAAUUACUCUUUAAAUUAAUGUAUCUAGUUAACUUAUCAUACCUCGAAAAUUUAUUUAUUUUGGAGGACGUCAAUUUUUCAUAUGCAGCCACGAACGAUUAUUAAGGAUCGUGCAAGUGAACGCUACAUGAGAGGGAGGACCAAAUCAUAUAAAUUGUUAAACAUACACCAGGAAAAAUAAUAUACUAUAUACUUAUUAAAAAAAAAUUGAUGUGGAAUGGUGUAGGAUAGAAGAAGAAGAAAAGAUAAAAAAAAAUAUAUUGAAAAUUUAAUUAUAGAACUAUAAAAAUAUAUGGUAAUAAUUCUAUUAAUGAUCUGUAAGGAUGACUGAGUUGGUGUACCAAGUGGUAUUCAUAAAAGAGGUCAGAGAUUGAUUUCCUUUGCCAACGUUUUCUUAGCUGAGCUUUUUGUACCGAAAUGACUAUGUGAUAUGUGAACAGACUUACUCAAUGAAUACCUGAAUAAUAGUGGUUGUAGAAUUUUUCGAGGAUUCCAAAUUUAAAAAAAUCUAACAACGAGCUAUUAAUCAAACUUUAGAUCAAUAAAAUAUAUGAAUAAUUUCAAAAUUUCCCCUCAAAGUUUCGUUUCGUAACACUCACAAUCCCCUUUGAUUUAUAAUAUUACGUUACAUUUCUUAUUUAAUUUUUUUGUAAUAAUUUUUUAACCUAUUUUAAUAUUAUAAAAUUAUAGUUUAACUAAUUUACCCUUUUAAUACUAAACCAUUUUAAUUAAUUCUUUUUUGGCAUAUUUCCUCUCUUACAAAAAAAAAAUCUUUAAAAAGUAAAAAGUAAUUUACAAAAAAUUAGAAGUAUUAAUGCUAAAGUUGAUGAACAAAUUAAAACAUUCAAUUUUGAACAAAUCCCAACUAUUAUUGAUAUUUUGUAUAUAUUCUCCGCACUAUCUAAUAACAAAAAAGUCAAUUUAUAAAUAACGUGCAAGCUUUAGUAAAAAAAAUCAUUUAUGUGCUAUUUAAUAUUAUAAAAAUUGUUUGUUUUCGCUUUAAAUACCUAAUAUUAAGAAUUACUCACCAAAAAAAAAAAUCAACAACUUACUCUAUUGACUAAUUCAAAUUAUUUACGGUGUAAGGUAUAAUUUUCGAAAGAAGAGGGGGUACAUUUGAAAAAUAAAAGAUCAAAGAGUCAUAAAACGUUGUCGUUUAAGGUACCUAACCCUUAAAACCACGUGGAUAUGACCCGGUACUGACCCGAGGGUUUAUAUGUUGCUGAGUAUAAUUUCCCCCAAAUUAUACGGAACCUUUUUAAAGGGAAAGGAGGCUGCCAAAUUAGGGUUUUCCUGAAGAAGAAGAAGAAAACAGCAAAAGAAUGGAAGGAAUCACAGAGGGAGUGAACAAGAUGAGUGUCUCAGAGACGCAAAAGAAGAACAGAAUCCAAGUUUCUAACACUAAGAAAUCACUCUUCUUUUAUGUUAACCUAUCAAAGGUGCUUUUUUUUUUCCAUUUAAAUUAUAUAUACAUUGAAAUCAUAGGGAGCUUUUACACUAUUACUGUAUGUUGAGCAAUUAGUUAUCUUAAUUAUAUACAUUUAAAUUUGUUUACUUGUUUUCCUAUGUUAUGAAGCCAUGCAUUGUAAUCUGUGUAUCCGUAGGCGAAGUUUUAGGUGUUAUGUUUUGGGUAAUUGGACGGAGAUAGUAGUUUUAAAAUGAUUACACUUGUUUUGUCUGUGGAUGUUUUUACGAAAACAGCUAGAUUUGCAAAAAUAUGGCUUCAGAAGUAAUUGUUUCAAUUUAAUGGUUAUUGGGUCUGUGGUUAAAGCAUCUAUGCUUGCCGAUCGAUGAUGUGAUACUCUGGUUAGGGUUGUUUUUUUUCUUCCUGAUAAUGUACUCUGGUUAGGGUUGUUUGCAAUGUGAAAUGAGAUUUGCUUAUGGUUGUUGAGUUGUUUGUUGAUGAGUUAUGUGAGAAAAGGUAAAAUUGAAGACUUGGAUCUUGCAUACUGUUUCCUCAGUCAUCUGAUCUCAAAUAGGCGUGUCAUUUGCUUCUCUCUCCUUUUUUUUUUUUAUAUAUAAAUCUGAAAGAUAUUUUACCUUAGCGGAAGCAAUUACUUACAUUGUCAAAUGAUAUUGCUCAUAGUGGGAGGCCUGCAAAAUGCUAUUAGUUAAUGCACAAUAACCUGGGUCUUUGUUAAUUCGAUGUGUCUGAUUGCUUAUGUUGGCUGAGGUUUAGUUUCCUGGGUUUUUAUCAGUUUUUUUCCCUGGGUUUUUAAUUAUAAUAAGAAUUAAUUCGAUUGUAGAGAAAUUGCUUAUCUUAUUACAAUAAUUAGUUGAUGAGUUGGGUGAUUGAAGAAAAAUUUCUACCUGUAAUACGGAGAGUUAAAAUGAAUAAUUUUUUUCGUUUGAGAAGCAUAAGAAAAGAAUAAAAGAAUGUUGUUCAAGUUCUAGUUAUCUGCUGUAGCAGUUCAGUUAUCUAGAGCAAUUGCAAUGGAAGAGAUGUGAGUCUAUGUAGGAUCCCAAUUAAAUAUCUAAACCUACAAUUGAGGCUUUUCAUCAGUAUUACUUUUUUUUUGAAAUUGAGAGUUAGUAUUACUUAUCAAAAGGUACUUUAUGUAUAUUUGAAGAAUUUCACCCCAUACAGUGACAAUUAGAGGGUUGCCACAGGACUUAAAAAUAUGUAGUUUGAAGCUUUUUCCAAAUGCAAGUGAGCUCGUAAGAUGCAUUAGAAAAUCUUGAAAAAUGUUAGCUAUAUGACUAUCUAUAUUUAAUUUUUCCUGGCCUUACACCGGAUCUUUUUUUUUGAGAAAGUUAACUUACACCGGAUCUAUAAUUGUUGCUAUUGGUCUGAGUUAGUAUCCUGAGAUAUUUGGUAUGUUUCUUGCAGAGGUACAUGCAACAGUACAAUGAAGUGGAACUCUCUGCUCUUGGGAUGGGUAAAUCUUUUCGACCCUCAAUUUUGAGUGCUAGUUUGUGGUUUUCCUUUGCUUAUAAUUAGUAUCAUAUGAGUCUUCUACAUUAAUUGUGAUUAUGCUGUCUUUUUACAUCAAGAAAUACUGUGUUACAACUUGGGUUAUGGAGGCAUUAUCACUUCCUUUUCCCAAUUGACUUUUUCUUGAUGAUUGGUGAAUUCCAAUCUUGGCAACGUGUGAUGCUGUUUGCCAUCUCAAGAAUGUCUUGUUUACUAUUGCAGCUUCUUGUGUAUAAGAAGAGUAAAAUACACAGUGGUGCACACUUUACCAGGGAUGUGAUAUCCUUGUGAAACAAUUUUGAACCAACUUCUGGCAUAAAAAGGAUCAUGGUGUUCAAACAUAGAUAGUAGUUGAGUGUAUCUGGGAUGAACUCUGAUUCAUCACAACCUUAUUCCUGCGGCUUCCCCAGGGAUCUUUUACUUAAAAAGCAGAACGUGCUCGAUAAUAUGUUUGAAGUGGCUCCUUGUGCUUGCCGGUAAACCGUAUUAAGUAAAAGAAAUACAGAGUAUCAGUACAGUUUUGUUUGAUGUUCUUUUCAUUUGUUUUGUGGACUCAUCCUUUUGUGUUAUGUUGAAAAUUCAUUAAUAAUUGAAUUGACUUGCUUGUUUAGUUUCUAAAGGAUUAACAAUCUUUUCCACAUGUGUACAGCUAUUUCGACAGUGGUUACCAUUGCUGAAAUUCUGAAGAACAAUGGAUUUGCUGUUGAGAAGAGUGAGGCUUCUCCUACUCCACUCCCAUCCCUUGUAUUAUCUUUCUUGUCAUCUAACUUUGAGGGUCACUUGCUGCAGAGAUCAAGACACUCACUGUGGACAUGAGGGACGAACCAGGAGCCCGACCAAUACCAAAAGCAAAGGUAAAUUCCAAAAGCAUUAUAAAUCGGUCAAUUGAUGCAUUAGUCUGCUUCAUUUUUGGUGGUUUUGGAGUAAUGGAACUCAUUCUAUAGAGGUCUUAUGGUAAAUGUUAGCUUGGGACUUAAGAUUGUUUCUGAAGAAUAGUAGCAUUGACCUUUGUUAAGUAAGGUGUUCAAUAUGUAGUUGAUGUGUGUGUGCUCAUUUUGCUCUGUUUGGGUUAGGAUUUGUGCAGAACUUUACAAAAGCUGUAGAAUAGAUGGUAGGGUUAGUGAUGUUUUACAUUCUUGCUCACCAAAAUGUGUCUAGUCCCAUUUGGUUAUCUUAGACUUGAUUGCAAGUUAGUUUUACACUCCCAUGCCUGUUGAAGGUACAUUCCCUUUUAAAUGCAUUUUCUUGUGGUUUUGCCCAUUGUUGUAUUCCUGUUUCAAAAAGCCGUAGAAUGAAAUAAAUCAUUUUCCUUUGGCAACAGCAGAGAUGGAAAAAUGAAUCUGGCCAGGAUUUUGUUAUGGCUAUAUAGAUGCUGCUUUCACAGCUUUCAUGUUCUUCUUCCACUUAUACUCUUUAAAACAAUGUUGAAUUCAUGUGAGCUAGUGGGUGCUGAAUGUGGGUCGUAAUCCAUCUUUUUUUUAAAAUUCCUUCUCCGAACAGUGAUCCUUGUGUAAUCUGUGGUAGUGUCUUUUUAAAAAAAAAUCAAACUAAGGUUUUUUGUUUUAUUUAUUCAUCUUCGCUUGGUGCAGAUUGAAAUAGUGUUGGGCAAGACUGAGAAGUUUGAUGAGUUAAUGGCUGCAGAAGCAGAGCAAAACGGGGACAAUGAGGAGCAGCAGAACUGAUUAUUUCCACACCUGUUCUCUUUCCUGACGAUUGAAGUUAUUCCAGUCUAUACUGCAUUCAGCUGUUGGGUUCUCUAUGGCCUUUAAUUAGAUCUGUUGGAAAGUUUUUUUUUUAAAAAAGCAGCAUGGUUUACUUUAAAAUUCAUUAUUUGUUGGAUGUGUUUGCCUUUUGUUUACUUGUUUAUCUAAGGUGUUGUUGGAUGUAAACAUAUUGCUGCUAUCUUCACUGUAAGUGAUGUAGUCUUAAUUUACGUCUGGUAGUUUUAUCAUUUAACAACUGGAUAUGAAGGUUGAGGAUUCUGCCAUUACCUAAUUAACUAAUCAGAGUAUCGUGCAGCACCAUUGACCAAUUAGUACUGUGUCACACAAUUGCCCUGUGCAAUUGCGUUCUACCCUCUCUCCUCUCUAGACUCUACUUGUGGAAUUAGAGUGGUGGGUAUGUUGUAGUUAGUGAGAACUUAUAAAGGUAAUCUUCAAGGAACAUACUAAAAUUCUCUUACAAGAAGUAUCAUGUUCAUCAACUUUUGCAUGUAAGAUCCUACAUCUCUAUAAACGGGUAAUGUAUCGAGUAAUUUAUAUACAUAUAGGCAUACUUUAAAGGGAUUGAUAAUGAUCAACUCAUUCAGUAUAAGGUAAUACAGUUUGAUUCAAACAUUAAGUUAGCUAUAUUCAUGUUCAGCGAUGCCUCCACUAAAAUCUUGAGAAGUCUUUUCUAGUUCAUCUCAAAGAACACAAAUAGGGCACACGUGCAAGCACACAUCCCCAUAAGAAGAUAGAAGUGUACAAUGUCUCAAAUCUUAACUGACACCAGUCAAGUACCUUGAUAGAUUACAGCUACUACUACGCCUUAGUCCCAAAUAGGUUGGGGCCGACUAUAUGAAUCCUAGCUCAUUGCUUCAUUUCAGCUCAACUCAUGUAAUCAUCAUACCAAGUACGUACCUUGAUAGAUUACCUUCAUAUUUUGGGAUUGCUGCAAACUGAAGCACUAAGCUUAAAAGGCCUCUCAGGUUUCUAAUUUUCAUUGAUUCCUUUUCUCUUCACACUGCAAGGGAAGGAGGAGUUGGAAUGGAUGGCUAAUUACCGAAACAUCAAAAACAUUUCCUUUCUUAUUGAUAUAGCUAACCAAGAAAUCAACUUUGCAAUCAGAUACAAGAUUGUUGUGACAUUUUGUCCAACACAUCCCUUUUAAGCAUGAGAAAUCUCACAGGACUACCCUAUGUUUGUGCCGCCGCUCACUUCCUUUUAUUUACUAUUCAACCUGUCUUGUCCCAAAAGAGAACUAAAUGCAAGACAAUUGGAAGGGUGGAAAAGAAUUGUUAACAAAGAUCUUAUAUAUAAACCUAAUUACAUAGGCCAUUGCUCUUAAUUGGCACUAUAUUUUUCAAACUCAUUGUGCAAAGAAUCAAAAUAGGGAUGGAGAUGUUGAACUGCUUCAACGUACAAAGGUGUCUGCAUCUCAAUCAAGCGCGAUACCUGCAUUAAAAGGAUGUUCCAUUCAACACAAUAUCUUCGUCGUGUAUGAAGAAAAGCAUUAGUAAUUAACAGAUUACCAUACAUUACAAAAGUCAGAAACUGUCAAUGAAUAGUAUAGUUGUCUAAAGGUCUGACUUUGGUGUUUUACUUAGACUUUUGUACUACUUCAGUUCCAAUUAUUCUGUUUUAUGUGAGUUACCACGCAAACCAAAGUGUAAUCAGUUCAAUUUUUUUUCUUCCAGUUUAGUUCUGCAUUUUCUCACUUCGGAUCUAUCAUAAGUUUUUACUUACUUUUUGGACUCUGUUUAGGCCUCUCUAUUCAGUAUGGUAGACUGUUGUAUCAGCUUUUCUUUCAAACUGUUAAAAUGUAAAGAGGAAUGCAAAACUAAGAAAAAGAUUAAAAGAGAUGUCAAAUGGAGUUAUUUGCAACUUGAAAAUGCCUAUGACAAGUGUAACAGGUUGCUGGUUUUUAAACUGAGUCAAAGUUUCUAUUGUUCAUGGCUUCAUGAUACUGUUCUUUUUGUGAUUAUGCGAAGAGCUCUGUUAAUCCUCGCCCUUCUAAAUGUCUUAAAGGUUGUUUGUGGCUUGAAAACAAACAGGAGCUGCCACCAACCUAAGGGUCACAAUAAUAGUCAUAGGGUUCAAUUGCAAGUGGCAAUAUCACAAUUUGCCAUUUUCUUGUUUGGAGUUUCCUUAGGGAGUAAACCUUUUCCUAUAACUUGUGGAACCAUGUGCUGAAGAGGACUUCCAUGAGGCUUGCUAGCUAGUUGGAUUCACUUUGGGGGUUCGAAUUACUCUUAAUACCACAAGGCUUGGUAAAUGGACUCUCCCAAAGGUCUCUCAAGACUCUCACUAAAUCUUGUCUUUAAAACACCUUCAUUAUUACUCUGUUUGAAAUCCAUAGAAAAUAGCAGAGAAGAUUGAACUGGAGAUGAGUCCUCUACUCAGACCGAGAGGUAUUAACUGAGGUUGGAGGAGCAUUUGAAGAUUUGGGAGCUAGUUUGUUGUUCAAAGGGGUCUGGGUAAUCUAAAGUUCAAAUAUCUUCCUUCACUUGUGAAGUGGCGGCGGAAAUUUUUCAAGAUACCAAUACCCUUUGUUAGGUGCACUUUCACAACCUCCACAUUUCCUUUCCAGCUUUCCUCUUCCCUUCUUUUGCUACUAAAAAAUUACUGAUAUGACAAGAUAAAGCAAUUACCAGGCCUUGAUAUUAACACAGAUAAUAGCUUGAAUCCCCUAUAGACAAUGAAGAGAUGAAAUAAUAGUACCACAGAUCGCAGUUUUAAUGCUUUCAGCAUCGAUAAGAAAGCCAAAGUAGUAAAUGAAAAAAAAAUCAUAUGCCAAUAAGCAACCAACACUAUCGAGUGAUAGUUAUCAACUUAUUUAUUUUUCCUUUUGACUAAGUAAAAUGAUGAUGCACCCAAGGCUGAAAAUCCAACUAAGACGAAAUUCACAAGGAGAAAUCCAGGAAGUUUCAGGGUUAAGAGAUUUUCAAUAUUUGUUAAACCCGAGAGCUUUUCCAAUAUCGAACGGUGGAAAACAUUUUUCGAGUUCUAUUUCGUCAGGCGUUCAACCCUAUCCCCUUUCCCCGAGGUGAGCCCAUAGCUAAAUAAACUGAGACGAAGAAAACAGAGGCAUAACAAUGAAAAUCACUUACAGCUCGUCGAAAUGCGAACAUCUCCUCUUGACCAGAUAGCAUGGUAGUAAUGCCAGAUGGAGCACCUCCUGAACUAACAUUGCCUUCAGCUAAAACAUCUCGCCGGAGCUUUGUACCUUCUAUCUCUGUCUCAAAUUGGAAGCUGUACAAAUAGCAGACUGGCAUCAAUUGAUUUCACUCCUUUUACUAAAUCUCAAAGUUUGUUCUUGUAAUGGAACUUACCCUAGGUAACUACUUUUAGUUUUUAGUGUUUAGUGUUGGUACAUCCACACUAGUGUGUCAGGUAACACAACAGCCUAGAUUGUUACUAGAAAAUUAACUCAUAGAUGGAGAGAUACUUAACAGUUGUAGCUUCCAUGCAAUCUAAAGCACAUUAUAUAAAUCUUUACUUUCAGAGAGAUUUUUCUCAAUUUGAUGAACAUUAUCUAGGAGAUAUUAGUUCUCACUGCAACAGAACGACCAUUCAAUCUAGUGAUGCAAAAAAACACAUAAAAAAGGUAUACAAAACAAAAAAAAAUUGGACACCAUCUUAGUAGACCAGAAAACUUAAAGAGUGUAAAACAAUAUAACACACUUACCUUUCCAAAUCAAAAAGUGUUCCUUCUGCUGUUCCUUGAAAAAGAUCCUCUACUGAAGUCUCAGCAGAGCAAUAUAGGCAACAAUGAUGAUUGUAUAAUUCAUCAAUGAGGGUGAUAAACCUUCGCGCCUGAGAAGUAGAAAUAUUGUAACCAGCAGCAACAUAUAAAAUAACGCAAUAACAUAGAAGCAUGAAAGCAGGACUAAGAUCUUAAAAAGUAGUGCAUAUGAAUAUAAAUCUAAAAUAUGUUAACAGGCGUAAAACAUAGAUCUCAAAUGCUGAGAACAGAACAGACAAAGAAGAGAAGUAAAAUGCAUUACAUAUUCCCAUAGCUAACAGGCAUUAAACUAAUCCCCUAUCCAUCUACAUCGUCCACACGACCUACCACCUCUCUCCAUCCUUUGAAACAGGGAGAUUUCAAGAAAAUACAGGGAAUCAAGGUAUCAUACAACUAGGAAACUCGAGCAAAAUCAUCCCCCCCCCCCACAGCCACCCAUUUUCAUGCUAUACUUGUAAUGUCGAAAAAUAAACAUGAUAUUCACCCAACCCUUGACCAAACCAAGGUAUCACACAACUAGGGAACUCAAGCAAAAUCAUGCCCCCCACAGCCACCCAUUUUCAUGCUAUACUUGUAAUGUCAAAAUAAACAUGACAUUCACCCUACCCUUGACCAUAUUCUUCUUUUUCGUGUUCUGCCUUGAUGUUUGUUAGGUGUGGUGGUCGUCCAAUGUAUAGCACGGGUUGGGAAUCCGAACUCUUGAACAUAAGUCUUAGACCACCUCAAUCACUUAGUUAGUCUGCCAAAAAUUUGACUAACUAUUUGAACCUUUAGAGGCCUAAGUAGUGUAAGGGGGAUCAAGAAGGUGUUAACAAGACAGGAUUGAGUAAGCUAUUUAACAUAAUUAAAUCCAAAUUCCAAGCUGAAUUCUGAGACACAAAGUGUACAAUGUUAUGUAUGCAUCUUCCAACAAUGAAAACAAAAAGGAGCUACUAAAGGGAUAAGUGGGAAGAGAUGAAUCCAAUCUACAGAAGGCUGAAUAAGACUGUUAAACAGCACGGAAACCAUGCCUCAAAAAGUCAAAAGAAAUUGAUUGAAUUUGAAAAAACAAGACACAUCUCAGACAUGUCAAGGCCAAAACCAAAUAUUUUCCCUUCAAUAUGAACCCUGAAAACAAGAAAUCCACAUAUCCAGUAAAUACGGAGGCAAGAUCUUAUGGUUUAGUUUAAAGACACAGUGGAACUGCUUAGUGAUAGCAGUCCUUUGUGCUAGUAUUAGUAAUAUUAGCAGGCUAUCAACAUACAAGCAGCAGAAUCUGUAAGUUAAAGCUUAAUUUGUUUUAUAUCAGUUAGCAUAUGUAGUAAGGAAUGUUGAUGAUGGUACCUUGUCACGGAUACGCAUGCUCAUAAUAGGAAUAUCAGAAAUGAAAACAGUGUGAUAGUUUUUAGCCACUGCAAUGUAGUCUGCUGCUCCAAGCUGAAAUGUCCACAAUUAGAUUAAAUAAGACAGCAUUCUGUGUGAGGUCAAAGUUAAAGAUACAGUCUUGUUCUUGUUCCUAUUAGAUCGACGAUCAGGUGAAAAAACUGCGAACACUGCAAUAUGAAAUACAAAUUCAAGUUCAAGCUGAGUACUCUCAUACUUCAUCUUAAUUUAAAUGAUAUUUGAGCUAAGACAUCACUGAACUUCUAUUUAUUGCGCCUCUUUUUGUUUUCUCUAUAGUUCUAGCUUUGGUGAACUUCAGUUUGAAUGGAACUACACGAAGACCAUCAGAGCAUAUGAAACCAAACUGUCAGAAUUCCAACUAGCCAACUAUAGACAUAAUUAGAGGUUAAGCAAGUACUAUCCAAACCAGAAAUAGCAACCAGACUAUCAGCCUAAUACCUGAAAAAAGACAUGCCAAAAGUCUCGAGAAAUGAAAUGACAAGUUCUACAGUCAGCAACAUCAAGUACAGCAGUACAGAUAGUUCAUCUCAUCCUUUAUUUUUUUGUAACAGCAUCUAAUUUGAUUAAAAUCCGGCUUCUUCUGCACCUAUUCUCUUAAUUUUCUCCAGGUCAUGGUAUUUAUUUUUGACAUAUGCAUCAGAUCAUUCUCACAGUAUGGUGCUUGCUUAUCUAUGGGUCCAUGCAUCAAACCGAGCUGAGAGAAGCCUAAGCUGGCUCUUGUUUAUUUUUAGUUCAUUCAUUAGUCAAAUUACUAACUUAUUUUAAGAUAAAUUUUGAAUGCAGUUAAAGAAAAAGGGAAUUGAAAAUUUUCUAUAUUAUUAUAUCUGGAGCUUUUGAGGGAAUGUAAAUGUUAGGGCUGAAACAAUUUUCAUUGAAUUUCAAGAAUACCUUUAGUCACAUGAUUAUAAUUAUUAAUCACAUUUCAUAUCACCACAGGCUAGGCUUAAGUUACAAUAUAAUUAGAAGUUCAUUACAUUAUAUAAGUAGAAAUUACAAGAACAUAUUGAUUCAUAAAUGAUCUUUUAAAAAUGGGAUACCGUGCCCACUCCUUCUUACACAACAGAUUGUCAUAUCAAGUAGCAAACAAAAUGCUAUUUAGGUACUCAAAUAAAUGACAAGAAUUGACAAGUGUUUAUAUCUGACUGAUACAAAUAAGCAUGUACUGACCAUGAUGACAAGUGCCAAAAGCACAAACAAAUAGAUAAGAAUAAGUCUCUCAUUAACAGAUCUUUUUUCUCCACUAUAAGUAAGUCAUACAGAGAAAAGAAAAGGAAAAUUCUGACUGACAAGAGCAUAGUACCGGCCGACCACACAGAUAUUCAAAGUUGAACCGUGCCACCCCAUUGCAGCUCUCAGGAACUUCCAAUGUUCUGAUAGAAAGCAAAGGACUAUCAUAUGACAGAUAAAAGGGCUCUUUAUGACUUAAAAAAUAUCAAGGAUUAAUUAAAAAUACCUUCCAAACAUCACAGGAAUAGUAUGUGAAAUGAUGCUCCCUCCGGCCUGUUUACUAAUUUUAUUCCAGAUAUCCUCAAAUUCUCGUUUAAUGUUGCUAUUUAGAGGCCAAAUGUAGUGGACCUGCAAUUGCAUAAUGGGAACAAUCAAUCAAAAUAAAAUGUAUCUUAAGAUCCUCAAGCAUAAAUAACAUGCAACUGAUAUUUCUUAAGAACUACGAUAGAGAUAAUCACAUUAGAAAUUAGACUGACAUUCAAGCAAUGGAUAUAAGCUAUGACCUUUUGUACCAAUUACUACAUAGUUCAUUUCCAUUACCAUAACAAUGCUCAAAAAAUGAUGAAAGUUAACAAAGUAAAAUCAUCUUGAGAAACAUGACAAAGAGACAUAAAGUGAAUAGUAAAAGUAGAUAAUGAAGCAGAAGAAUCGAGAUUAUCUCAGAAUAAGCCUGGCAUUUUGUGUAAAUCUGACAUUGAGAAUGCAUAUGACCAUGUCAAUUGGGAGUUUCUUCUCAGAAUCUUAAGGCAGAUGGGUUUUUGGGAGAAGUGGAGCAAGUGGGUGAAAUUUUGUAUCUCUGCUCUUAUUAAUGGAGCACCUGAAGGGCUUUUUAAUGCUCAUAGAGGGAUCAGACAAAGAGACCCUCUGCCCCCUUUCCUCUUUAUUAGCUAGUUGGAGGCAAUUUAGUAUUCUGGACGAACAAGAAACAAAGAGUGGUUGUGAAGCUGAAUUUUGAGCCAUGACAAUUGCAACUUGUGAACUUACAUGGAUUAAACAACUAUUGAAAGAAAUGAUGUUUUGAGAUACCACUCAGAUGGAACUCGUAUGUGAUAAUCAGGUUGCACUUAAUGUUGUUUCAAAUUCAGUGUCAGUGUGAGGACCAAUCACAUAAUCAGUAAAAUAUUAGUCUCUCCAAGUAAUUCGUAACAUUCAAAGUUAUAAUAGAUCUAUCUAAAUUGUUCGGCCUUCUUUUACUAGAUUUGGCAUUGGUUGCACUAAGCUUGUCCAUGUUUCUUCUCAAAAGUCCUAUUUCCCCCACCCUUGGAGAGAUGUAGCUUCUUAACCACAGGAGAGAGGCCUGCUUUUACUGCUUACAAUGGGAUUUAACUAUCACAUUAUACAGGAGUGAGGAGACAAGGUGUGUAUAUGAGCACAUAUUGAGAUAGUUUAUCAGCGAAUAGAAACAAGUAAAAUUUCCUUAAAAUCUUGCCUGGUCUAUAGAUCUCUGAGCAAUGAGGCGGCGAUAAUCAACUUCACUGCCAAUUAGAACAGUUUCACAAUGUUCCUCAAGUUUUUUUAGUAGCUUUUGAAAGAUCUCCUUUUGCAUGCCAUCCUGAAUAACAAAGAAAUGUCACAAUAAAUACUUGAUCAGAAAAAAAAAAAUGUCACAGACAAAUGUAACAAUGUUUCAAGCACAUUAAAUCAGAGAUUUCCAUUUUAUUCAUCUUCCAAAUCUAAACUUGCAACAAAAAUCAAGCCAGUUGAGUAUGGAAAAUGCAAAUGGAAUACUCUUUAAGAAUGAAAAAGAAUAAUGCAUUGAUUUUCCAGAAGUAAAUGCACCUGGUUUAAGUCCGUUGGUGCACGAUUACUGGUUGCCACCAGAACAGUUCCAGUACUCAACAAUCUGCUGAGAAUUCCAGAUAAUGCCACAAUUGCAAAAACAUCAACUGUCUGUCACCAGAAAAAAAGAGGCAAUCUUCAGUCAGAUUCACUUCAUAACAUACCCCAGCAUAAAUAGGUUGCUACAAGUUUUUGAGAGUUGUAAUUCCACAACACAAAUAGAGAGAAGACGGAGACAACUCGAGCAAAUAAUAGCAGACUUCCACAUAUACUGGAUGGUGUACUUAUAACAAUAAAAUUAAACAGAUUGAAUGAGGCAAUAUAUAAUACUGAAGCUGAAUUAACAGUAGAUAAUUUCUAAUCAUUUUCUUUGGAUCCACUGUGUCUGAUGAAUUCAUAAAGCCAGGUCCUGAAGACGUGAAGUUGGCAAAACCUAGUCCAUUUCUCGUACUUAAGUUCAGUAACAAUAUACUGUGUGGUGGUAUGGUUAGAAAAGUUCCUGUAAAAAAAGUCUAACUGUAUUUACCUGUACUUCAUCAAAGCAAAGGAUGCUAGCACCUCUCCUACGAUCUGCCUGGUUAACAAGAAACUUGUCAGCUACGUCCAGAAGAAUGUUUUUCAUCUGCACCUCUUGCUUAUAUCUUUCUUCAGCAGCUAUCCAUUCUUUAACUUUUGAAUCAAAAGGAAGAUUCAUGACCCAACCAGAAAUACUUGACUGCCGAGACUUUUGUUCCAUCUGACUCUUCCAAAUUUUAUGCAUAUGUUCAUUAAUUUUAAGCAUAGCCUGCCAAUUGUAACAUCUGGAAUAAAUCAGAAGAGAGCAGAUGACAAAUAUUGUGACCACAGAGCAGAUUGAUAGGAUUGUUUGACCAUUUCAAGUAUUGAAAUGCAUGACAUAGGCAGAUUAACAUUACAGUAUAGAAAAACCUACAGAUAAUGCUUUGGUCAUUUAAUAGACAUAUUUCAAAGUUCAAACAUGUUAUACAGAUAUCAAUCCUUAUGUUUCUAGGGAAAAAAAAGAGAACUUGACAAACUACUCGAGAGUAAUCAGAUAUUAGGCCAGACGAUUCUUUUCUUCAGGACCCAUACUAGUGUUAGCAAAUUUGUUUGUACGCCAGACCCACCUCGUGCCAGCAACAAAGACUGACAAAAGCAAUAUUUUUCACGACUAUUAAGAUAACUUCACUACAGAAGAAAAAUGGUGGAAUAGGAACAGAAGAUAUAAACAAAUCCAGUAGCCCAUUCAGGUGCCAAGAGGGUUUUAACAUUUUGCGCAUCAACUCCAAUAUGCUUUGCCUCAUAUAACAUGGAAUUCUUACUCAUUUAUCCUUCGUAGACAAAUGUAUUUUGAUUGCUGAUUAUUAUUGCACCAUUUCAUAAAAAGAUCUAGGAGAUUUUCCUAUUAAGCAACUACCUGUUAUCAGCUUCAGACAACUACCUGUUAUUUUCUUUCCGUAUCAAAAUAAUGUCGGUCAACCAGUUAUCUCUCUACAUGCUAAAAUAAUAUCGGAUACCACAUGUCAUCUACUUGUGGAGUUGUGGUUUUUGGGCAGACAGUCUCGCAUUGCAAAUUGUCAUGUUUGACCUGUGACAUUUUGCUUAUAAGCACAAUUGUGAGGAAGUGCAAUUCAGGAUAAGACAGACUAAAUUGUUUCAGGAAAUCGAGAUGAUUUUUGUCAUGCAUAUGUAGAACCUGACUAGUAUUGGAAUGAAAUGGGUCCUAAGAGCGUGGAAAGGAUAUAUAGGGCUUAUAGCUGACCCCAACUAGUUUGAUUAAUUGAUUGAUUGAUUGAUGUGUAGAAUGUUAUAAAUCAAGUUAAAAUAUAAGGCCCAAACAAGCACUCACCUCGUGAAAGUGAAACCUUCUUCGAUGUUUAACAAUUCCUUCACUGGCCUUAUAAAACAUAUCCAUAAGCAUUGUCUUCCCUACAUGAAGUCCAAUAUAUAGUCAGAUUUUGUUUAUGUCUGUGAGUGAAGCAUGGCUGAUACUGAUCGUUAAUAGAAGCUAAUAAAAGAAAAAUUUCAUCAUCAUAGAAAAUGAGGAUGAGAUGAAUUUGUACAGCAUGUAUGAACAACCAUGCAACAUAAACAGACAAGAAGCAAUUGUACCACUCCCAACAUUGCCAUAUAGAUAUAGUCCUUUGGGGGCUGGAGGAGCAGCAGGACGUCGACCGACUUGUGAGUCUAACUUCUUCUCGCGAUUGAGAUAGGAAACCCAUUUCCCGACUCCUUCUUCCACAUCUUCAGGUUUCCUGAGCCAAAAAGAAAAUGACAAUUAAAUUACUGGCGGUGAAGAAGAAGCAACUGAAUUUAUACUUUAUACUAAUGUCAGUGGUAUCUCUUCUUGAGAAAAGAGAAUGUGAUAAACCAAAACAAUCAACACAUUCAAAGUAUCAAGAAGGUAAGACCACCCUAUCCCUUCAAUUCCUGAUCUCUUUGAGAACCAAAACAAUGUCUCUCACUUUGUUUAGAAAAAAACAAACAUAUUUAUUUGAAGUAAAGAAACUCUGACCAACAAAAACUGUUGCACAGAAAGCAUUUUCAUAAGAAUGUCGUAAAAUGUACACUCACCGAGACAUCCAUCUUUGGAAAAUAUUGCGAGAUUUGUUUAUUGGUUUAAAUGCACCUUGUUGUUUGGCCUCAGCUUCCUCCAUAAGAAGCUUACGCCUCCGACUUUCCCUAUUAUCUUCCCAUUGUGCAAGUUUUGCCUAAAAGCAUGGAAAUUAAAAAUAAAGUCUUCGGAACAACAUUGAAUAGAUUACUUCAAUAAAAGUUCAUCAUCACAAUAUAAAACUCUCACAUGAUAUUCCCCCAUAUCCUUUUCAUAUUGCUCCAACCUUCCAAGAAGAUUUUCUAGUUCAGUAGCAACUUUUUCUUGGUAAGGAUCAUGCUGCAGCUUUCCCUGUUCAACAAGACUCCUGUAAUGUGCAAGAAGUCCUGAAGAAAGAGCAGCAUUACUUUGCAACAAGCUUAUAAAACAAGAAAGAUUAAAGUAACCUGCCAAAUGGGUACACAGUUUUUUCUAUUUAUUGAUGUAUUCGUUAAUUAUCAACAUGGCACAUAGUUCAGACUCAAUUUUUCACUCUCUCAUUAUGAGUACGUGUAAUUACUAAUUAGAUGAAUCUUGCUUCGAAUAUAAUAGUUUCUAUGAGUAAAACUCAAGAAAAGAACCAACUAUAGACUUGACUGAAAUAUUUCAACAGGAAAAUAUAGUAUGAAAAUCUUUUAUCAGCAAGAACAUAAAUGUCCUAGAUUUUUCUUAUCAUUUAUUAGGCAAUAUAAAUGAUCUACGCACAAAAUGUUUAUAGACGUUUCACAUGCUGAAUAAAAGCUACAAGAACUACAUCGCAGUCCAAACAAGUUGGGGUUGGCUAUAUAAAUUCUCACUGGCGAUGUUUCUCCAAUUCAAAUUCAUCUCAGGCCAGCAUUAUACAAAAUAAAAAUAAAAAGUACUAGAAGUUCUAUAUAUCUUUUACUGGCAUAAAAAUCUGUAUUAGGCUAAAAGACUCCUAGAAUGCACAGAAUCUAAAGUAAACAAACUUACAUGACAAAAACACAUUCAUAACCAAUUGGCAUUGCCUACAUAGAUCUUUUUCUUCCAUUGUGCCUAGAUAAUAGGUUUUUAGAGACGACUUCCUUCUAUGUAAUUCUAGGCCUACUUCAUCCCCUUUAAUACCUUCACUCAUCACAGUAUCACACCUAUGGACCAAUGCAUCUGGAGGUCGACACAUGACAUGACCAAACCAUCUCAAGCGACCUUCUUUCAUUUUAUCCUCAAUGUGUGCUACUUGCACCUUUUGAAGAAUAUGAUUAUAUUUCAUAACAUUUGUUGGUCUUAUAAUAGGUCCAUAGAACUUACCUUUCACUUUUCUAUGCAUCCUUCUAUCACAUAACCCCAGUAGCACUUCUCCAUUUAAACCAUCCGAUUUUGAUAUUAUGUAUAACAUCUUCAUCUAUCAUUCCAUUCUCCUAGAACAACCAGACUAGAUAUCUGAAUCGUUUGCAUUUAGGAAUCACAACCCCUUAUAAUCUCACAUCAGUGAGUUUCAGUCGUUAAGUGAAACACCAAUGCCUCCUUUGUCUAUAAUAUAUAAUGGACACUCUGUUACCUAUUCAUCAAUUUAAAUGGGACACAGCUAAACAGAUACAUAAUUUCAGAGUUGACUGCAUACACUUUGACUAAACAAGUGUGGAGCAGAAGCUUACGGAAGUAGCAGAUCUAAACACACCCAAAUUGUAUUAUUUCUUAUGCAGAACAAAAUUUAAAAGUUUUCAACUUUCUCGAGCAUUGCACCCCACAAUCACAGUGUUCUAAGUAAUCACCACUUAUGGUUGUGGCAAGGUAUGAUAAAGAGGGGAAAGAGAAAAGGAAGACGCAAUGGGGAUCAACCAUGAAAGUUGCCUUGUCCACAUAAAGAAUUGAGCCUUCUGCUAGCGCCAUCUAUGAUAAGCCUCACGUCUAUGGCCGUGAUGAGUCACACUUUCAAGAAAAUGGCAAUUGGCUACGAAUUUAGCAAGUGAAUUUCCCCCUUACACCCUAAAUUUUACGGAUUUACCUUCUCCCAGCUCUAGCUCAAUUUGAUAGAAAGUGAAGAUUACUCACAUCAGAUUGACGAACAACUAAUGGAAUUCAUUUAACUACGUAAUAAUUCCACAACAAACUCUCUUAAUUAGAAAAUCUUAUCGUCCCCCCAUAUACUUUGUCUAAAUCAUAUAAUUGGGGUUACAAUCACACACUUUACACUUGAUUCCAAUUUUCAUCAGAACCUAUUAAUCAUCAAGACUUAUGUAAACACAGACACCUAAAUUCAUAGCUUAUUCACUAGAAACCAGAGGGGAAAACCCCGAAACUCAGAUAAAAUUCGAUAAUCAGUUGAACUCCUAGAAGAAAAACGCAUAAAAGAGCAACCUUUCCUAUGUAAUCAAUCACAUUUAAAAAGGUGCAAGAGACAAUAAUGAGGGGACUAACCAUGAUUCUUGGAGGGAGAAGAGCAAAUAUUGCUGUAAAAACAAAGAGCAUUAUGAUGAUUAUUGCUGCUGCGGAAUUUUGAGGAUCUAUGAGCGAAUCCAAUAGAAAGAAAAACAGAAAAUUUUCUCAUUUCACAAACCGCUUUUGCCGAUAGUUGUUUGUUCGGAAUCAACAGAGAAGAAUGGGGUUCGGUUCGUUACAAAAUUGCGCCAAUUUGUUGAAGAAGAAAGAAAAUGACAGACGUGGCCAUACAAGGGUCCAGUCGUUUUUGUCUUCGCAUUGUGUCUUCGAUUCAAUUAAUCAAAUGGCUAGUUUGUUACGCAAACUAAUCUUAUUACCGAUACCGCUGUUGGUGGCAUGUUUCGCCUAAUAUGUUCGAGUUUUGAGAAUGAAUUUUUUUGUGUGUGACAUAAAUUUAAAUUUAGUGAAACUUUAAUUUUUAUUUAGUCUAAUUUCAAUGUUACUAUGGAAAUCGAAUAAAAAACCUUAAAGAGAAGAAGAGGAGUCUUCAUAAAUAGUUAUAGUACUUUGUAUCAUAGUUAUGAAUAGUAAUACUUUGCCUAAUUAUGAGAGAGGUAAACAAGUUAUAUUUCGAUAUAACCUUUAUCUCAAUUAAAACUGAAAUACGCAUAUACAUAAUCACCUCUUUCUCUCUCCUAAAUCUUGCUCAAUUUUCUUUCCUCUCUCCCAAUCUAAUACAUGAAUAUAAUGUUAACUUUGAAUGAAAUAUAUAGAUACACAUUGUAUCAUAAUAGUAGGAAGUUCCUACUCAAGAUUUUGGAUAUCAUAAUCAAAAUUAGCCAAAGUAAUUUCAUCUUUUUUUGGUACUCAUAUUCAAGUACAUAACUAAUAGGGGUCCAUAUCUUAUAUCUUACAAAAUAAUGCACAAGUUAUGUGCAUAUUAGUGCUUCUUUGUUCUUCACGUCUUAGAAUGAAAUUCGUGUAUAUAUAAAAACUAUACCAAAAAUAACUAAUGAUUCGAAAUAAUUUUUUGGACAAUGAAAGUAGAAUGGAUUAGCGUUUGUCGCCAUUGAUGGCAUCAACAAGAUGCAGCAUUUACCCUCAAAAUCAAAGCUAUUCCGUUCACUUCACACAUCACUAUCACUCACCAGCAAGAACCGAGCAGCAGAGCAGAAUUGCUUAUCUCUCCUCCAACUCUGCGAUUCUCUGCCUAAACUCCUUCAACUCCAAUCCCAUAUCUUCAAAUUAGGCCUACAAAGUAACCCCCUUGUGCUCACAAAAUUCACUUCCAUUUCCUCUGAACUUAACGCUAUUGCCCACGCUUCAUCAUUCAUCUUUUCCCCAUAUGUUGAAACCCAUUACUUUGAUACCUUUCUUUUCAACACCAUUAUCAGAAGUUACGCUGUAACUAGUGAUUUUAAGGAUAAUGCUUUGUGUUUGUAUGGCAAAAUGUUAAGUUAUGGUAUUUGGCCUAAUAAGUUUACCUACCCUUUUGUGCUUAAGGCUUGUGCUGGGAUUGGUGAGUUGAAAUUAGGCCAGACUGUUCAUGGGUCAGUGGUGAAACUUGGGUUUGAUGAUGAUUCUCAUGUUUUGAAUACUAUGGUUCACAUGUAUUGUUGUUGUGAUGGUGGGGUUGAGUAUGGGCGGAAGGUGUUUGAUGAAAUGCGUAACUGGGAUUCAGUAGGGUGGAGUGCGAUGAUAGGUGGUUAUGUGAGAUGGGGUUUGUCUAGUGAGGCUGUAGGGUUGUUUAGAGAAAUGCAGGUUGUUGGGGUAGAACCUGAUGAAGUUACGAUGGUUUGUUUGUUGUCUGCGUGUAUAGAUUUGGGUGCCCUUGAGCUAGGGAAGUGGCUCGAGGCAUAUAUCGAGAGGGAGAAUGUUCCAAAGAGUGCUGUUCUUUGGAAUGCUUUAAUUGAUAUGUUUGCAAAAUGUGGUGAUGUUGAUAAAGCUCUGAGUUUGUUCAGGAGCAUGAGUCAAAGGAAUAUUGUUUCUUGGACUUCAGUUAUAGAUGGUAUGGCGAUGCAUGGCCGGGGAACUGAGGCUGUUUCUUUAUUUGAGGAGAUGAAGAAAGAUGGGGUUGUACCUGAUGAUGUUUCCUUUAUUGGGUUACUUACUGCUUGUAGCCAUUCGGCUUUAGUUGAGCAAGGUAAGGGCUACUUUUAUUCGAUGACAAAGGAAUUUGGGAUUUCACCUAAGAUAGAACACUACGGAUGCAUGGUUGAUCUGUUAUGUAGAGCUGGACAUGUGCAAGAAGCAUUGGAUUUUGUUCAGAGAAUGCCCAUUAAGCCAAAUCCAGUAAUUUGGAGAACACUUAUUAAUGCUUGCCGUGCUCAUGGUGAGCUGACGAUUGGUGAAAAAAUAACAAAAGAGCUGAUAAAAUAUGAGCCUAUGCAUGACUCUAAUUACGUAAUGCUUUCUAACAUUUAUGCAAAAAUGUUUUCUUGGGAGAAGAAGACCAUGAUUAGGGAAGUUAUGGCGAAGAAGGGAAUGAGAAAAGUUCCAGGGAGCACUAUGAUUGAACUAUACAACGAAAUCUAUGAAUUUGUGUCAGGAGAUAAAAGUCAUAGUGAGUACAAAAUUAUUCAUCAGAUGGUGGAUGAUAUUGGAAAGGAGAUUAGAAAAGCUGGAUUUGUUGCUUCAACAUCAGAAGUGUUACUUGAUAUCGAUGAAGAAGAUAAAGAAGGCGCUGUAAAUAGGCAUAGUGAAAAGCUUGCUAUUGCAUUUGCCCUUAUGAAGACACCUCCUGGAACUCCUAUCCGAAUAGUGAAAAACUUACGAGUCUGUGAAGAUUGCCACUCUGCAACUAAAUUCAUCUCAAAGACUUACAAGCGAGAAAUAUUGGUCAGGGACAGAAACCGAUUUCACCGUUUCAUAGAUGGGGUUUGCUCAUGCAAAGAUUUCUGGUAGCUUAAUGUGCAUGAUGUUGUAAUCAAUAUCAGUCAUGGCAACCAGGAGUGUCUUUUCAUGAGCAUUGUCAGCUGAACGGCUAAUCCAAUAUGCAUGGUCUUCUUGCGUAAACAAUGGAACUAAAAGUAUGAUGCUACAAAAGGAUAUUCAUUUUUUGGACGGUCUUCUUGAUUUUCUGAGUUUCUUUUGUAUCUUUGUCUCUCUGUGGAGGCAUUGUUUCGUUGGAGACGUUGUAAUCAUGGCAUCAUUGGCUUCCUUAAACAUCGUCACGAAGGCAGGUAUACUCCAUUGGUUGUCUUUGACUGGUAGAUGACAUUAAUACUGAACAAAGGUGAUGGAUGCAUGAGGCUUCUACAAUUGACAAACAAAAUUAAUGCUCAUAAUAAUAGUUGGAGAAUAUGCGUGAAGAUGCUUUGAGAAGGGAAGCCUUGUAGCAACUGUAAGAGUUGUCCCCGUGUGACCAAGAUGUCAUGAGUUCAAGUCAUGGAAACAACCUCUUGGAUUACAUAUAAUGGAUCAAAUAUGGCCUGGCCCUUCAUUGGAGACUGCAUAUAGCCGGGAGCUUUGUGCUAGUGCGCGAAUUUUUCAUCUCCAAGGAAAGAUAUAUUUUGCUAAAAAAAAAAAAAGCAUACCGUUGGUUAUUGAUUAUUCACUCUGCUGACAAGAGAGAGUUGAUCGAAUGGUAAGCUGCCUUCAGCUCAAAUCCUAAAGUUGUCCGCUCGAGUUACAAGGGAGCAAAAAGGCGGAAGUUCCUAGGAAAAUAUAAUUUUCUUUAAACACUAAUGUAUUACAACUUCCCUUACUCAUUAGAUUCGUCCAUACAUGAAAAUAAUAAUGAACAAGAAGACAAAUGACUUAAAAGUAUAACAGUUUUCGCGCAGCUGCUACACUCUAGCUUUUUUACCUUAUCGCACCUAGUAAAAUGAUCUUUCAUGUGAAGCAUUCACCUUUUUUAUUUGGGUGAAAGCUAGCGCGCAAGACUUGCUUAAUCAGAUACACGGAAACAAGACAUAGAGUAAACAAUCCAUCAAUGUCACGCUGAAAUGUCUGUUAACUCUUGAAAAAUCAUGUUCCAAACACCCACAAGAAUCAUAAAAUGAACUAGAAUUCAAAAUACAUAAAUAGUUCACAAAUAAUACUCGUGACUAAGGUAGUAAAUAUUGGAAUAAAAGUUGUAUGUUUGUCUAAAAAUUGGCAACAUUUUUGGCGUAAGAAAUUACAAAUUUUAUAGCAAGAAUCAUCACUUCAAUUGCAUUAAAGUAUGUUAUCUGUAGAUCCCAUGAACUUAUGGCGAAUUUACUCAAAAUUUUAACGGAGCAGCAGAGAAUUAUUUAUGAAUUUUUGAAAUUCAAAUACCGAAAAAAAUAUUAAAACGGACAAAAGUCAAAAUUGCCCUUACGCACAAUUUUUCCCCAUGUUAAUAGUUGGGAUCAGUAUUGCCCUCGUCGUUAUGCAAAUUGGAUUAUAGAAGACUUUCUUUUUUUUUAAAUGUGAAUAUUUGUGAUUCUCUUAUGGGAUGUUUAAUAAAAUUAUAUAGUGCAUCUACUUUUAUGUACUCUAAUAAUAAAUAAUGCUUAAUUUAUUAGCUAACCGUUAUUGAAAUGCGUCAAUUUAUUUCUUCUUUCAUAUUCAAAUGUCAAGAUAUAUUAAUCUCUUAUAUUUCUUCGAAGCUAUGGUAUAUUAUCGAUAAUUAUAAAUAUUAAACGCAAGUUUAUUAGUUUUUCAGCUUUAUGUUGACUUUUAUGUUUAAUUAUUAAAAUUUUGGUUAAAUUUAAACGCAUACAUAGACUAACAAAAUAACAGUAUGAUGUGUAAGGCUGUUCAAAAUCGAAUCGAAACCGAUAACCUAAAUCGAAAAAAGGUUAUUAGUUUAUCAGUAUUGGGUUAUUGGUUUAGCGGUUUUGAUAACGGUUUUGAUUUUUUUUGUUAUCGGGUUAUCGGUUCUUAACGGUUUGAAGUUUUUUCUUAACGGGUUAACCGAUAACCCGAUAGUAAAUUAAAUAAUUAUAUUUAUACCAUUUUGUAUAUAAAGUCUUUGACUUAGAGUUUGGUUUCCUACUUUUAUUUUUGGUUGUCUCAAACACUUGGUUAUUUUAGAAUGUAAAAGUGUUUGUUUUUUAGCAAGAUGUAACUUGUGAACUCAUGUGCAUGGUUUAUUUGGUUUGUCACCUUGUUUUUAAGUGAUUUUCAAUGUUUUUUGUGUCAAAUCUUAACAGUUAAACCGAUAACGAUCAAAAACUGAUAAACCAAUAAUCGAUAAGCCAAUAUCUUAAUGGUUCUAUAACGGUUUAGCAUCUCUACAAACCGAUAACCAAUAAGCCAAAUCGAUAAACUUCAAAACCGAAUCGAACGAUACGCGGCCCUAAUUACGUGUACGUUUAUCAAUUUAUGCAUUACUACUAAAUAUAAUUAUGUGUACGUUUAUCAAUUUAUCAAUUACUACUAAAUAUAAUUAUGUGUACGUUUGUCAAUUUGUCAAUUACUACUAAAUUUAAUUAAUUUAUUACCUUCACAACUCCUUGAUGAAGAAGAAGUUGGUAUAAUAUUAACUCUUUAACUAUAAAAUAUGAAUUUAAUUUGCAGUCAAAGAUAAGAUCUUUCUUUAGAUAUAAUCCACUUUAAUUUGCAACUAAUAUAUAAAAUUUAAUUACUUCAUCAUACCCUUUUGUCAAUAUUUCUAUUUUCUUCAAACCACAACUUAAAAUAAAAUUUUUAAAAAAAAAAAAAUUAAAAAAAACAACUUAGUACUGUGAAUCACCCUUCUCCCCUGUACCAUUCUGUUCUCUUUCUGUCAACAAUAGUCCUCCACCUUCUUCUUCAUCAUCCUGCUGAAGCUGACACUUCUUUUCUGCUUCUUUUGCCUUCAAUGUCUGCAAUUUCUGAUGAUUAUAAUAAGCAACUCCCAAGAAUGCUAACCCAUAUCCAACCAAAUUCAAUGGAGUCACACUAUCCUUAAUCACAGACCAAGAAAAUGCAAUAAGCAGCCAAUCUUUAACAACCCCACCAAUAUUCAUUGUUAAAGCUGAAGUCUUUCCAACAACCAAGAACACAGCUAAGUUCAAUGCAAAUGCACACAAACAAUUAGUACCAAAAACCAUAAAAUCAAAAUCAAAACCAAAACCCCUUUCUUUAAAAACUGGAAGUUCAACAAAAACCCAUGGAAUUGACAAGAAAACAAAGCAACUUGGAGCAACAUAGUAUAAUGUAGCAAUAGGGUUUAGCUUAAUUCCCUUUGAAUUCAACAAAAUCUGAAUCAAGACCAAUCUAGUUGCUUCAACUAAAACAGAGAGUAAUUGAAGUGAAACCCCAAAAGAAUCAAACUUUGAUUCACCAUAAGCAGCAAUAGCAACCCCAAUUGAAAUUGCCAACAUAUUACACAUGGUGGAUUUCUUAAAACUAUCUUUUUUCAACAAAAUCCCAAUUGUGUAAACUGCAACUGGCAUUAAGGCUUUAAGCAUUUGAAUGAAGGAAACAGAGAGGUAAAUAUAAGCAGAAUUUGAUAGCCAGAGUGAAAGAGAGUAAAGGGCACCAAUGGGUAAAACGCAAGUGAAAUAUACUCUGCGGGAUAAGGUGAAAAGUUCGACCAAUUUGAGGAUACGUACGAGGAAGAAAGCUAAAGAAGAACAAAAACCCAUGUGAAUCAUUGUAAGAGAAAUUGGAAAAGGCCAAUUGUAGAGCUUUUUAUCAAGAAUGUAUUUGUUGUAUACAAUGACAGUGCCGGAGAGGACAAUCCAGAUUGCUAAGUAAGUAUACAAAAGAAUUACUUUUUUCAGUACUCCGCCGGAAAGGGUGGCGUUUUUUGCCAUCAUGGUGGCAGUUCACGGCGGAGGAAGGCGGUUCACGGCGGAGGAAGAGGAGGAUUUGGUUGUGUAGAAUUUGAGGAGAUUGGGAAAAAAGUGAAAGGACUUGGAAUAUUUGUAAGAAAAUCUAAUAAACCAAUUUGAGUACAAGUCUAAUUAUAACAAAUGUUAUUUAACACAACAAGAAUACUUAAAAAUUGGAAUAUAAUCACGAGAAUUUACAUCCUCCGUCACAAAAUAAGUAUUAUUUCAUCCGUAAAAACAUUAUCUCAAAAUAAAUAUUAUCUUAAAAAUUGAAAAACAAAAUUAAUAUAUUUUCUCAACUAUAUCUUUAUAUUUCAUAUUCUUAACGUUAUUCAAUUUUUAAAAAAAAUAAAAAAUUAAUUAGGAGUAAUUUAAUAAACUAUAUAUUAUAUUUAUUAAUUUUUUUAAUGAAUAUAAAUUUUACUAAGAUGACCCUUAUUUUGAAAGAAAAAAAAAAUAGUUAUAAAGGAUAUAACAUGAAAAAUAUAAUAUUGAUAUGCGCUUGAAAAAUAUUACACUGAGUAUUUAAGGAUCGUUCGGUAUAAAUUCAUAUAUUCAAUCAAAUAUAAUAUAAUCUAAUUCAAACUUAUUUUUUAAACACUUCAUCAUAUCAAUUUGUUCAAAAAUUAUGAUCGCAAAAUUAUAACUUUGAGAUAAUUUAGAUUACAUAUCAAAGGACCAUACUUGGUGUUUAUAUCUUCCUUCUUUUUUUUUGUUAUUUUUGUCUAAGAGCUUCUUUAUUUUUGACUUUCUUAGUAAUAGGAACUUACAAUUUUAGAAUUGAAAAUAAAAAAUAUUUUUCGCUUGAAUAAUUUUCUCUUAUCACUCCGUGUUUAUAGCAAAAUAUAGAUGAAUGAUAUAUGCUUAUAGAUUGACUUUUAACACUUAACUAUAGAUAAUUAAUAUAUAUAUAUAAUGAAAUUAUUUAACUAUAAACAAUUUAUAUAUAAAAUAAAUAGUACAGAUAGUCUGAACUCUGAUACUUUAUUUUUCAAUAAAAUCUUUGUUACUGCUUCUUUAUUUUUUUUAAAAUUAACACGUGUUUUUAUCUAAUACUUCGAUAUUUACUAGGUAAGGGGAUCAGAUUGUACCUAGGGAAAAGUUGUGAAUUUAUUUUUUCACUAAAGUGAAAAGUGGAGGAACAUAUUACAACAAAGUGCAACUUAAAGAGGAAAAUCAAUUGAUACUCUUUAGUAUCUUAAGGCAAAUAGCUGGUUAGAUAUUUUUAAUAUCCAGUUAAUAUACAUGAUUAUGCUCAUAAAAUACAUGAAUUAAAGUUCUAGUUAAUUUUCUAUUCAGAACAAUCUUUAACAUAAAAUAAAAAACCAUAGUCACUUUUAAAAUGCUUCUCCAUCCUUGCCCUUAUAUAGCUUUAGCAAUCAGCCCGUAGCUAUUUGCCAAAAGAUGGUCAAGUUUUCUAUUUGUGGCACUUUGUUCUUCCACAUGCUGCCUUAUUUAAACCAUGGGGAAGGUCGAUUUAAAUUUGAACGGGUCGAAAUUGACAUACAAAAGUUACUUUAACUCAAAGGGGUAAAAAAUGCAUAUCAUAACCUAACUCAUCCAAUUCUUACUAAAUUUUAAUUUUUUACUUGUUCUUCUAUAAUUUAUUACUUUCUCUAUUCCAUUUUAUGUGGCACCCUAUCCUUUUAUACAUCCCAAAAAGAAUGUAGUCUGAAAAAACUCUCCAUCAACCACACAAAUAUUCAAGGAUUAUUUUAGACCACGAGUUUCAAUAGUCUUCCUUUUUUUUUUAAACAAUGUGUCAAAUCAAAAGAUGUCACACAAAAUGAGACGAAGUAGUACCUAAUAAAACAUUUUUUUUUUAAUUAUACUCGUAUAUAACAUCUAACUAGAAAAUAUCCUCAAGAACAUGUAUUCUAUAGAAUACAAAUAAGAGUUCUAAGCACAACAGGUAACAUAUAAUCCAUUGAUGGCCUCAGAAUUAUUUCCCAAUUCAAUCAAUCAAAACACCAGGUUAUCAUCUAAAUAGGUUUAAGCUCUGCUAGAAAUACAUGCCACAAAAUAGAAUCAAGAAUACUGUAACAAAUACACAUGCAGACAUAUGUCAAGCAUAACAGUUAGUGCAGAAGGUACAAAAAACAUACAACAUGAGAUUUUAGGCAACUCAACGUUUUCGAGAUGGGUUUCCUUGCGGGUGUACCCACUAGUUUUCCUAUUUAACUUGUAUUGGAAGAUGGGAAAUGUGCUUCCAAUGAAGUACACUUUUACGAGCAAGAGAUAGUAUCAAUAUCCAUUCUUAGCCUUAUAAACAGCAGCGCUGUCAGCUAAGGACGACAAAGUGGGUCACUAAUCAGCAGACCCCUGUCCACCAGUAGCAACCCGAUAACCGUGACCAUUUCUAAUGGUACCACUGUGUAUCAUCAAUUAAAUCCAAGGAGAUACAAGCAUUGAAUGUCAGAGGCAGGACAUAAAAUUCAUCAUGCCUAACUGAGAAACUCCACUCCCCAUAAUGAUAUCAACAAAAUUCUCUUCUCAAGUACCACCGAUGAAUUCCAGUGGGUUUCCAAACAUGAUCCCAGCAGGGUAGAGCGCUUCAGGAAAAUAGCUCUAGAAACUUAAAUUAAACAGAUAUUAUGUUUACGUAACAACAGCUAACAAGAAUAUGAUUCAAAAACUAGGCAUAAUAAAUCAUUGGGAAGUAUAAAUUAUAGAGCUUAACAAGAUAACACUCAAGACAUUUGUCAUGUUCCUCUUAACUGACGAGAAACAGCAUGGUUCAACUAGGGUACAGCAGUCCAGCAGUGUCAAAGCACAUAGUAGGAGGCCACCAUUCCUUCAAAUUAGAAGGUCUAAAAGGCAAAGAUAGGCGAUAAACAAAAGCAAACAUCUGUCAGUUCCCCCCCAUCUUCAGGCAAAGUGACUUCAAUAUCCGCCAGGACACUCUCAUCUCACUAAGAUGGCACUGCAUAAACAAACAAAAAAUUGUUAGCCCCAGAUCAACUUGAUUAAAAGCAUUAAGAUAUUGCAAAUUCCUCUACAUGGGAUCAACCCAUUACAGAUAUCAUAGCUGAAAAUAUCCAUAAAACCCAUUUAGCACAAAACUAGUGGUGAGGAACAAAUGUUAACCUUCAAGGAUAAGGGUCCAAUAUACCCAAAUUGAGCUGGCAGUUCAAAAUAAAUCAGUAAAAAGGAGCUAACUAAUCCACCCUUUGCUUUUCGAGAAGCACAAUUCAGUUCACAAGAUCUAAGAGCCUGUUUGGAUUGGGCUUAUUUUAGGUGCUUUUGAGCCAAAAUGGUUUUUAAGCACUUUUGUAGUGUUUGGGUAAAAUUAUAGAAGUGCUUAUAAACACUUGUUUUUAAGCCAAAGCUAAUCCAAACAGGCUCUUCAAAGUCAAUAAUAAACUAGCAGAUGCAUGUUUAUCAUCUAUAUUCCAGUUCAGUUUUUACUUGAAACUUCUCUAGAUCCAGUCAAUCUGCAAACUGACAAUCAUGGGAGGAAAGGACUACUAUUCACGUCUAGCACAUAACAUUUUGUUUCUUUUAUAGAAGUCAAACUGCAAGAUUAAGUAAAUCAUAUGCCAGUCCAAUAUCUUCAUGAAGCUACAUAAUCACAGCAGACAAAUACUACUCAAGGCCUCUAUAUAAACCAUGAGAUGUUCUAAAUGUGCUUCCAUGAGUUACAUUGUCAGGCAGAAAAGCACUUGCACACCAAGAAACAUUAAAGGCAUCAAUAAAGUAAACACCAAGGAGGAGGACAUACUGUAUGUAGAAGUAUCAAUCUGCUCAGGAAGCUCUUUUAUGUCUACUUCAAACCUUUCCUGAACCUACAAUAGUGAAGCACAAGCAACUUAGAAAAUUAUGGACAACACUUCCAUAACAAGAUAAAAUAUUCAACAGUCCCCAAACCUGAUUAAGAACUUCAGAAUCUGAUGCAGAGGACACAAAUGUAAUGGCAAGGCCUUUCGUUCCAAACCUACCAGCUCUACCCACCUAUCAAUGUUUUCAAAGACAAAAUAAUUAGCACUAAAAGCACAAGUAAUCAAAAGUUGAAACAGUGAAUCCAAAUAAAUAAGGACUUACUCUGUGAAGGUAAGUGUCUGCAGAAUCUGGCAUGUCAUAGUUAAUAACAAUGUUGACCCUUUCAAUGUCAAUGCCCCUACCAACCAAAUCAGUUGCCACGAGAAUUCUCUUAUGACCCUCCUUGAAAGAUUUGUAGCGAGUCAAUCUACAAGUCAAAGAUUCACACAGUUUAACAAACAUCAAGAAUAGCAUUAUAAAAAUUCCACACCCUACUUAUUCCACUCAAUUGACAUGCAAUAAGGACCUGAAAGUAAUUUGACGGAGGAUCUCCAAAUUUUAACCAUUUCAACAGGGAAGAAAAAGACGACAACAACAACAACAACAACAACACACCCGGUGUAAUCCCACAAGUGAGGUUUGGAGAGGGUAGUGUGUACACAAACCUUACCCCUAGGGAGAUAGAGAAGUUUUCAGAUGGACCCUCUCAACUCAAGUAAAAGCAAUUCGGAAAGAGGAAGCCAAGACACAAUGCUAAAGGGAGCAUGACAAAGCAUACUUAAUAAAGGACACUCACUACAACAAAAUAUCUGAUCGAGAAGUGCAAGAAACACUAAUUUGAAAUAGAAAUGGAAUAAACAAGAAACUCUCUCAGAGUAAUACCUACAACUACUAAUAUGAAGGAAAACGAGACAACUCUCAAUUGCCUAACUAAUCCUCUACCCUAGUUUGUGUCCUCCAUAACCUCCUAUCUAAGGUCAUGUCUUCGGUAAACUGAAGUUGGGCCAUGUCCUGUAUAAAUCACCUCUCCCCAAUACUUCUUCGGUAUACCACUACCUCUCCUAUAAUCAUCCGAGGCAACCUCUCACACUCACAUUGGGGCAUCCAAGUGACAUUUUGCACUAGCAACUUUAAAAAUGAUUUUAGGUCUAUUUUUGGCUCUAGCUCUUGUCAAUAAUUAUGUGAUUUGUUAAGCUCUCUUGAGCAAUUUUUUAGCCUUUCCAAUAAGGUCGACAACUAGAGUUUGCAAUUUCUUUUUAAUUGCCAUUGUGUAUAGGCUUUCUAGUUUAGUUUCCAUUAGAAUUUCCAUUUUCACAAGUAUCUAAGCUCGUAGGCUAAUAAAUAUGAAGCUUCAUUGGGUGAAUUGUUGUUAUUUAGCCAUUUUUAUGCUUGAAUGUGAAAGUAUUGGUUGCAAACAUUAUUUUAUGCCCUAUUGACUAAGUUCUUGCUUGAGAAUGAAGAAUUGAGUUUAGGUAAUUUGGAUAACAAGGUAUUAGGCUGAUUGAGGAAUCAACUAAGCUUAAUAACAAAGGUUUGAACUAGAGUAGGAAUAACCUCUAUUGGCUUCAUAAGCAAUUGCAUGUAGUGUUGCCUUAUUUGACUUGAGAAAGCUAAUAUGGGCCAAGUUUCUCAUUAAUCAAGAGAUAUUUAGUAUUGAAAGUAAUAACCAAUCUCCAAUCACAAUAGCCAGCUAAUUAGGUAUUACCCAUUGAGUUAGCACCUAGGUAAGAACUACAACUCUAGGAUUUUAUCUAUUUACUACAUUCGUAGCAUAUUACUUUGUUUUCUAAUUGUCUAGUUAAUUGUUUACUUGUUACUUUCAAUAUGUAGUAUAAAAACCAAAAAUAUUAUCAUUCAGGUAAUAUCGGGGGGGCUGACAAGUGGUUGUCACUACCUUAACUUAUCCCAAAAAAUCAUCCAUAUUGUACCAUUUUCCAUGCUAAACUAGAAUAUAAGUAGGUGCAAAAGGAAAACUGCAAUCAACAACAGUCACGCACCUUUCUUCCUGAGUCAUGCCAGAGUGGAUGCAGAUAGAUGGAAAAUUACACUCCGCUAGUAAUUUAUUCAGCUCUGCUGCUCUGUUCACACUCUUGACAAAUAUAACUACUUGAUUGAAGUCCAAGGCAUCCAGCAGAUCAUUUAGCUUCCGGUUUUUCUCCGUUUCACUCAAUUUGAUGUAAUGCUGUUAUAAUAAAAGAAACCAGAUAAGAAAGCUAAUUUGGAUGUAAAGAAAUCAUGGCAUCAUAUCUUUGCACCCAAGAUGUACCUGUACAAGUCCAUGAAGGGUCAACUUUGCCUCAUCGUCAACAUAAAUCUCCAUUGGCUGAAAAGAACGCCACGGUAAAGCAUAUUAGGAGCUUCAUGAAGCUAAUGGUACCCAGAAUGAGGGAUGAAGAAGAAUCCACAGUCCAUCUGUGCAUUUUCUCCCGGGAGAUGGUAAAAUCAGACCAACUAUUCCUCAUUGUUGCUCAACAUAUUUACAACACCAACAAGAAUCUUUCCCUUAAUAGUGCAAGCAUCGAUCCGACCUAGAUAAUUCCAUCCCACACAAUACCUUUACCCCCAUGACAAAAACAUUUUAAUUUGUACUUCUGAUCACAAGCACAAAUGGAAGAAAACAAAGGAACUACAAGCUCAGAGCACAACAACCCAUUUUUCUCUGUGCACAUCCCUCACUAGCUUUGACCAAAUAAACUACACUACUAAAUGCUAGCAGAAAUUUGAAAUGAUGAAAAUCGGAAGACUUCAACUUUCAAGUAGAAUUGGCAGAGGACAUUACAUCUUGCAUAAAUUUUUUGCAGACUGGACGGAUCUCCUUGCUGAGUGUUGCUGAAAACAUCAUUACUUGCUUGUCAUGGGGAGUCAUCUUGAAGAUUGCCUGCACAUCUCUCCUCAUGUCUGCAAACAGAGUACAGGUAAUGAGUUGCUAAAAGAUAAUGUCGCGGAAAUAUGCAACUAGAAUCAUGAAAGCAGGAUAUUAAGCCAAGACAUACCAAGAGAAUCAAGCAUCUUGUCACAUUCAUCCAGAAUAAAAUGCCUCACAUUCUUCAGAGAUAGGUCUUUCUCUCUAGCCAAUGCAAGUACUCUUCCAGGAGUUCCAACAACAACAUGAGGACAUUCAUUCUUCAGAAGCUCCUUGUGAAGUUUGAUAUUGACACCACCAUAGAAGACAGCAACCUUGAUAUCAGGCAAAUAUGUGCUGAACCUCUCAAAUUCAUGACAAAUCUGCAGACAACAAAAGAACCCCACAAAAAAAGAGGGUUACUUGAUAUUUGGAGAGAAAAAAUAUGAUUAGUGAAGCAGAAAAGCAGAUUUCAUUGCAUACCUGAUAAGCUAAUUCCCUUGUAUGACAUAAGACCAAAGCAGCAACCUGACCAGGAACAGGUUCAAUCUGCUGCAGAGUCGAAAGAACAAAAACAGCAGUUUUGCCCAUUCCAGAUUUGGCUUGACAAAUAACAUCCAUACCCAAAAUAGCUUGUGGAAUACACUCAUGUUGCACUGAUGAAGAACCAAAUAGAGUGGAGCCAAAAAGGCCUCAGUUUCAGAUUUAAAAAGUUUACCACAGUAUACUUCUCCAAAAUAGUAGUGAUAGUAAUAAUUUACCUGAAAACAGAUAGAGAAAUAGAUUGUCAAGAACCCACUAAAUAGGCAAACAAGGUGAGGUUUUACCAAAAACAAUGAAUGGAUAAACAAAAUAGACAAAAUGAAUUGAAGACAGCAUGCAUUGCUGAGUGUUUCAGUUUUUUAUGCAUUUGUCUUCAAUAAAGUACACAUUUGCUUCAUUUUGCGCUUAAAACCCUUAGAAAACAAAGGUCCUCUGACAGCACCGGUGAAAGCAUAGAGAGGAGUAAACUCCCUUUCCCCCUCCUUCCCCCAGGGGAAAACUUCUUUUUUAUAGUAAAGUAGGUGAAUUGUAGACAGAUAUACACAUACACCAAACAAAGAAAAAAAGAAGAAUAUUCAGUUUCUUUAAAGGAUGUGAGACUAUGAGUGCAGGGGGAGAAAUAGAUGUAACAACCCAAGCCAAGCAAAAACAGUUCUUAUUUAAUUUUUCGGCUAAGUUCUUUUGUGAUAACGCAUAUAAUAUAUACACUCAUUAUUUCUGGCUUCUUCUUUUUCCAGUUUUCUUAUAUAUCACUUUAAGCCAUCUUAAGUAGCCCAAAUUGACCUGGUUGGAUUACAAUUUUAAGGGCUAAAUUUGACGUCUCUAAAGAAUAAUAUUCUCAACCACUAGCAUCCUGAAUGUUGCCCGAUUUCAAUAAGAAAACUCAUAAAUUAAUGAGUGAAAAAACAAGAUCACACAGAUCAAAAUGCCUUCAAAGAUAGUCAAAUUUAGCCCAUGCAAGUGUAACUCAGUUAACCCAUCUAAACUUGGACGAGUUGGGAUAGGAAUAUACACAUUGAUGAGCCAACUCAGACACAGCCAAAGUUAGCCCAUCUUUCUCACGUGUUUGACCACUAGUUGAAUAGGAUGGUGGACAGCUUGACACCACACAGAAAAAUAUUCUUAUUGGCAGUUAAAAUAUCAAAAAAGGAAAUAAACACCCCAUAGAACAAUAAAUUUGCAGAAUCAAUGUACAGAUACGAGAUGACUUGCCUUCAGAGGGAUGCUCAAACCCUGAAUCCACAAUAGCCCGCAGUAGCUCUGGCUUUAAAAGAAAGUCUCUGAAUCCAGAACUGUGAAUUCCAACAUAACCCCUACAUUGACAAAAACAUUUAGACUUAUUAUAAUAUUCAAAAUCACAGGCUUAGGAAGUAGAAAAGAAGAAUGAUAAUCAGAUAUGGUGGCGUAUUGAAACCAUUUAUUCAGUAAGUGCGCAGAUAUAUUUACUGUUAAAAUAAAAAUAGAAGAGAUCCUCACUUUUUUUUUUACUUUUUUUUUUGAUAACCGAGAAAUUCGAGAAGAGAUCCUCACUUCUCACCAUAUGAACAUAACUACAUGACAGAAGACACUAGUUUUUCCAACUCAAAACUGUAUAAAAAGAACAAGAAAAAGUAUUUACACUAAGCGCUUCGCACUCUCAAUCUCAGUUUAUAAAGUUAAGGCACACAGAAAAAAGACAUUCGCUUUAAUUAUAACAGGGAUGGACCACAACAAUCGAAUUGAUUAUCUCAAUGAACAAGUACACUAUAUUACUUAUUAGAAAAGAUUGUAGAAACCAUAAACACGCAUAGUCUGAGCCAUACCACUUGCUUUACACAAAUUGGGUCAAACUUCAGGGUCAACCUUUAUAUAAGCAUCACGACACCACACAUGUUCACACAAAUUUCAGAAAAAGAACGAAAAAUAUAAAUUGAAGUAAAGCUCACUUCUUGGCAGACUCGCCGUUUACUUUUCCAUUAACGGAAUCUGGGGCCUUCUCAUCAUCUUCUUCGUAGUCGAGAAGUUCUUCCUCGUAAGCUUCGUUUUCCUUUGUAUCUCCCAUCUUGCUACUUUACUGCACAUGUGAAUCGAAGAUCUCAUUAAGCAAAUAGUAUCAAAAUUCAGAUCAGUAAACAUGAAUACUUAGUUUUCGAAAGUAAAGAUCAACUCUUUCAAAGUUCAAACUAAAUCUAUUGCAGGAAGUAGAGGAUAAAAAAGAAAACUUUCUCACAGGGGAAGUGCUUACCAGUUGGAGACUGCCGGAAAAACUGAGUUCUUGCGGCGAAUUAGGGUUAGGGUUUGGAGCGUCUGCAGAAAAAAAUGUUAGAACUAAAAAGAGUGUGAUAAGGGAGUUUGAAUUGAAAGGGGAUAGGUUAAUAACGAGGGAUACUGAAAUUUUCUUACCAUUUUUGUCCUUGUGCUAUAUCAAAAUUACGGUUUGGUACAAGUUGGAAGUGGUAGAUAGAGCUGUCAAAAUGGAUUUGGCCCGCUAGGUCGGUCCAACCCAAUUCUUGAAUUAAAUGGGAUUGGGCUCAAUUUUUUCAGCCUAUUUAGGUAUGAGGCUUUUUAGCCCAGCCUCAUUUGGCCCGCUGGCCUCGUAGGGCCAACCCACAAGCCUUAGAGGCCAGCCCGCGGGCUAUGAAUUCUAAAAAUAUUUAUUAUAUAUAUUUUAAGUAGUGUUUUACUUGUUAAGAUUUUGUCAAUAAAUAUUUUUAAAGUAUCAAUAUAAAAUCAAGACUAUAUUUUUUACUAUAUCUCUUACACUUUAGGGUCAUUAGUCCACUAAAUUUUCUUAUUAGCUCAAGUCCAUUACUCCAUCAUAACUAUGAAUCUUUGACCUUUUUCACAUUUGUUUUUAUGCCUAAUUUUUCAAUUCUCUUUUAUUGUCUUGUUUAUGAAAAUAGUGAUCAUGUAAUGUUUUUUUGCUCGGAUGAAUCUUAUGAAUGUUGUAUCUUGGCUAUUAUGUAUUUGUUUUGUAAAUAUUCACUGAAGUAUGUGUAAUUCAUGAAUGAAUUUAUGUAUGUAUUGAUGUCGUGUUCAUCGGACAUCAACGUUAGUAUCUUUUCUAAGAGGAAAAUGUUGUCCAUUUUUUGGUUGAAGGGCCAACCCGUCCCAAUUUGUGGCCCGCUUAGGACUGGGUUGGGCUGUUAUUUUAUAGGCCCUUUAAUUAAAAGGGUCAGCCCGUCCCAACCAAACUCUCUCGCCCGUUAGGGUUGGGUUGAGUCAGCCCAUUUUGACAGCUCUAGUGGUAGAUUUGAAAUUUGGGAGGUCAAUGGAUAAAUAAGUUUUUUAUUGGAAUUUUUACAUAAAUAAUAUAUUUAUUUGAUUAAUUACGCUUUUAAGUGUUACUUUUUUUUAAUACCAUAUAUGAUAUAAUUUUAGCUUUAAUAAUUAUUUGAUAUAAAUUUGUAUUAAAGUUGUAUUAAAAUUGUAUAUUAUGUGAAGUUUUGAAAAAUUGUAUUAAAUAUAAAUAAUCGGUGGUCUGGUGGUAGUGAUUAUGAAAAAAAGAGGUGAAGCUCUGAAAAAUAUGUAUUAGAGUUGAAUUAAAAUUGUAUAGAUAUAACGAUAGUUAUAAUACAAUUCGAUAUUUGAUAUUAUACAUUACUAUAAAUUCGAUAGUUAUUAUUCCAGAACAAAUAUAAUACAUUUCUAACAAUGUAAGCUAAUUUAAAUAGUACCAGAAUGUUUGGAAUUCACAUAUAAUACUUAUGAAAUAUUUGUUUUAAAAAUGUUUUAGUUAUGUAUUAGGUGAUUCUGGAAAAAUUGUAUUAAAGUUGUAUCAAAACUGUAUUAAAUAUAAACAAUCGGUGGUUUGGUGAUGGUGAUUUACCAAUAAAGAAGAGGUGAGGUUCUGAAAAAUUUGUAUUAAGUUGUAUAAAAAAUAGUGAUAAGGACAAUGUUAUUUGUGGUAAGAAAAGUAAGGUUAAUUUGUGUAAGAGUAAAAGAUAUGUUAUAAUUCGUAAAUAAAGUUAUAUAAUAUAUUAUUUAUGUAAAUUGACUUUUUUUUAAUGAUUGUGGUGUCUAGAUCAAAUUUCACGAUCUUAAUUAAUUUUAUGGAAUAUUUAUUAUCUUUCAUCAGUAACAAGUAUCAGUAACUUUGUCCAAUUAUAUUAAGAUAAAUGGGAAGAAUCACCUAAUUUUUUUUUGUUCUUACUAAAAUUUUAAUUUAAAAUUUCAUAAUAUUCUUAACUAUUUCCUUAACUACUAAUUCAACUACCGCGCCAUAAAAAAAAAACCUUUAAUUUUUUUAUUUUUUAUUUUUUAUAUUCUUCAAUUUCAUGACAACUCUAUAGUUUCACAAUUGUAGCAAAAAAACCUUGACUACAAGAAGCAUCAUACACAACACAACUCAUAAUAAACUUUUCCUCCUUUCUUUAAUUUAUAGGAAUAAUAGGUCAAAUUUCAAUUAUUGAAAAAGUUAAUAAAUGAAUGUAAUAUGAUGGUGGUAAGAUGUGAUAGAUACUUCAAUAAAUGACGUAAAAACGAAAAAAAAAAUCCUCAAAAUCUAUCCAUGAAGAUAAAAUAUUCACCUUUACUUUUGAAACUUAGAUUUAAUUUUACAAAGGAAUAGACUAAAUAAAUCGUUCUUAACAAUGUUUUAAUGAAUGUGAUAUACAUUUCGCCCGAAAAACUUAAUGGUAAGUACAUACAAUUAUUUAUUGCCAAUUUUUUUUUAACAUUUUUCCCAUCCCAUUCCAACAUGAUGAUUAGUAGCACUAUUCUUAUUUACCUUGCGAUUUGACUUGAAUUCUCAAUCUAUCGAUCUAUAAUCAAAUUAUUCAAUUAUUGAACAAGCCUCACUUGUCUAUCAGGUGGACCUUAACUACACAAAGUUGAGAAAGUAAUUUAACUAUACAAAAAAAAAAAGGAAAAUAAUAAGAAGUGGUUCAUAAGAAUUUUUUGUUGUAAGAUACAUAUUAAUAAAAGAAAAAAGUGAAAUAACAUUAAAAAACAAAUAGAAGUAAUGAUUCUACUACUCCAUCUUAAUCGAUAAAAUGGUGAUUCUUCUACACAAAAAAGGCAACGAUCCACCACUAUUAGAAUCAGAAACAACAAAAUCCAGAAAUAUAAGGCAAAAAAAAAAAAAACUAAAUAAAACCUUGUAAAAAUUAUACCUAACACACUGACCUUCUCUAUUGAAAUUUCUCACAGUAGAAAUUGGAACUCAAAAAUUACAGCCAAAAGGAGGUCAUACUUAACUACUUGUUCAGGAAACUUUAGGGGAUGAAAUUGGUGGUCUCUUCUUUGUCUUUGAUGUCACUUUUUGUUUUUGAAGAGAGAAGAGAAUAACAGGUUAACGGAAGCUUUAAAAUUGAAUGUGAGAUAUAAUGAAUGUGUUGGUGCUUUAGAUUCAAGACACAUUUUAUUAUAAUAUGUUGAAAAGUAAAAAAUGCCCUCAAAUUGAAUUUUAAAGACCAAAAACUAACAUAUUGAUACCACUUCAUUACUCACACUUCUAUGAUAGUAGAACACUUGCACUAAAUAAUUGGGUGACAAUAGUUUUGUAUAUUAUGUUAACGUUUUCCACAAAAAUAGGAGGAAAAAAUUACGUAAAUGGUGGGAAAAAUGGACUACUUUGAUUAAAGUAAUUUGUACGAUCUAUAAUAUUAUUUUAAAUUGUGAUGAUACCUAUUAUCAUGCAAAAUGUGAACAUAAAUUGUAAUAGAUCGUUUGGAUAUUAAUUGCCUCCAAAUCAGGUGAUAUGAGUAAAUAAUACCUAAUUAAACAAUAAAUACGAUCAUUUUGAUAUCACACUGUCUAGAAAAUAAAAAGAUGAGUAGAUAAAGAAAUAGCAUCAUAGUUUGAUAUUAUAAAUCAGCUAGUAGUACUCACUUGCAUAUAUAAGAGUGCAAUAUGAGUAGAAAUUUAAAAACACGUGUACUCGUAAGUUUACAUUUUCUAUUGUUUUUCUCAAAAAGUCGAAUAAUUAUCCAGAUCUUAUUGUGAAAGAAAUAAAAUUCCCUACAAAAUGGUGAUUUCGAUCCAAUCUCAUUCAUUUUUUUGAAAAACGUGGACUUGUAUCAUAACACAGAUAUUCAUUUAUUGAAAAUAUAGUAUAACAUGUGAUUUCUACCAAUCAUAAUGAAAAAAUCUCUUAUGCCGCAGAAAUAUGAUAUAUGCAUAUAUCAAUUCUAGCAAUUUUCAAAUAGAUCAAGAUUCCUGAAUACAGUGGCAGAACCAAAAUUUUCAUAUGGGGGGUUGGAUCAAAUCAAACAAAAAAGGGGCUAGAUAAAGUUCAACUCUAUCUCAAAGAACACUUUUAUUAUGUCCAUAGUAUUUAGCUUAUUAAAAUUAUUUUAAUAGAGAGAUCGCGUUCCAAUUGUCUAGAAGAAAAAAUCAAAUGCAUACGGCUAAAAAUGCCAUACAAAGUGAUUCGAUCCCGCGUGUCCUUGCAUUGAUCGAAUCUCUUUGCCACUAAACCAAGCGUUGGACUUGUGUUUGAGGGGGUUCAAUAAUCCAUAUAUACACAUAUUAUAAAAAUUUAAUCCUAUAAAUACUAUGUAAUUUUUUUGUCGAGGGGUUCAUGAACCCCCAAAGCUUCAUGCAACUUUACCCCUAUUUGAAUGACUGAAAUGUAGUCGGUAAAUCUAUAUGUAUAGUGGGAUCAUAUGAGAUAAUGCUAGUUCUCCUCAAACUAUAAAAUACAAUAUGUGUAUGAAAUAGGGGUGAGAAUAAAUAUCGGAAAAAUGAAAAAUCGAACCGAAUCAAACUAUUUCGGUUCUUCGGUGUUUCGAUUCAGUGUCAGUUCUUUUUUUCGGAACUUCGGUGUAAGGGUCUCAAAAUUACGGUGCACCGAAGAAUCAAAGUUUUAUUAAAUAAAUUUAAAACUAUUUAUAUUGUAUUAUUUAAUAAUACAUUAUCAUUUACACUUCAAAACAGUAAAGGGUACCCAGCCUAAACAAAACUAUUUUGAUGUUAUUACUUUUUAUUGUUAGACUGUUAGUUGUUACUUUGAAGUGAACAACAAUUGUUACUUUAUCAUAUUCCUUCUUUAUUUUUAUUCACGCCAAAAAAACCGAUUUAAAAACACCGAACUAAACCGAACCGAAUCGAUCUAAUUUGAUUUGAAAUAUGGUGCACACUUUUCUAAAAUCGAAUACUGAAGAACCAAACCAAAAUUUAAUUAAACCGAACGGCACCCCUAGACUAUGAAAUAUUUUUCAUAGAAAAACUUGCAUAAAGGCCAAAAGAAUAGGAAACACUAUGAAGUAUUUUUCAUAGAGAAACUUACAUAAAGGCCAAAAGAAUAGGAAACAUUAUGAAAUAUUUUUCAUAGAGAAACUUACAUAAAGGCCAAAAGAAUAGGAAACACUAUGAAGUAUUUUUCAUAGAGAAACUUACAUAAAGGCCAAAAGAAUAGGAAACACUAUGAAGUAUUUUUCAUAGAGAAACUUACAUAAAGGCCAAAAGAAUAGGAAACGCGCCAGGUAGGGGUCGAACCUACGACUUUCUGCUUAGGAAACAGACGCUCUAUCCACUGAGCUACAGGCGCUUUACAUUUUUCUAACACAUAUAUAACACUAGUAAUGAUACAAAAGACAGUCCGGGCCCACUGCCGCACCAUUGGCCACACCAGCAGCUCAGCACGACAACUUUCCGUCUCCAUUUUUGACUGAUGUCUGCAAAUCUAUCAACACAAGAGAAAGAGAAGAUAAAACCAGCAGGAAUUUCUCUAUUCUUUCGAUUUUCAGCGCUUAUUCACCAACCCAAAGAUCAACAACUGCAUAAAGGGCAACAAAAUCACAUCCCGCAACUACGCUUUUUUCACAGGUUUCAAUUCCCCCUCUUCCGUCUUGCUUUUGAAGAAAUUUACUAGACUGAGUAAUUAAAAGGAAUAAAAAAGACAAUUUCUUUUGCUUUUUCGCAUACCCAUUUUGUCGGUUAUUUGUAGGAUGUCUAAAAUAAAAUUGAUCUGAAUACAGCAGAAUUGUUUCAUACAGUCGACCUGAACUGAUUUAAUUGAGACAAUUAUUAUUUGGUGGAUAGAUAUUCUGUCAAUAGCUGAAGGGUAAAAAGUUUUGAUUUUGCACUUAUUUUUGGCUUCUACUGCAGGUGGGGAUGUGUUCUCUUUCUGUAUUGGAGGUCCAGAGGUUGAAAUCUGUGCUUUGACGAAAACCCAUUUGCUUAUUUUCCGGAUUAUUUGCUUGUAAAUGCAACUUUGUAGAUCAAUUGCCUCUUGGAUAUCCCGCAUAUUGGCUUGCAUGGGGUGAGUAACUCGAUUCUUCCUUUAUAUGUGUUUUUCAACUAAAAUUUAACUUGAUAAAACACUCCGGCGGGGUGUUUGUGUUUUUGUAUAGUAUUGGUUUGAGAUAAGCUUAAAUGGAGUAAAGUUCAGCCCCAUCUUGAGUUUGGUAUUGAGGCGUAAUUGUUGUUGUUGUAUUUUUGUUCCUGAGGCGAGGCAGGGGUGGAUGUAGUAUAAUACAUGUGGUUGUACUCAUACCUACUGCCCUCAACUUGAACCAUAUAUGUGUGUUUGUGUGGAAGUGUAUGUAUAUACUAUAUAUUAUGCUAAGAUUGUAACCAUGGUGAUAAGGUAGUGGUGGGUAUAAUUUGUUCUCAUUGAACUGAAAUUCUAGAUCCGCCUCUAGGCGCAAGUGAUUUUUAUUUUUGGGAAAGAAAAAGCAGACGUUUUGUUAUUAUUGAAAUUAAAAGAAUAUGAGACUAGGAGUGAAGAGUUGCAAUUAAAUUUAAUACCAACUCUUCAGAAUGCUUAUCUUAGUUUACUGGGAAAGCUAUGUAAUUUCAGCAGUUUUUUUGGGUGAUUUGGAAUCUUAGUACUUGCUUACAGGCUAAGCAAAGUAAUAAUGGUGCAUAAAGCAGGAAUGAGCUGGUUCCUUUAUCUGUUUCCUUUAUUUUCAUGCUUUGCAUGAUAUGUUAAGGUGUUUCUUGCUUUGAAUGCCACAUUCCUCAUGUACCUUUCUUGUUUAGCUACUUAUGAAAAAAAAUUCUCUUGCUCAGCUACAGUGUGAAAAGUUUUUCAUCUAGCCAUGUGUAUUAGGGGUUGUUUAUGGAUUGAAAUGAAUGCGUAUUUUGAAAGGAAGUCUUUUUGUUCAGUUUUGGUGUAUUUUGGAAAAUAUCUUCGAGUCCUUAUUGAGGUGAUGAUGGAAAAGUUGAAGGAAAAAUGCAGAUCCCUUUGUAAUGUAAGAGGUUACUUUUGUCCUGUCUUAUAAUUUGGUGCAGAAUAGAUUGAGGAUCUAUUUUCUAGAUCUGGAUAAAUUUGAGGAUACCAUUCUCUUUUUAGCUUUAAGAUGCUCAAGCUACUCUUAAGACUUUUUCUGGGGCUAAGAUAGAUUAGGUUGCCAAUGGCCCUAUAGCAAUUUUUAUAUAAACAGGUCGCUCUGACCAGUCAAAAUACUGUUAAUGGGAUUAUGCUGCUAAUCCCUUAACAGCAUCUCAAGUUCAAUCUGUUUAAGUAACAGGUCCAUUAAUACUGGUUUCUUGAUAAGAACUUAUCUGAUGCAGUCCAUAACUGGAUUAAACUUAUUAAUUCACUCGAAGCCAUUGAUUUGGUGGCUACAUCUCUUUUUCCUUUUCCUGUGAAGAUAACUCAUUGGGGAUGAUCAUCUCAAAGUCAUUUGGAUAUUGAGAUUCAUAAUGAUGGGGAUUGGAGAAAGGAGGUGUUCUUCUAAUGACUCUCUCGAAGUUUUACCUUUUAAUUAAACAGAAGAAGUUGUAGUGAACACUGGUUUAAAAUCCAUUUAGGUAAUAGUUGGAACCACAAUGAUACAUGUUUUAGGGGAUGAACUAAUCCACUUACUUAUUUAUAAGUACUUAAGAACAUAUUAUCCAAACUAUCAUUACAAUCUAGGUAAUGUUUCCGUGAAAGCCACUAAAUAUUAUUUAAAACAUGAACUAGUUAACAUCAAAAGUGGGUUAGAAUACUUUAAGAGAUGAUAUAACCUAUAAAAACAACUUUUAACUCCUCUUUGUAGAUGUCCUUUAUUAAGGAUCAAUUGUGAACCUUUAUAAGCUGAUAAUUAGUGAAGGAAUUAGAACAUUUUAAGAGCCCUAAAGAAAUAAAAGUUUUGCAAAGUGAAAAUAUGGAAAUUGGGUGAAAAUAGAAAAUUGUGUUAACAUUCUCUAUCUGCCCACUUUGUUCCUAUCAACUUUCUUGUCGCGUUGUACUUAACAUCAAAAGUUCUUUUAUGAUAUCAUUUAUGCUAAAUGACUUACUGAAUGCAUAGCUAUCUUCAAAGCUACCAAGUUCAAAACAAAAUUGCAUAACAAUCAAAUUUUUUCUUAAAAAAAUGACUCGGUGAAUGCUGUAGACCUUAAUUAGCUAGCUGAAUAACUGGACAGAGGUCCAGGCUUUUGAUAGAGCUUAAAGUCAAAUUGUCCAUAAAGAUCUAUUCAAUUUAGUCCUGAGGCCCGUCUUGAUCUUUUUACGCAUCAAUAUAGUCUUGCAUUAUUAUGGGGUAGCCACUUUAUGGGGGUCUCAUGUCUUCCUUUCAACAAUUUUGCACUCCCCUACAACACAAUGUUUGCAGUUCUGCUAAAUCCAUGUUUCAUUCUAUUAUAACUAUAUAAGAAUAAUUUUGUUUUCACAUCAGAUGCAGCGCUAGACCAGCAAAAGAGACUAUCAUAAUUUCUAUAGGCCUAAAGGAGAUCAAGUUUUGUACUUUAUGGUAUUCUGACUUAUUUAAUUGAAUCGAUUUAAUUUCUGGCUUGGUGUGCGUCAAGCUUAAAGAUAGUAAAGGGUGUUGUGCUGAAUGCUAAUUUGCUUUGAAAUCAAUACCUAGAAUUAAUAACUUCUUAAUGAAAAUGUGGGGAUUUUAUGAGGAGUACCAAUACAGAGUACUAAGAAAGUACAAACGAAGAGUACAACAGAACAAGUGUUUUCCUUCUAGAUGUUGAAAGAAUACAAUAGAUUUAACAGUGUAACUUUAUCAGAUACAACAUUUUCCCUACACUGCUACACCACAAAGAUAAAUUCCUCAAACAUCUAGAUUUUACAUAAGAGAUGCUCCGUUUUACCCGAAAAACAUCUAUUGUUUCUCUCUAGCCAGAUAUUCCCAGAAAAUGCAACUGGUACUGCAUUCCAGUAGAGACUCCUUCCCAUAUUUGAUGUCUGAUUGUGGCGACUGUUUAAGGCCUGUUUGGCAUGAUUAGUUGAAUCCCAAAAAUUCCAGGAAACACAUAUCAUAAACUGUCUGGAGAAAUUACAAUGGAGAAGUAGGUGAUCAACUGAUUCACAAGUUUCUUCAUGUAGUAAGCAUCAACUGCUAAUAAUAAAACCCAAGUAAAGCAAGCAUCAUGGAUUGUCAUGAGUAACACAAGCACCAAGGAUUGCAAUCUAAGUAAAGCAGGCAACUCUAGUUUCCAGAUUAUCUUUCAUGGCCAGUUUUCAGGAUUUCGUACCAUUUUCAGCAUUGAACUUUAUAACAUACCUUGACCCAAAAUUCUGUACCUCUCCAUAGCUAAGAAUCAGACAGCUGCUCAUCAAUCUUGACAGAUUCUAGCUUUUGAAUUAUUUAAUUAAUAUAUUUUAGAAGCUAUUAACUACUAACUAAGAAAAUGGUUAAUUAUCAGUUUUGCUUAGCUCCUUUAACUUUUGCGCCUGGAUUUUAAAGUUCUCAAUGUUUGUGAUUAUUUGUGGAAGCAUGGAUUCCAGGAUUUAAAUGUGUGAAUGUCAUUACUGAUUGGUGACUUCGAUUUGUGGUUCCUAAUGGUUUCUUAAUUGUCAUUUGUAGCUUAUAUUUCUAAAUUCUCAAAUUUGGGUACACCUAAUAAGAAAAAAGUCUUAUUUGAUUGUCCAUGGAUCUAUAGCUGAAUCAAAUAUCAACUAUUUUCUAACUAUCAGUUACUUUAUGGACUCACCAUGGCAGUUCAAGUGCUCUUUCAAAGUUGCAUAACAUUAAAUGGGUCAUGUCCCAUGCUUUACCACUGUUUAUGACCUUUCUCUGACCACAUGGUAGUUUUGAAAUGAAUUCCACUUAGAAUGUUGAAUUUUGUUGGGGCUAUCUUAUUGUAACUUUUUGCUCCGCUAAUCAAUUUCAAUGGUUAUAAACCUGGUUGCAACAGAGCAGAAGUUGUCUUGGAUGCUGUAUGAAUUCUCCUCAUGUUGUUUCAGUGGAUAAGCCAUCUAAAGGACUGAAAGUUCCGAGCAAACGAUUGAGGAAAACUAGUUUAAGAGACGACUUUUGGAGCAGUAGUGCAUGCGAGAUGGAGAAUAGCACAUUUCCCUCCCAGAGAAGCAUCUCAUCAAUUAGCACAUCUAAUCCGGCCCUUGAUCCUCACAGUAAUUCUGGCACCACGAGCAGCACUUCGGAAUUUGUAAAUCAUGGCAAGUGCAUACUUUUGUCUCCUUUUAUUUUGAUGUAAAUCAUCCUAAUUGUUUACUAGUAGCAAGUAAACUUGCAUGGGGAUCAGCAACGUCUUAGUAUUUGUACACAAAUACAGCGACAUGAUUCAUGAUGACGAAUGGGUAAGGUAGAUCAGUGUUCAGGGAAGCGUGACGCGGAAAAAAGCAAUAAGGCCCCGCUUCACGCUUUAAGCGAUGAAGCGCUCACAUACUCAUUCUAGUCUGUGAAGCGUAGAAGGCUCUCAUCGCUUCGCUUCAUCGCUUUAAGCGUUGAAGCGCUCGCUUUCCUGAACACUGAGGUAGAUAAACCUUACUUUUCUGGGAACACUACCAAAAAUGGUUAAAUAAUUAUCUGAUAGUUUCUCAACUUCAAUUACUUGCUUUCUAGGGUCACCCUUGAACUUUGGCCUGUCUAGAGGCCCCAAACUGCCUCAUUUUUUUGGUCAUGCCACUGCCUCAUUUGGAUGGCCAAAAAAGGUCCCUUGUAUUAGGAUUUUAUUGCAAACGUUCCCAUUUCAUCGAAUUUUUACAAAGGGUCGACCCAAAAUUUCAUAAACACUUGGAAUUUCUGUUAUUUUCAAAGGGGGUGGGUAUCUUGAUUAACUUCCAUUUUUCUAUAAAUGGCUUAUGGCUUUACUUAUCCAGGGGAAAGAAUGGCUUAUGGGCUUUGCAGAAAUCCCAUGCACAAUUUGAGGCAUAAACUGGAGAGACCAUAUACAAACUUGAAAGCAUGAUCUUGUGGUGUUCUUUUCAUUUUAGCUCAGUUUAAAACUCCUUUCUGUAUUUUGUUUAUCGUAUCAUUGAAUUAAACAUUACCUGGAACAGGUUUACUUCUUUGGAAUCAAACGAGGCAACAAUGGUGUGGAAAUAAAACACCGCAGAAGCGUGCCUCAGUUCGAGAACCCAAAUUAAGGUAAGUUUCUCACAUCUUUGGAAGUGUAAGCAUGAAUGGUUCUUUGAGUAAAGGGAAAAAUUAACUGAUGGAAGAAAGACAAAGGAAAAGGCAUGCAGGCCAUAGUUUUGAUACUGUGUCUCGACUUGGGUGAUUUUUGCUGGCAACUGUUUUUUAGGAAUUCCUUCGACACAAUCCUGAAACAAUUUGGUUUUUGAAUUAGUAAUAUCGUGUUACUGCUUUCAACUAUCGCGCACUAUACUGGAUUACAUACAUUUUUGACAAGUUUAUUCUACCACCAUAAAUUGCAGUGCAGAUACAAGUUAUGAAACGUUGCUAGGGACCAAUAAGCUUUUCCCUCAGCCAAUCCCUCUACCGGUAAGUUAUCGAAUUAGCUAAGAUAGUUUUUCUUUACAUAUUACAUGUAGCUAGUUGCUGACUGUCGUGCAAUUUAUAUAUCAGGAAAUGGUAGACUUUCUUGUUGAUGUGUGGGAGCAGGAGGGGCUUUAUGAUUAAGCAGCCACAUAACUCAUCAUUCUCAGCAACUGCAAAUUGUGUUCUGCAAGUUUUUAUCACAUUAAUUUGAUAUUUUAUAAGGACUUCUAAAAUAAUAAAAUAAAAAAUGAUAUCCAAAAGUUAAAUGAAUUUUUUUUUAUUUUUAUUAGUUUAUAUAUUAAAUUUUUAAAAAGAAAAUCAAAUAAAUGCAUGGAUAAAAGCUUUUCUAAUUUCUAUUCGAACCUAAAGAUUGGGAAUUGUUCAUACAUUGGGAAUGAGUCUCAAAGCUGUGAGUCAACAUUGCUCGAACCUAAAGCUUGUUGUAUUAAAAAAGUGUCUACUCAUUGGGGAUCAAGGAAUUGCGAAUCUCUUUCGUUCAGCUGCUCAUGUUUUAACAAAGUUAAAUCUCAAAGAUAUUAAACAUCAUCGACACCUCUCUAGAUAUUAUUUCACAUUAUGGAUCUGCACUGACAAAUCUAGCUUUUGGUGGUCUUGAAGAAGUAAAAGAGAAGGGUUUCUGGGUCCAGGGAUCUGGUCAGCAUCUGCAUGACCUUAAAUCUGAAGCUGUUUUGCAUCUGAAAAAGUAAUGUCCUUUCAGAUAAUGGAUUGAUUGCUUGUGUCAAAGCUUCAGGUUCACUUAACGAACUCGAUGUUUCCAAGUGCAGAAUCACCGAUUAUGGGAUCACAACUUUGGUCUGUUCUACACAGCUUCAUUUGUGGAUCCUCUCAUUGUCCGAUUGCCUUUUGUUGUCGGACAAAUCAGUUUCAACCAUAGUUGAGAGCUGCACUGGGAAUCUCUGAAGUCUCUGAUCGUAGAUGGUUGCAGGCAUGUUACUGAUGCAACCUUAGUAAAAAUUUCAAACUAUUUAUGGUUGCUUAAUGAACCCGAUGUUUCCAAUUGUGGAAUCACUGAUCAUCCAGUUGCCCUUUGGUGUCGGACAACAACUUACCCUUCUUGCUAAAUUUGGUGUUGGGUUCGAAAGUGAUUAGGGCGUAAUGCGGAAGCUUACAAUUGUAUAUCAUAUGGUUGAUAAGUCAGAUGAUAAACUUAUACUAAAAAUUAAAACAUUAUUAUAUGAUUUGACCAAUUGACCUAUAUAUUUAAAAACUAAUACUCCCUCCGUUUCACAAAAAAUGACCUGGUUUGACUUGGCACGGAGUUUAAGUAAAUAAAGAAGACUUUUGAAUCUUGUGGUCCUAAAUUAAAGUUAUGUCAAAUGUACAAAAUUGUCCUUAAUCUUGUGGUCUUAAACAUGUCACGUGGAAAUCAAAAAGUAAAAUGUUACCAAAAAAGGAAAGAUGUCAUUCUUUUUUGAAACUGACUAAAAAGGAAAGGAGGUCAUUCUUUGUGAAAUGGAGGGAGUAAAAAGACAUUAAAAAUAUAGAGAGUAAAAUUUCCCAUAAACAAAACUCUUUAGUGACUACAAUGUGGAUACUAUUGUGUAUUUUGAUAUGAGAAGAGGAGUCUUCAAUUUAUAGGAUUCCAAACAUUUCCCCUAAGGAAGGAAUAACCCAAAUAUGGAAGAAAAAUAUAUUUUUUUUUCAGGAAAAGUAAAAACAUUUAUGAUAAUGUUUUGUCUUUAAUUAUAGGAAAAAAAAAACUUCAAAUGAGGUAAGAAAAUCAGGGCAAAACCCUAACAAAUAUUCCCUUUUGGCUGGAUUAAUUUUCUUGACAAAAUUUGAUCCACCUUCUUCACUGCAUGAUAAUUUUUGUUCUUCACAUAGUCUUCAUCACUGUUGUUUCCAUGGUUAAAAAUAAGAUUUAAAAUAUAUGGGUUAAAAAUAGUGUAAAAAUAUUUCAAUUUUAUUUUUAAAAAUUGUAGCAAUAAGAAUGUUGAAAAUAUGAUUUAAAACUUCUUCUCCACAUGUAGCUAGAUAAAAAAUUUCAUUAUCAUCAAAUUGAUUACAAUUGAUUUGAAACAAUCUUGAGCCUGUCUUCAACCUCAAUGAACCAUAGGACCAUCGGACCAUGGAAUCUUUGGAUCAUGUGCUCUGAUGCCACUUGUUGAGUUUAAAAGUGAUUAGGGCAUAAUGCGAAAACUUACAAUUGCAUAUCAUAUGAUUGAUAAAUCAGAUGACAAAAAUUUAUACUAAAAAUCAAAAUAUUAUUAUAUGAUUUGACUAAUUGGCCUACAUAUUUAAAAACUAAUAAAAAGACAUUAAAAAUGUAGAGAGUAAAAUCUCUCAUAAACAAAACUCUUUAUUGAAUACAUUGUGGAUGCUAUUGUGUUUUUUGAUAGGAGAAGGGGGAACUUCAAUUUAUAGGAUUCCAAACAUUUCCCCUAAGGAAGGAAUAACCCAAAUAUGAAAGAAAAAUAUAUUUCCUUUCAAGAAAAGUAAAAACAUUUAUGAUAAUGUUUUGUCUUUUCUUAUAGGAAAAAAUAAACUUCAAAUAAGGUAAGAAAAUCAGGGCAAAACCCUAAUAUUUGGUUCAAGACCUUGAGAGCUUGAACAUACAACAUUGUCCCGGAAUCAUCUCUACUACUGUUGAUGCACUUGUAGAGAAACACCCUGGCUAUGAUAUCCUUUUCUAAGUAGGUUGUGGCUUAGACCCCGUGCAAUUUACAAGUUGGUCACUGUGAAAUUUUCUUGUGGUUACAUGUUGUUUUUGGGUCUAGCAACUUGAGUUUUCUUCUGUUCAGUAUUUUUUCGACGAAUGUGGCUUGGUUCUUUAUACAAUUAUGGGAUAACUGAUUCCUAUUCUUGAAUGACUAUUAAUGUGUCACUAUUCCUAAUCCAAUCCCUUCAAGACCGUUUAGGCUCAUUCAAUAGCAUUGAGUACCACAUAUUGACAAUUGAAUGAUAUUCUUCAUGAUCAUAACCCCUAUUUUAUUACCUAACAAUCAUUGUAGUAUUCUUCUUUUGAGAGAGGAGAUUAAGAGAAAUUCCCCCUUUUGUAUUCUUAUAUAUCCUAGUAUGUUGGGUUUUCUUUGGGUGUAUCUUCAUUAGUUUCUGGUUCUUAGUUUUAUAGUAGAAGAACUUGUUGAAUCCUAGGAAUACACCUAUAUUUAGUGAAAUAUCCUUAAUGAUAGUUUUUGACACGCCUCAAGCUAUGAUGAUUUCCUACAAAAGUUUGUGGUGAAGAAUUAUCAAUGAGAAUGUCAAACACUUUAUUGGUAGCUUCUUGAAUGAAGGUGUUAUUAGGAUUUUUGUCAUAAUUCUCUGAGAAUACACAUGCUGGGUUUUUUGGAUGGGAGAGACUUAUGUAUGAUUCUAGCUCCUUUUGUUUAUAGUUUUUAGCUUCUAUUAUUGCAACAAAAAUGCAACAUCCUUUAUUAUAUACAAUAAAAAAGAAAAAGAAAGCAACAAAAAAUGAAAUCUAAGUGAAAAUUGCAAAUGAAAUAAUAGAUAUAUGAAUUAUAGACCUUUAAUUAGAAAGAUACAUACAAGCACCAAAACGAAAUAUAAGUCUGCUAUCUGAAGGUAUUGUAAUAUAUGGCAAGAGAUGAAAAUAAGAGAGAGUUGAGGAUGAUGAUGAUUUAACUUGAUAUAUAAUACUAUCAAAUUAAAAUAUUUAAUAAUGUAUCGAUGACAAUUCAAUAAACCUUUUGAUUUUCAGUGAAAAUUUAACGCUUCUUGUAGUUGGUUUCUAUACAAUCCUUUUAAUACUAAAUCAUGCAAUUUACUCCAACUUCCCAUAUAUAUAUAUAUAAAAAUAAAAUUGUAAAUUUUACAACAUUUUGAUUUAGUGUAGGAGUAAAAUGCUAAUUCAAUUUUGCAUUUUGGAGCUCCACACUUUUAAUAUAAAAUGAUAUGAUAUGUGAAUGCUGAAAUAAUGUAUAAGUGAAUUUUUUUGUGUGUGUUGAGUUCAAUAAUUGAAUUGAAUCAUGUUAAUUUUAUUAAUUUUAUUUGGUCCAUGUUAAGUUCUGACCCAAAUUAAUAAUAACAAAUAAAUUUAUAGUUAUUAUUUAAAAAAAAUAUGUUUUCUUUUUAUAACAUCAAUUUGACAUUUUGUAAGGACUUAAAUACAAAAUGAUAUCUGAAAGUCGGUAACUAAUGUAUAAUGAAAAAUAAAUUUGUAUGUUAGAUUGGUUACUUGAUGCACAUUCAAUAAUAAGUCCCAACCCGGCCCUUAUAAAUUGGUCCUCCUUCUUCCCCCCUAGGGUUUUCAUAUAUUUCUCCAAAACUUUCCGCCGCCGCCGAUUGUGGUAACAUAAGGCUAAGAUAAGGAGGUAGAAAUCUAUUUUCAGCGAAUGCUUCUUCUCUCUUCACGAUAAUGUCUUCAGGUAUGUUACGUUUCUAUAACUUCAAUUUGAAUUAAGAAGAUGAGAAAAUUCAUGUAAAGACUAAAAAAAUUGAUAUCCUUCCUUAUAUAUAUCUAGUAGCAAUAAUAAGAAAAAAAUUAUUAUUUUCCAAAGUUGUGAUUCUAAUCGAUCCAUCUCAUAACUGAUAAUAAAUCACGCUUUAUUAUAUAAAAAUGAUUAUUCUUUUAAUGAGCAUGAGAUAAUUUAUUAUGAUUAAUGCCGGUUUAACAUUAUCAAAUAAUUCAGUUCAUGCUCGUGAUAAAAAAAAAGGUUCAAGAACAAGAAUGUAACUUCAAAGUUUAAGUUUUUGAAUGAUUCCUAAAUUUGUCAAGAUAUGAACAAAUAGUUUAUCUAUAGGAAUAAGCAUUUAGAAAUCACUUAUGUGAGGGUGAAGUGUAAGCUGCUUCAAGGAUAAUGAUAUACAUACCGAUUCUUUACGCACUCAUGAUUUUAGGAGGUGUUCACGACUGAAACAAACUCAACCUUGAGAACUGUAGACGAUUAAGGGUUAGUUGCGUGACUUGUAUUAUCUAGGUAUACAACAAAGUUUGACGGUUCAAAUAUAUCACAUCUACCAAUAAAUCGAGUGCAUCCGGUAUGAGUUCACUACUGAAAGUUCAAAGGAAACCUACGUAUCCAAAUGCAAUUAAUCUUUGCUUGUAAUCAUACACUUGUCCAUAUUCCUAUUUCAUAUAGUCAUUCCCCAUUAAUGUGGGGAAUUGCUCAGUUUUAAAAAGUGUGAAUGAGAAAUGAAGUGACUUUUUCGAAAGGUUGUGACUUUUUUGAUAAGGCACAAUUAUAAACACUACUAUCAUUUUAUUCUUAACAGAGGGGUUUCCUUUCAUUUUUUAACUACAAUUUUUUUGAUUUUCUACUUUUUUUAUUCUUCAUAAAAACUCAAGUGUGAUUUACAUUUGUUGAGUGAGUAGUUUGACGUCCAACAAAAUUUGAGGUAUCACUAUUCUGGUGAACUAAAUCGUUAUAUCCUAUGGGAUAUAUUCCAUAACCUAGAAUGGUUGAGGGAAAUAAUUUUCUUUAGAAUACACUGUGAAUUUAGUAGGCUUGAUUUUUCAAUAUUUUUCGUUCUUUCUAUCUUUUAUUAUUUCGUUAAUAGUGUUUAAUGUUCAUAUUAUAUUGAAUACAGAUUUGAGCCAAAUAACAGGGAGAGCAAGAAAGAGAGAAAAUCGAACUGAAAAUGAGGAAGAAGUGAUAGAAGGUAUUUUCAAUGUCUUUCUUUCAAAGAUUUUUUUUUAUAUAUUCUUAAUUCAUAGGUAGUAUGAAAGGAAUAUUGUGAUAGGUUGAACACUAGAAACAUUGAAAAUAUAAGUUGUGCAUUUGUUUCUUUACAAUUACGGGUUCAUAUUGAAUUUACUAUAGGAAUGAAUUACAAAGUCAUGCCAAUUGAAUUUGAAGAAACCUUACCCCUAGAACAAGAACCAAGUUCUUGUAUAUUUGCCUAUGACAGAACACUUUAACAGCCACACAAUACUUUUUGUUAAAACCUUCCUCACUCAAGGAAGGAAAAACCUUAUUUUAUUAUUUAACAACUAUGUCACGAUUACAGCUCAAUAAUCAAUAACCUCAAAAAAACUCUCGACUAACUAUAGUCGACUAACUCUACUCUCCAAGAGGCCAAACCCACCUCUUGUUACAAACCUCUCAAUAACUCAACUCUACAAGAAGCCAAACCCACUUCUUGUACAAAAGAUCUAUGACAAUGAUUCUAACUAUGAAUCAAAAACACUUUUCUCACACAAGAAAUUCUAACUAUAGAACUUCUUGAAUUCUAUUCCUAAGAACUCUCAAUUUAGUAGGCUUUUGCGUAUUUUCUCACUCUUUCUUCCUCUUGUUUAUCGAUUCUGCAAAAGACAAUUUGUCCCGUCUGCUUUGACAUCUUUUUAUAGAGUUGGAAGAUUAGUGUCUGAUGUGUACAAGGAAACGAAAUAAAGUUGUGUACGAAAAGGAUUUAUUUUGACCUUUUAUUACAAAUCCUGUUAGUACACAACUUCCUCUUUUAUUUGUUCCCUUCUUUAGCUCUGCUUUCUUGCUUUAAAGUUUUCCUUCUUUGACUCUUUUUUUUGAACUCCUUUUGAAAUCGGAUUGCAUAUCAAGAUGUGUCUACCAUCAAAACUUCAUAAAUCAUCAUUUCCCCCUUUUUUGAUGAUGACAAAUCAUCUACUCCUAUUUUCUCGUACAAAUCCAUUAUACACAAUGCACACGACUGUUAUAUGUACAAGACUAAUAUAUAAUACUAACUUCCCCCUUUUGGCAUAUCAAAAAGAAGCAAACAGAAUGAACAAAGCUAACCAAAACUCAAAGCUCUGAAAGAGCAACAUCACACAGAUCACAACCAGAUGACUCUAGGCAAAUGAAAGCAUCAAUCUAUAAACAUAGGCAAUAUGCAGAAACACAGGAAACAGAGAAUCCAAGAUACAUCAACAUUUUAAGCUCAUGCAGAGCCCCACAAAAAUAUUCAGUCUAAGCAAAAUCACAAAACAAGCAUAACAAAGGUCGUUAGUUCAAAGAAACAUAAGAAGCUGGAGCAGACAACAUGAGUCAAGAGAAAGAACGGUUGAGGUUUGGAGGAUAGGAUGAAGAAGAAGCAAGCAACUGGAGGACCCGGUCCACUCGAGCGUUGUUAUCAAGUUGCUGCUGUACCAACUGAUCUUUGAAUCUCCCAACCUCUUCUUUAGACGUAGUUAGCUCAGUUCGCAAGGACAUAUUCUCAUUCUAUAAAGUCUCACACUGGUCCCUUGCAGCCUGCAGAUCCUUGAGUAAACAAGUGACAGGGCCAGACGCCCUUGGAGAGGCAAUGGGAACUUGCGCAGGGUCAGCAAUCAAUCCACACUCAGCAGGAGUAGACUGAGUGAACAUAUCGGCAAGCGUUAAGGCUCGCCCCUCACCCAAUGGGACAACAAAUACAGUGAACACUCUCGUGAGAAAAUUUCCAAAUGCCAACUGGUGAGAACCAGGUUGUGGAUCAACGACUCUGGCCAUAUGUUUGAUCAUAAGACUCGGCCAAUCGACGGGCUCCUUUCUUUCUAAGGCAUUGGCAAUUCCCAUGUCACGAAAAUAUGCUAUAUGCCGCCUAUGUCCCCUAGGUAACACCCCUUUAUGAACCAGUUCGAACAACAAUUUAUGCACAUGUGCUAUCUCACCUUUCAAUACCUUCCUAGCCUUGGAGGUAACCCUUCCUUGGGAAUAUUUGGUUGGGAGAAUACACUGCUCAUCUGUUGCCCAAACAUAUUCAGCAAGUCCAACAUAGGGUAUACAUAGAAUCUCCCCAAGUCGACUACGAUCAAAAACCAACUCCACCCUUUUCACAAUGGAUGUCACCACAUUUUCUUCCAAAACCUUUAGAUUUAUUUGUAUAAAAUUCCACAACUUCCUUUUCGUGUACCAGCAAUUCAGUAUCAAGAAAUAAAUCCCCCCACCCCUGAAAGUUAAGCAACUCAUAUACCCUUUUUACCACAUAUAUUGAGAGAAUAUCCGGGUGAAAAGUUCUACCCCUAAGAACAAGUUUAGUUCUGAAAUACUUUUCUUUUCCCAUUUCCAAGAAUUUUUUCAUGUUUUUACUUGCCUUUUUCGACUGGGAAUGGGCUCCAGAAGGGUUAGAUGCAGAGAUAUCAUCAGACUCAGAAUCAAGAAUGACCGGCGAUGAAGAUGGUGGAACGGGGGACUUACCCAGACGACGAUAUUUAGCCCUUGACUUCGCACCCUCUUGCAGUUGGGCCUGACUCGCACUACGAGUAAGUGGUGUGCGAAAGGGUUUCUGUUUGACUGCAAUGUGCUUGCGUGGUCGUUUUGGUUUCUGAGGAUGUAGAACACUGAGGGGAACAUCAUCAAGAUCUUGUUCGAGUGGGUGAGUGGGUAGUGAUGGAGGAGAAGUGGUGACGAUAGUGGAAAUAGGGGUUUCGAUUGGUGACAGUGGUGGAGAAAAAUGGCUAUUAGGGGUUGGGGUUUAUGAUAGUGGGGAUAAUGGAGAUGAAGUGAAGGGUUUGCCGGAGGCGUAUGUUGGCAAUGGUGACUGUGGGAAAACGAGGACGGGAUCAGUGGGAAUUGAGUCAUGGGGUAGUGAGGUGAUGAAGGUGUCUGUGGAAUGAUUUUCUUCCCCCUGAGACUGUGCAUUGGGGGAUGUUAGCAUCGAACGGGAUCCCGUCGACUCAGAGGAGCUCUCAUCGUCGGAGUAGGCAACAAGGUGAUUAGCUAUGGGAGAAAAUUUGGGAUUUUCUUGGAGACAACUUUGAUUUUUUGGGGGUUUUGUGAUUUGUGAGGGAUGAAGUGUUAGAAUAGUCUUUUGAGAGGAAAAUAUUGGGAAGGAGAAAGUAAUUAUAAGGGUCUGACAUUGAUUAGUGACGGUUUAGGUUUUCUUCAGAGGUGACUUAUGGGAAAAGAUAAAAGCAUGUACAAUUUUGUAGGAACUUUCCCGCGUAGGAUAUGAAAAAGAAGUGUGGACCAAGUGUCUUAUGCAUUUUGAUAGUUGACAAUGUUAACUAUAAAUGUGUAUUGCAUAGAUAAUUAUUAAGUGGGAUGAGAUGCAUACCUGCUAUUCUGAGAACCCGGUUCUAGUCACGUCAGCAUUCUUGCUCAUAGUCAUGAGAGAUAAUGAGUAAUGUCAUUUAAAACAGGUCCAUAGGUUGUGUCCUUUUGAUGUAUACCUAAAAAAGUACCAUGAUGAGUAAAGGAGAGCAGGUUCAAAGUUUACAACCUGUAUCAAAAGAAAGGAGAAAGAAAGAUUUAUCAGUCUUGAAAUACGAGUCCUAGAGCGAGACGAUUUUUCUGGAAUGAUUCUCUUCCUAGUGCUUUGGUGAAGAUAUCAGCGAUCUGGUCCUAAGUCUUGCAGAAUGUCAUCAUAAUGAGCCCUUUUUCAACAUUAUCCCGAAGGAAGUGAUGCCGAAUGUCUAUAUGUUUGGUGCGUUUGUGUGGGAUCGGGUUCUUAGCCAUGUUCAUAGCACUGGUAUUGUCACAUCUGAUGGGAAUGCACCCAGUCUUGAUGCCAAAGUCUUCAAGCUGCUGUUUUAUCCAGAGGAGUUGAGCACAACAAGAAGCAGCAGCUACGUAUUCUGCUUCAGCGGUAGAAAGAGCUACAGAGUUUUGCUUCCUAGUUGCCCAGGAUAUCAAACAUGGUCCUAAGAAGUGUGCCAUUCCAGAAGUACUUUUCCUGUCUACCAAAUAACCUGCAUAGUCUGUGUCUGCGAACCCGACUAAAUCGAAUGAGUCUCCAGCUGGAUACCAUAGAACCAGGUUCACUGUGCCUUUAAGAUAUCACAGAAUUCUUUUUACAACCUUUAGAUGAGAUUCCUUAGGACAAAACUGAAAUCGUGCACAUAAGCCAACGCUGAACACAAUAUCAGGUAUGCUAGCAGUUAAGUAUAGGAGUGAUCCGAUCAUCCCUCUGUACUUUGUAUCAUUUAUUGGAGAACCAGGUUCAUCUUUGUCAAGUUUUGUUGUUGUGCCAAUAGGCGUGUCAUUUGUUUUGGCUUCAUUCAUAUCAUAUUUCUUUAGCAAUUCUUUGAUGUAUUUCUGUUGAUGAAUGGAUGUACCUGUUGGGGUUUGUUUAAUUUGGAGUCCUAGGAAGAAGUUUAGUUCACCCAUCAUACUCAUCUCAAAUCCGCUAUUCAUUAGUUGAGCAAAUUCAACUCCUAGUACUUCAUCAGUUCCUCCAAAUAUGAUAUCAUCAAUAUAAACCUGAACUAUAAAUAGAUCUUUACCUUGCUUUCGAAGAAACAAUGUAUUGUCUAUUUUCCCUCUAGAGUAACCGUGUGUGAGAAGGAACGUGGACAAUCGAUCGUACCAUGCUCUUGGUGCUUGCUUCAACCCAUACAGUGCUUUAUCUAGCUUGUAUACAUAUUCAGGGUGUUCAAGAUCUUCAAAGCCAGGAGGUUAUUUCACAUAUACCUCUUCUUGCAGAUAACCAUUUAAAAAGGCACUUUUAACAUCCAUCUGAUAAAGCUUGAAUUCCAUGUGAGGAGCAUAUGAUAUCAACAUUCUAAUUGCCUCCAUUCUUGCUACGGGAGCAAAAGUUUCAUCAUAGUCUAUUCCUUCUUCUUGAUUAUAUCCCUGCACGACUAGUCUGGCUUUGUUGCGUGUGACCUGCCCUUGUUUGUCAAGUUUAUUUCUGAAAACCCAUCUUGUUCCUAUCACUGUUCUGUUUGAGGUCGUGGAACUAGAUUCCAUACUCUGCUUCGUUCAAACUGAUUCAGUUCUUCUUGCAUAGCAGUAAUCCAGUCAGGAUCCAACAAUGCCUCUUUUAUAUUCUUUGGUUCAAUUAAGGAUACAUAAGCUGAGAAUGCACACAUGUUUCAUAAUUUGGAUCUUGUAUGGAUUCCUGAAUCUAGAGGAGUGAGAAUAUUUUGGAUAGGGUGUGAGCUUUGGUGUUUUCAGUUGUGAGGUUGAUUUUCAUGGGUGCUUUCAGAGGAAGGGGGACCUGAUUCAAUAAUAUUUUCAUCUUCUGUCACAGGUGUUUUUUUGAGGGAAUAUGGGAUCUGGCUCAUUGAUUUUUGAUUAUGAUGGGUUUGUCAUUCCUAUUUCGUUUUGAUCAUCCUCUGAAUUCUCUUCUAUUGAGUUAUUUCCUUCAUCAAAGAUAACAUGGAUGCUUUCCUCCAUACGAUUUGUUCUUUUGUUAAGUACUUUGUAGGCUUUACUUUGUGGUGAAUAUCCGAGAAAAAUUCCUUCAUCACUUUUGGCAUCGAAUUUUCCUAAGAUAUCUUUGUCAUUGUUAUGUAUAUAGCAGGUGCACCCAAAGGCUCUAAGAUGUGUUAAGUUUGGCUUUCUUCCCUUCAGCAAUUCAUAUGGAGUCUUGUUUAACACCGACCUGAUCAUACACCUAUUUAUAAGAUAGCAUGCCGUGUUUACGGCCUCAGCCCAGUAGGUUUUUGGAAGUUUGCUUGAGAUCAGCAUGGUUCUUGCGACAUCUUCGAGUGUUCUAUUUUUACGUUCAACUACACCGUUUUGCUGUGGUGUUCUAGGUGCUGAAAAGUUAUGCUCAACACCGUUUGUGGCACAGAAUUCCAUGACUUUUGAGUUUUCAAACUCUAGUCCAUGAUCGGAGCGGAUGCUAGUGAUUUCCUUGUUGAAUUUCUUCUGGACCAGUUUUGCGAAGAUUUCGAAUAUGGUAUAUGUCUCAUCUUUUGUUGCAAGGAAUAAUGUCCAUGUGAAUCUUGAGUAGUCGUCUACAAUUACGAAUACAUACCUUUUGCCUCCUCUACUUUGUACACGCAUCGGCCCACAUAAAUCCAUGUGAAGUAGUUCUAGUGGCCUGGUAGUGCUAACCAUCAAUUUAGGUUUGAAUGAGGAUAUUACUUGUUUCCCUCGAAUACAUGUUCCACAUACCUUAUCAUAAUUAAAGCUUUUGGUUGGAAGCCCUCAAACUAGAUCCUUGGAUAUGAGUUUGUUUAUUGUCGAAAGACUGAUGUGUCCCAUCCUUUUGUGCCAGAGAAUAGACCAAUCAGUGACUGCGCUGAGACACUUGAGUGUAUUUUCCUUAGGAUUCAUGAUAUUUGUCUUAUACACAUUCUUAUGCCUUUUUCCUAAAAGAACCAGUUUCCCGGAAGCUGAGUUUGUCACCUUACAUUCUUUAGCUGUGAAGAGCACACUAAUUCCUUUGUCGCACAUUUUGAGAUACGCUAAGCAGAUUAUGUUGUAGUCCCUUCACAUAGUACACAUUGUCAAUUGCAUGAGUAUGCAUUGAUUCAACCUGUCCAAUUCCUUGUAUUUCUCCAUUUUUUUCGUUUCCAAAGGCCACGUUUUCGCCUUUGAAGUUUCUCAGUGAGAGAAAGUUACUUUUGUCCCCAGUCAUGUACCUGGAGCACGUGCUGUCCAGGUACCAUUGCUUCAGCUCUUUCCUCACUAAUCCCUGCAAUUAACAGUUAUGAGUUAGUUUUGGGUACCUAGAUCCACUUGGGUCCCUUUUUAUUAGAAAAAAGAUGAAUAAGAUUCUUCUUAGCCUAUCUAGGGAGGGGUUUGGUGUUAGGAAUUUUUUCUGUAACUCUCUUGGGAUGUGGCUUUCUUAAGUAGGUUAGAUUAUUUUCAUAAGCAGUUAAUUUCCUAUGACAAUCGUAACUUUUAUGCCCAGUAAAUCCGCAAUGCACGCAUAGACAAUCUAUGUUGGGAUUUUUUACUUGGGAAUUUUUGUCGAAACCUAUUCCAUGUUUUGUAGAGGUUUGACUCUUGUGAAUAUUAUCGAGUAGUAUGGAGGACCUGGCCCAUCUCAUACUAUUUUCUGCUUCAGCUUUAGACAUAUGAAGUUCUUUGUUCAGUUCUUCAUUCCUCUUAGUCAUGGAAUCUAAGUUUUUAUUUAGCUCUGUUAUUUUGCUUAAAAGGCGGUGAUUUUGUUUUUCAAGAUUCUCAUUUUCUUCUCUUAGUGAUGCAUAGUCUUCCAUUAUUAAUUCCCUUCUUGAGUCUGCAGACUGAUAUGCAUUAAUGAGAGUGUAUAAUAAUGACUCUAAUUCCCUUUUUGAAUAUGAGCUAAGAUUAUUUUUUACGUGAUGAAGACUUACCUUGCCAUGUAUGUCUUCCUCCUCAUCCUCUUCAGAAUCUGAUCCAGCCAUAAGUGUUUGGAUUGUUUCUUGUGAUUUACAGAUGUUCCUCUCUUCUUCUUCUGAUUCUGAUAUGGCAAGUAGAGCAAGAAAGUCAUAUUCAUCGGAUUUCUCGAUCGCAAGAAAUGACUUAUUUUCCAGUUCUUCAUCCUCAGAUUCUUCUUCAGACAGAUUUCCCAUUGCUGCGAAAGCUUUCUUCUUGGACAGAUCUGCCUCUUGAUUCGUCAUUCGUCUGUUUGAGGGAAUAUAUUUGUCAUUCUUGAUUUCCCUUAAUUUUUCCGAGGUGCCUCUUUUCUGCUCCAAAGCCCAAAGUGGGCAAAACUUGAUGAAGUGAUCUGGACUUCCACACUUAUGACACACUUGUUCUUUUGUAUUCUCAUUUAUUUUCUGAAGAUUUCUUCUUUGAAAUACUUGCCUUCUCUUUAACAUUCUGGAAAACCUUUUGGUCAUUAGUGCAAUAUUUUCAUCCUCAAAGUCUUCUGGUACAGUAGCCUUUAGGACUAGGUUCCUUUCCUUUCUCUUCCCUCCGAUUUCUUUUUCUUGAGUUCAUAUGUGAUGAGAUUUUCAAUUAAUUCGUCCAUAGCUAGCGCAUCCAAAUCACGAGCUUCAGUGAUUGCUUCAACUUUGCUUUCCCAUGAUUCAGGGAGAACACUUAAGAGUUUUCUUACUGCCUUUCCAUUCGGAACUAUUUCUCCUAAAGAGUACAUCUCGUUAAUGAUUGAGGUGAACCUGGUGUGCAUUUCUUGUAUAGUUUCACCCUCUGCCAUUCGAAACAAUUCAUAUUGCCUGUUUAGAUUAUCGACUUUAGACUUCUUUACUUGAGUUGUUCCCUCGUGAGCAGUUUGUAAAGUUUCCCAUAUAGAUUUAGCAUCCUGACAUGAUGAGAUUUGAUUGUAUUCAUCUGGACCUAUACCGCAUAUCAAGAUUUUCUUGGCCUUGGCAUUGUUCUGGAUAGCUAGUUUGUCUGCAACGUCCCAUUCCUUCCUUUCUUUUGGUAUCUUGGUAACUCCAUCAGUUCCAGUUUUCAUAGGUAUGGUUGGUCCGUCCAGAAUAACUCCCCAUAAAUCAGGGUUUUCUCUGAUAAGGUGAUCCAUCAUGCGAUUUUUCCAUCAUCCGUAGUGCUUUCCAUUGAACAGUGGUGGUCGAGUUUGUGAAGCUCCUUCUUGUGGGGUUGGUGGUGCUGCCAUUGAUUCUUUUCAAGAUAUGAAUCUUUUAACGAAAAAGACCUGCUCUGAUACCAAUUGAAGAAACCUUACCCCUAGAACAAAAACCAUGUUCUUGUAUAUGUGCCUAUGACAGAACACUUUAACAGCCACACAAUACUCUUUGUUAAAACCUUCCUCACUCAAGGAAGGAAAAACCUUGUUUUAUUAUUUAACAAUUAUGUCACGAUUACAACUCAAUAAUCAAUAACCUCAAAAAAACUCUCGACUAACUAUAGUCGACUAACUCUACUCUCCAAGAGGUCAAACCCACCUCUUGUUACAAACCUCUCAAUAACUCAACUCUACAAGAAGCCAAACCCACUUCUUGUACAAAAGAUCUAUGACAAUGAUUCUAACUAUGAAUCAAAAACACUUUUCUCACACAAGAAAUUCUAACUAUAGAACUUCUUGAAUUCUAUUCCUAAGAACUCUCAAUAUAGUAGGCUUUUGCGUAUUUUCUCACUCUUUCUUCCUCUUGUUUCUCGAUUCUGCAAAAGACAAUUUGUCCCGUCUGCUUUGACAUCUUUUUAUAGAGUUGGAAGAUUGGUGUCCGGUGUGUACAAGGAAACGAAAUAAAGUUGUGUACGAAAAGGAUUUAUUUUGACCUUUUAUUACAAAUCCUGUUAGUACACAACUUCCUCUUUUAUUUGUUCCCUUCUUUAGCUCUGCUUUCUUGCUUUAAAGUUUUCCUUCUUUGACUCUUCUUUUUGAACUCCUUUUGAAAUCGGAUUGCAUAUCAAGAUGUGUCUAUCAUCAAAACUUCAUAAAUCAUCAGAAUUUUUUUAAUUGAUAUAUAUAAAUUUUCCCUAUGUUGUUUCAGUGGAUAAUCCUUCUGAAGGACUGAAAGUUCGAAGCAAACUAUUGAGGAAAACUAGUUUAAGUGACGACUUUUGGAGCGCUCGUACUAGUGCAUGUGAGAUGGAGGGAAGCAAUUCAGAAUUUGUUAAUCAUGGUAAGUACAUACUUUUCACUCUUUUUAUUUUCUUUUAUGUUAUGAUUGAAUUUAACAUUGCCUGGAACAGGUCUACUUCUCUGGAAUCAAACGAGGCAACAAUGGUGUGGAAAUAAAACACCGCAGAAGAAUGCUUCAGUUGGAGAACCCAAAUUAAGGUAAGUUUCUCACAUUUUUGCUAGUGUAAGCAUGAAUGAACUAUGAAAUUUGUGUUGCUUCUUUCAACUAUCGCGCACUAAACUAUAGUACAUACAUUUUAAUAAGUUUGUUCUAUCAUCAUAAUUGCAGUUUAUAUACAAGCUAUGAAAUGUUCCUAGAGACCAAUAAGCUUUUUCCUCAACCAAUUCCUUUACCGGUAAGUUAUCAAAUUAUGUAAGGUAGUUUUCUUUCCAUUUUGUUUGUAGCUAGUUGCUAACUGUUGUGAAUUUUUUACUAGGAAAUGGUAGACUUUCUUGUUGAUGUGUGGGAGCAGGAGGGGCUUUAUGAUAAAGCAACCACAUAACUCAUUAUUCUCACCAACUGCAAAUUGUGUUAUGGAACUUCUACACAAGUCAAGACAUAAAAAAAAAUCAUAUAGGGAUACCAACAAAUGAAACUUCAAUUUUAUUUCCCAAUUCAGAUUAAACUUUGACUUCUUGUCCUUUUUUUUCACAUUAAAACUAGCGCAUUUUAAAGGGGUUAUUCACAGAAAUAUCUUUAUUGCGCGGUGGUCUUUAAUUUUUAUCUUUAAAAUUUGAUGGUUACUUUUUUUCUUCAUCACUUUAAGUAAAAAGAAAAUGAACUCAAAUAUCUCUAGUGUGUGUGUUUAUAUGUAUAUUAUUUAGUAUUAAAUAAGCUGCUAGUAAAGAUUUAAAAUAUCAUAAGGUCAAGAUCCAAAAUUAAGUAUUUAGAGUUAUUUACAUACCCAUAGAUAUAAAAACCGUUUAUCAACUCUGGUAGUAUACUUAUGCUAUUAUUAGCUUUCUUAAAAGAAGAGUAAGAUUUAUCAUAUUUGGAAAUAUGAAAAGAAUUGGAAGUGGCCGUCCUUUUCUUCAAAUAUUCAACUCAAUUCUUUGAUAGUCUUGUGGUGAAUUUUGAAGUUGAGAGUAGAAAAGAAUUGUGCUAGAGAAAUUGGGAUUUGGGAGUGGUGGAAGGCCAAUGGAGAGAAGAAAGAAUAAUCGAGAAGCCGAAAGACCAUAGUCAAAAGACAAAAUUACCCUCACUUUUGAUUUAACUAUCAAAAUUAGAAAUCUGUCCAACUUUUGUUGCACAAUGUACAAUAAAAUUAAGCUGUGGUCGUCCUACCUUUCAUGCUUCUACAUAGUAUAUAUAUAGACUAGAUGGUUCUUGCCCGUGCUAAGCACGGGCCCAACAAUUUAAUUUAUGAUAUAAUUUUAUUGUGUUUGAUCUUUCUAGGAAAUAUGUUCGAGAAACCAAGUACCAUAAUUAACAUUUUUAUACAAAAAAAUUACAUUAGACAAAAAAUAAAAGUACGAACAUUAAGUAAAAGCUUUUAUAAUGAUCAAUAAUCUUAGUGAGCUCUAGCUUUGAAUCGAUCAAGAAGUUCCUAAAUUGUAUCAACCUUUUUUUUAGGGCUUUUGUUCUUGCACUUGAACUCCACUCUGAACAGUCUUUACCCAAGUACAAAUAUAGUUGUGAACUGCCAGGACAUCGUGGGGAGGGAACUUACAUUCAGAAAUUUUACAGAAAUCUCCACCAACAGGCAACAUAUUCACUAAUCUUCAUCUUGAUCACACUAAAUAAUAUUGAUCCACAAAAGUUAUGAUCAAUCUUCUACUCUUAACAAAAACAAACAAAUAGUAAUAAUAAUUACGAUCAGUAGGUCAUUUCUGAGUUUCAGUAUCUCUUGCUCAAGCACCUCGGAAUGUGAUCCCUAUGUAAGAGGUUUCAUCCCAUAUUAGAUAUUUUUGUGCAACUUAUGAAUAUGAAUCUUGAGAUCGAGACAAGACAAUCACCUGAAGUUUCAUGCGUAGUACUUCCAUUCCCCUUUUUGGCUGCUUAAGGCUACAUCAUUUAGCAUUUACAAAGAAGUUGAACUACAAUAAGCUUAGCCUUAGACGUCAAAGAAAGAAGCUAGUAAUUAAUAAUAAGUUUCAUUAUUUGGUUCCACUGGGAAGAAAAUUUGCAAGAAAGGAUUCUACAAGGAUGAAACUUGUUAUUUGUAAGAUAAUAAAAAUUAAAACCAGUUAAAGAAUGCUCUAUAUAUACUGCUUGUAGGUAAAACUCACCUCCCUUUUGCUUUAAAAAUUGGUGCUCGAAUAGAUGUUUUAGACUACACUCUAUAGCAUCGAUAUACCAACACGAAAUUAACUAUUGCAUCAUUUAGGAGUUUUCAGAAAAAAACAAAUCUUUUUGAAUGAGAUUUGUUAAACCUUGGUUAUGACACAAAAAGAAUAUAGUGCCUAAGUGCUGAAAUUGCAUUGGAGCUUGAUUUGAAAGUUUUGAAUGCAAGGUAUAGUGUAGAGCCGUCAAUAUGGGCUAGGUCCGUUGGGUUGGCCUGGUCUAAUCCAUGAUUUGAUAGGGUUGAGCUACGAUAUUUAGAGCCCAUUUAAGAAAAGGGCUUUUUAACCCGGCCUGAAUAAGCUUGUCGAUUUGAAGGGCUUGAGAAAUAUGGAUAGGGCCGGCCCGUGGGCCAAAUAAAAAUUAAUUAAAAAAUAAAAAUAAAAUAGAUUAUUAAAAAUAACAAGAGUCUAAACUCAAAAUUUGUUUAAAGUUUGAAAUAUUACAAUUUAAAUACAAAUUAUGUUUAUAAAAUAUGUACUACAUAAAAUAAAAAUUCCCUAAAAUUUCUAGGGAAUCACUAUAUAGGCCAUAUCCUAUGAAAUAUUGUCAUAGUUUUUGUGUUUUAUUAUGAUAAUUGGAAAACAAUUCGAUUAAUAUUUCUAUUUAGCUAUUUAUGCUUUUACUUGAUCAAACUUAAUAAAUAUUAUAAAGAUAAUUUUAUUUGUGUAUUUGAUUAACAAGUAGUAACACUAACACCAUGUAAUAUUGUUUUGUUGAUAUUUAUGAUAAUAUUUUUAAAUUAUAAUUUAAUUUAAAAAAUUAUAAAAAAUAUACUUUUAAGAAAAGAGGGUUGGCCUGGCAAAACCCGUAGCCCACAUACUAGUAUAGUGUCUUAGGAACUAAUGUUAAACUAACCUGAUUAUAGUAACAGGAAAACUUCUACUCACCGCAACAUACGUGACCAUUAAAUCUCAUUAGAGUGGAUCAUGAACAAGUAAUUACAUAAAAGGAAUAGUAAAUGGAGGCAGGCCUCAUUGACUUGAACACAGUUGGUGAUCCGUUUAACUCUGCUAGCAAAUUGGAGUAUUCCCUUUAAUACUACACAUAACUAUUAUGAUUUGGGUAUCAAUGUAAAAUUUCAAACAAAAUGAGAAUCAGCUUGUGUCGAUUUGCGCUGCUUCAAAUCUUAGUUGUUAAAUGGAACUAACACCGUCUUUUUGAAGGAAAAAAAGGGACAUACAAUGUAUGUAAUCUAGAAACGCAACUCAAUUGAAGAGAUAAAAAUAUAGAAUAGUGCCAUUGAUUUAGAGAAAUAAAGAACUAGCUAAGAGAAAAAUGAAACUGAAAAGGAGAACAAAAAUGACUCGCAAAAAAAAAAUGAAGCAAUUGUGCCGCCGGCAACUAACCCUUCUCUUUUUAUUUUUUCAAUGUAUUUUCAACUCAAAGUUUCAGUAGUUCCUUCCAUUGAUAGACAAAAAAUGUUGAGCAAAGACCUGGCAACAACCACCCGUAGCCCACAUACUAGUAUAGUGUCUUAGGAACUAAUGUUAAACUAACCUGAUUAUAGUAACAGGAAAACUUCUACUCACCGCAACAUACGUGACCAUUAAAUCUCAUUAGAGUGGAUCAUGAACAAGUAAUUACAUAAAAGGAAUAGUAAAUGGAGGCAGGCCUCAUUGACUUGAACACAGUUGGUGAUCCGUUUAACUCUGCUAGCAAAUUGGAGUAUUCCCUUUAAUACUACACAUAACUAUUAUGAUUUGGGUAUCAAUGUAAAAUUUCAAACAAAAUGAGAAUCAGCUUGUGUCGAUUUGCGCUGCUUCAAAUCUUAGUUGUUAAAUGGAACUAACACCGUCUUUUUGAAGGAAAAAAAGGGACAUACAAUGUAUGUAAUCUAGAAACGCAACUCAAUUGAAGAGAUAAAAAUAUAGAAUAGUGCCGCUGGUUUAGAAAAAUAAGGAAAUAGCUAAGAGAAAAAUGAAACUGAAAAGGAGAACAAAAAUGACUCGCAAAAAAAAAAUGAAGCAAUUGUGCCGCCGGCAACUAACCCUUCUCUUUUUAUUUUUUCAAUGUAUUUUCAACUCAAAGUUUCAGUAGUUCCUUCCAUUGAUAGACAAAAAAUGUUGAGCAAAGACCUGGCAACAACCAAUGGCAUAGCCAGAAAUUUCAUUAAGGGUGUCCAAACUUUGAAUAAUAUUUUUUUUUAAAAUGACGAUUUAAAUUACCAAAAUAAAUAAUCAAGUUAAGCAAUAUUUAAUUAAAUAUAAUAAUAUUUUUAAUAGAAUUACAAGUGUAUAAUUCAAAACUAACAUAAAGACAAAAGAAACUACUAUUGAAAACAUAAUUUAAAUAUAUUAUUACAAUGGUACUCGACGAGGUUUCAUAUCCUGAAACGUUUUUAUAAUAGACUCAUUAGAAAUAGUACGAAAUACUUUCUUUUCUGCAUAAGGCAAUAUACAAUCGUCUAAAAACUCAUCAUCCAUUCGAUUUCGCAAAUUUUGAAUACACUUCAUUUCUGAGAAAGAAAACCUUAUUCCACAAGAAAAAAAUAUUAAAAUUUAAGAAAAUCUUAUUCCACAAGGAAAAAGUAUUAAAAUUUAAGGAAAUAAUUCAAUUUUAUUUGAAAAAAAUCCACAAGGAAAAAGUAUUAAAUUUAAGGAAAUCUUAUUCCACAGGGAAAAAGUACUAAAUUUAAGGAAAUAAUUCAAUUUUAACUGGAAAAAAAAUAGUUAGUGGAGGUAAGAUUCGAACUUGGGUCCUUGAAGCCAAUAAUAACACUAUUAACCACCAAGCUACUGAACAUUUCUGUUAAAGUUACGCAUAUUUAUUUAAUUACCAAAUUCAAGAAGGUAAAAUAAUUACAGAAAAAUGAAACACUCCUAUAGGGAAUCAAACUGGGGCAGAGAGUAGGUUUGCGACGGCUAUAGCCAGCUCCACUACACAUUACUUUGUUAUUAAAGGGUGUCCAAAUUCUAUAUAUACAAAUAUAAAGUCAAAACUUUACAUGUAUAUAUAGUAUAAUUUUUCGACGAAUUGGACACCCUGGAGCCUACAUGGCUCCGCCCCUGGAAACAACCAUGAAAUGAGACCUGGCAACAUCAACACCUCAAAUCACGAUGUUCCUAAUUCCCAUCAUUGGAGACGCUUGGAGAGAAAAUAUGUGGACAACAAUCAAUCUCCAAAAGAAAUGACAAGAGUUAGGUGAAGGAAACAAGUGAUUCUAGAUAGACAAAUUUAGUUGAGGAAGAAGAACAUAUUUCUUCACCUGCAAGGAGUAAGUUAAGUCCUCAAAUAACCAUAUUUGUACCUUCAAGUAAGGCAAAUCCAUUUAUGACAGUGAAAAUUGAUAACUCCACCUAAGAUCUUGACCAUUACCACCAAGGUAUUGAAAAAAAUCCAUGAGCCAUAAGUUGUAGUUUCAAGACUUAAUUAGUCCAACUACAACUUAUGAUGGUGACUUGGGCAGUGAAAUGUUUGACGAGGAUGAUGAGGAUGAUAUGCUAGACAUAUUAUUUGAUAAGGUAUCUAAGGAUAGGGAUAUCUCGCCUAGGCAACAAAUUAGUGGAAGCAACAAAAGCAAAAAGAAGACACAUGAAAGACAACAUAGUUGGGAUGGUAAGGUGACUGGGGAAUUUAUUCCAAGGCACCUACAAAUGCGACUGAAAAAGCAAAAUCAUAUGAUCGUUUCAACAACAACAAGAUCCAAUAAAUCCAAAAAAAAGUGAUGAAUUAUCAAGUUUUGUUGGACAUAUUUGACGAGGAAGACAAGAGGGAAAUACUUCAGGUUACUUUACACGGGCAAUCCAUCUCUUUUGAUUCUUACAUAUACAAAAUGAAGUUUGAGGUUGAUAACUCAUAUUCUUGGAUUUUAUAUUUUUGCAUUACUUAAGUAUCCUCAUUUGUAGUAUCAUCACAAAAUGUAUUAUAAACUCUAUGAUGAUCAUAGAAUAUCUACUUUUCUCUAGCUUUUAUUUUUCUUCAUGCUUGUUAAUUAGUAGACGUUCGUUACCUCAUUAAGAUUAGUAAGGUAAGGCCUAUCCCCCCUUGCUUUUACUUUUUUCUUUGAGAUCCUUUUCUCUUUAUUAAUAAAACUAUCCCUAAGCACACCUUGCAUAGCGGAAUUGCUUAAAUUUUUUUGGAUAUCCUUUCUUAUAUAUAGUAGUACUACCUUUUUAAUUUACUUAAAAAGCUUUGAUGGUUAAUAGUUAUACUUAUAAAUGUAAAAAUGGUCAAAAUUUAUUCUUUACUUCGAGAAAAAAUCAAUUUUAUUCUUCAUUAUGCUAUUAAUUUAAAAUUACACUACCAUUACUUGAAUAAUUCAAAUAUAAAUGUAAAAGGUGAACACUUGAUCCAAUAUAAUAGCAGACAUUUUGAAGAAACAAAUAUUACGUGGCAUGUCAUCUCAAUGUCCCAACCCAUUUUAGCCUCCCCUCCACUUGUUCUUCCGCCAUUAAUGUUUCUAUUCUUAUAACAAUCACUAAUAUUGUGUGAUUAAAAAGGGUGAAGUGUUGUGCUCAAAUGAGAUGAAUAUUAUUUAUCUAGAUGAAAAUAAUUAGUGAUGGAAGAACAAGUAAAAGGAAGAGGUAAAAUGCGUUUUUAGGAUAUUGAGGUAGGAUGUCAUGUAGUGUUCAUCUCAUCAUUUUUUUUAAAAAAAAGAAGAAGAUGAAGGUGUUUAUGUAAUUGGUAAUCUUUCUUUUGGUUGAUUGUCUAUUUUUGGUCUCAAUAAGGAGUUUUUUGAGCUUGAAAGAUUCAAAUAUUAAAUUCCCAAUAGUUUUCAACCAUACCCACGUGUAGAGUCUUGAAAUAUAGAGGUAUCUUCUUGAUUCUUUCAUCUUUUCGCUUAAAGCUUGUGCUUUUUUUUCUCUUUCUUCUUCUAUGAUUGAUUUAGUCCAUUAAGAGCAUAUUUUGUGACUAUCUGUUGAGGCAGAAUAUCAAUUCAAAGGAUAGUUGAUGUAGGAUGGUCUUUGUCUGAUGUUUUUAAUCUUCUAGUUUUUCAGAAACACGAAGCUUUUUCCAAGCUUCAUAUCCAAGUAGAAAUAAAUCAUCUAUGCUUUUAUCAUGUGGGGAAAAUGGGAAGAGGAUUUGUGUCACUACCGCUUUUGGAAAUUUUGAGCAGAGGAAUCAUUCUUCCACUAAAAUCUUUAUUGAUAAAUUCCUCUUUGAGGUAUUCAAGCGUCUACCCAGUGGCAGUGAGACAAGUGCUUAUGCUUGUGUUUCUAAGCGAUGGCUCACACUUUUAAGCAGUGUUCACAAGGAUGAGAUCACAGAAUCUAAGAGAUAUCUUGCCAGGUCCCUUGUUGGUAGGAAAGUCACAAUUGCCAGACUUGCUGCUAUUGCCAUUAGAACUUCAAAACAUGGAGGUUUAGCAAAGAUAUCUAUUCGGGGAAACAACGUUUGUCGUGGUGUGACUGAUGUUGGUUUCAAGGAUAUUUCUCGAGGUUUCCCUACUCUCAGAGAACUUUCCUUGUGGAAUGUGUCUUCUUUUGGUGAUGAAAGUUUAUUUGAUAUUGUCCAUGGAUGUCAUUUGUUAGAGAAACUUGAUCUUUUCCAAUGCCCAAGAAAUAGAGGUAUUCUUGAUUCUUUCAUGUUUUCGCAUAAAGCUUGUGCCUUUAUCUUAUUUUUUAUUUCCCUUUUAAACUUUUGGGGUUCUACAUUUUGCACUAAAAUUGGUUCUUGAUUGUGUAGUGAAGAUGCUUUGCCUUUUUUUCUUUUCUUUCUUCUUCUGUGAUUGAUUUAGUCCAUUACACACCCAAUUUCUACUGUAAGACAUAAUCCACGGGGAGCCUCAGAAUUAGUCUGGAUGCCUCGAAACCUAAACAAAGGUUUGUUCUAGACCAAACUAAACAUUUUAGGACUAACUGCGCUGAAAGAAUUCUCAUUCGAGCUUGUUUACUCAAAAUAUUGACUAAAGUCAAACUUAGGCCUUAACUUGAAAGUUAAAACGCUUAAUCACAUUGACUCACACUGAAAGCCUCGGGACUUGUGUCAACUUUGCCACUAGCCUAAAAUGACCCUUCAGGACAUGAUGGAAACGUCAGAAUUGGAUUCUGAGGUCAUCUUCCUAAACUUCUAAUAAAAAUUGACAGUUCAAGGUUCAAAAGCUCCAAAAUACUAAAACUCGUAUAAUUUUUUUUAAAAAUGAUGUUGAUAUUAUAUUUCGAAAUGAUUUCCGUUACACCAUCAAUAUGUGUAAAGCUUUCAUAGCAAAAUUUAUUUACUUCUGUACUUCCAUCCAAUUGAUGUAGCCUAUUUUUUAGGUCCGGGUGGUUCUACAUGUCUGGAGCAUAGGAGUCCUGAUGCGGUGAAUGAGAGUCGAAUGAUGAAUUCAUCUAGGACACACACUUGUGAUCCUACUCUUGUUCCUUCCCGGAAGUAAGUACCCUUCAUCGUGUACAAUUAUUACUAAUUUGAAUUCAACACAUGCCUAUUUUUUGAUGGCCCAUCAUUGCUAGUAUUCAACUGUCUGAUUAACCUACUCUUUGGAAUUUCCCUAUUGAUAAGUACGGAAACAUAUAUAAUACAUUUUUUCAACAAUGUAAUGUUGGUCCAUGAGGAGAUGGCCUAGUGGUUAAGGCAUAUGACUAACAACUUGGACAUUCUAGGUUUGAAUACCAGCUAAAACACAUGGUGUGUCCAUCUAAUCUAGCCUUACUGGGCAGCAUUACCUUGUCAAUAUGUGCUUGUGGGAUGGAUAAGUUGUCCAAUGAAUUAUUUGGGGUACAUGCAAGUUGGUAGGGACACCAUUAGUAUUGCUAAAAUAAUGAGUAGCCACUCAAAAUAUAUAUGACAUAAUGAUAAUCUGAGUGUGUACUGCUUAGUCAGAUGAUAAUUGAUCUAAUCUCUCUUCCUCUUUGCAUUUCAGGGGGAGUUUUAACAUAUUAGGUGCUUUAAAAUUUGUACCUGGGAUGCUCAAUAGUUGUAUUUGGGCUCAUCCUCCUCCUUAUUUUUUUAGUUUACUUGAAAAUUCUAAGAGACAUUGAUCUUUUUACACAAGGGGUUGUUCCUCUAGAAAGAAAUUGCUAGUUAGAUUAUCAGUUUUGCUUUCCUUUUUGAAUAUUUAUUGCAUGUUGUGGCAUUUAAUUCUCAUAAAUACUGUUGUAUCUUUUAUGCAUACAUAGUCCUCUUCUUGUUUUAAAAAUAUUCAGCUUUUUCUCUUCCUUUUAGAUAUUGCAUGCUGGGCUAUUAUGUUGAUGUACCAGUGAAUUGGUGUUGUGAAGAAUGUGAUAUUGGCAAAGGGAUAAUGUCUUCAUCAAGCGGACUAGAAAUUGUGCAUUAUGAGGGAUCCAAGUUACAUGCCUCUGAAAAGAUUUGUCAGAGUAUUAUGCAACCAAAGAAACAUAGUAAGUUUCCUGGUGGACAUCGUUUUAACUGGGAAAAAGAGGUACGGACCGGGAAAUUGAGAUAUCUACCUGUUGAAGAAGCACUUGAUUUGUCAUCAAGCAUCAAGAAAUAUGGAUCUCCGCUGAUAGAUACGGUCUCCUCAAGAGUUGUGUCAACCAAAUCCAUGGCAACUAUGACGAGAGGGAUUUUUAGCAAGCCUAGAGCUCAAAUUUCAAACUCUUUUCGUGAGAAGAGAAAAAUGCAGCUGCCUUUAGGAUCAACAGGAUAUACGAAACCUCAAAAUCUUCAAAUUGCCGAAAACACUAAACAGAGCAAAAAAACAGUACAAUUAUCUAAAGGUUAAGUGUUCACCAAUAUAUUUUGUAUUAAUUACUUGAUUUGAUUUAUCCUCUUCUUAUACCUUAAUUAUUCUUCAGAAAUUUCAUUUUCUAGCAUAUACUCUAAAUAGUUUUUAAAAAUAAAAUGAUGUUGAUAUAUCUAGAGUUGAUAUUAUCUUUCAAAAUAAUUUCCGUUACACCAUCAAUAUCUAUAAAGCUUUCAUAGCAAAAAUUAUUUACUUAUGUACUUCCAUCCAAUUAAUGUAGCCUCUUUUUUAGGUCCGAAUGGUUCUACUAGUCUGGAGCAUAGGAGUCCUGAUGUUAUGAAUAAGAGUCGAAUGACGAAUUCAUCUAUGACACACCCUUGUGAUUAUGUUCUAGUUCCUUCCCAGAAGUAAGUAUCCUUCAUAGUAUACAAUUAUUACUAAUUCAAAUUCAGCUCAUGUAUGUUUCUAGAUGGCCCAUCUUUGCUAGUAGUCAGCUGACUAAUUAACCUAAUCUUUGUAAUUUUCUUAUUGAUAAGUACGGAAACAUAUAUAAUACAUUUUGUCAACAACAUAAUGUUGGUCCACGAGGAGAUGGCCAUGUGGUUAAGGCAUAAGACUAACAACUUCGACAUUCUAGGUCUGAAUCCCAGCUACAACACAUGGUGCGCCCAUCUGAUCUAGCCUUACUGGGAAGCAUUAACGUGUCAAUAUGUGUUUGUGGGAUGGACUAGUUGCCCAAUGAAUUAGUUGGGGUACAUGCAAGUUGGUUGGGACACCAUUAGUAUUGCUAAAAUAAUGAGUAGGGCACUGAAGAAUAUAUGACAUAAUGAUAAUCUGAAUGUGUACUGCUUAGUCAGAUGAUAAUUGAUCUAAUCUCUCUUCCUCUUUGCAUUUCAGGGGAAGUUCUGACAUCUUAGGUGCUUUGGAAUUUUUACCUAGGAUGCUCAAUAGUUGUAUCAAGGCUCAUCCUCCUUCUAGAGCUAGACGUAAGGUGUAUGAGUUCUCAGGUCUUUUUCCUGAUACUCUUAAAUUUGAACUUGUUCCCUGUGGGGAUAUUUGGGAAAGUCUAUUUAACAAUCAUAUUCCGAGUAAAGAAGAUAUAGGACUAUAUUUUUUUUGCAAGUGAGAAAGAAAGGUCAGCUUCUGCCUUAUAUAUCUAUCCGUAAAGGGGCAAUGGGUUGCAAAGUAGAAGUACCCCCUUGCCCAUGAACAUUUUUACUAGAAAUUGAUUCUCAGUUCCCAUUAUAUGUAGGUCUGAGAGAUAUAUUGCUCUAGUGGAGUUCAUGCGUAGCAAGGAUUUGGUGAUGAGAACGCUUAUAAAUGAUGUUGAGCUCCAUAUACUUGCAUCCAUAGCCAUGUGCACUGAUUCUCAAAGUACAUCUAUAAUUUCUAUGUUCUUUUCUCAUUUUUGAUGAAUUUUUAGGUAAUAAUAUAUUUACCUGUAUAUGCAGAAGAUUAUGCCUUUUUAAAGUGGGUUACUUGUUUGGUUUCAUUUGUUCAUCAAGUUUUUUGCUCUAUAACAGAUUGUCCAAAACAAGAUGGUAACAACAGCUAGAGUGUGUCUAAUGAUAUAACAUUUAAGUAAAAAACAACAAACUUAAAUAGAAUACUUGGAAUGCACUGGUGGAUAUGCUCACGGCAGGAAAAAUGUGAAUUACGUGGGAAUUUUCCUAGGGAUUGGUAUGAAAAUCCGCAGGAACCUUAUUUUCCUGCAAAUUUUCAUAUUAAUCUCCAGGAAAAUUCCCAUGUAAUAUAUUUUGAGGGAAAAGGAGAACUUGAUUUUGCUGAUUAUGAUUUAGCUUUCUGUAUCUGAUAACAUUUUGCCUCCACAUAUCAUUCUGUUCAUAUGGUAAUCUUAAUUCCAAUCAAGUAUCUGUCAACUUCUAAAUUUCUUGUGUUUUCUAUGUGAACUUGCAGAAAAAAAAUGUAAAAUUUGCGGUGACACAGGUUUUGACAAAGAAAUUACUACAUGUUAUCAGUGUGACAAUGUUGACGUACAUCCGUAAGUUCUCUCUCUCUUUUCGUAGCAUGAAAAGGUGGACAAUCAGUUAGAAAAUCCAAAAGUCAUGUCUCUCUUUCAAGCUUCAUCACCUUGUGUCAUAUCUAUAUGUUCUUUGUAAAUCUCAAACAUUGGCCCAAUCCCAAACCCCUUUUUUUAGUUUACUUGACAUUUCUAAGAGAGAUGUUGAUCUUUUACACAAAGGGUUGCUCCUGUUGAAGGAAAUUGCUAGUUAGAUUAUCAGUUUUGCUUUCCUUUUUGAUUUUUUUUUCAUGUUGUGGCAUUUAAUUCUCAUAAAUACUGCCUAUAUCUUUUAUGCAUACAUAGUCCUCUUCUUGUUUUAAAUAUUAUGUGUUUUUCUCUUCCUUUAAGAUAUUGCAUGCUGGGCUGUUGUGUUGAUGCACCAGUGGAUUGGUGUUGUGAAGAAUGUGAUAUUAGGAAAGGGAUAAUGUCUUCAUCAAAUGGACUAGGAAAUAUGCAUUAUGAGGGAUCCAAGUUACAUGCAUUUGAAAAGAUUUGUCAGAGUACUGUGCAACCAAAGAAACAUAGUAAAUUUCCUCGUGCACAUCGUAUUAACGGGGAAAAGGAGGUACAGACCGGGAAAAUGAGAUAUCUAUCAGUUGAAGAAGCACUUGGUCUUUCAUCAAGCAUCAAGAAAUAUGGAUCUACGCUGAUAAAUACGAUCUCCUCAAGAGUUGUGUCAACCAAAUCCAUAGCAACCAUGACUCGAGGGAUUUUUGGCAAGCCUACAGCUCAAAUUUCAAACUCUUUUCGUGAGAAAAGCAAAGUGCAGCUGCCUUUAGCAUCAACAGGAUAUACUAAACCUCAAAAUCUUUGAAUUGCCAAAAAUACUGAACAUAGCAAAAAAAAUGUUCAAUUAUCUAAGGUUAAGUGUUCACCACAAUAUUUUGUAUUAAUUACUUGAUUUGAUUUGUCCUCUUCUUAUACCUUUAUACUUCAGAAAUUUCAUUUUCUAGCAUAUACUCUAAAUAAAAAAAAUUCUUUUAAUGAUGUUGAUAUAUCUAGAGUUGUUAUUAUCUUUCAAAAUAAUUUCCGUUACACCAUCAACAUCUAUAAAGCUCUCAUAGAAAAAUUUCUUUACUUAUGUACUUCCAUCAAAUUGAUAUAGCCUAUUUUUUUAGGUCCGGGUGGUUCUACCAGUCUUGAGCAUACGAGUCCUGAUGAUUUGAAUAAGAGUCGAAUAAUGAAUUCAUCUAUGACACACCCUUGUGAUCCUUCUCUAGUUCCUUCCCGAAAGUAAGUACCCUUCAUUGUGUACAGUUAGUACUAAUUCAAAUUUAGCUCAUGUCUGUUUUUGGAUGGCCCAUCUUUGCUAGUAAUCAGCUGACUGAUUAACUACUCUUUGUAAUUUCCUUAUUGAUAAAUACGAAAACAUAUAUAAUACACUUUUUCAACAACAUAAUGUUCGUCCAUGAUGAGAUGGCAUAGUGGUUAAGGCUUAGGACUAACAACUUGGACAUUCUAGGUUUGAAUCCCAGCUACAACACAUUGUGCGCCCAUCUGAUUUAGACUUACUGGGAACCAUUAGCGUGUCAAUAUGUGUUUGUGGGAUGGACUAGUUGCCCAAUGAAUUAGUUGGGGUACAUGCAAGUUGGUUGGGACGCCAUUAGUAUCGCUAAAAUAAUGAGUAGGGCACUGAAGAAUAUAUGAUAUAAUGAUAAUCUGAAUGUGUACUGCUUAGUCAGAUGAUAAUUGAUCUAAUCUCUCUUCUUCUUUGCAUUUCAGGGGAAGUUCUGACAUCUUAGGUGCUUUGGAAUUUGUACCUAGGAUGCUCAAUAGUUGUAUCCUGGCUCAUCCUCCUUCUAGAGUUAGAUGUAAGGUGUAUGAGUUCUCAGGUCAUUUGCCUGAUACUCUUAAAUUUGAACUUGUUCCCCGUGGGGAUACUUGGGAAAGUCUAUUUAACAAUCAUAUUCCGAGUAAAGAAGAUAUAGGACUGUAUUUUUUAGCAAGUGAGAAAGAAAGGUCAGCUUCUACCUUAUAUAUCUAUCCGUAAAUGGGCAAUGGGUUGCGAAGUAGAAGUCCCCCUUGCCCAGGAAGGUUUUUACUAGAAACUGAUUCUCAUUUCCCAUUAUAUGUAGGUCUGAGAGAUAUAUUGCUCUAGUGGAGUUCAUGCGUAGCAAGGAUUUGGUGAUGAGAACGCUUAUUAAUGAUGUUGAGCUCCUUAUACUUACAUCCACAACCAUGUGCACUGAUUCUCAAAGUACGUCUAUAAUUUCUAUAUUUUUUCCUCAUUUUCAAUGAAUUUUUAGGUAAUAAUACAUUUACUUGUGUAUGCAGAAGAUUAUGACUUUUUAAAGUGAGGAUACUUGUUUGGUUUCAUUUGUUCAUCAAGGUUUUUGCUCUAUAACAGAUUGUCCAAAAGAAGAUGUUAACAACAACUAGGGUGUGUCUAAUGGGAUAACAUUUAAGUAAAAAAUAACAAACUUAAAUAGAAUACUUGGAAUGAACUGGUGGAUAUGCUUCUGCUAGAUAUUAUGAGAGAAAAAGAGAACUUGAUUUUACUGAUUAUGAUUUAGCUUUCUGUAUCUGAUAACAUUUUGUCUCCACAUAUCAUUAUGUUCAUAUGGUAAUCUUAAUUCCAAUCAAGUGUUUGUCAACUUCUAAAUUUCUUGUGAUUUCUAUGUGAACUUGCAGAAAAAAUGUGAAAUUUGCGGUGACACAAGUUUUGAAAAAGCAAUUACGUGCAUCAGUAAGUUUUCUCUCUCUCUCUCUUUCUCUUUUUGUAGCAUGAAAAGGUGGAAAAUUAGUUAGAAAAUCUGAAAGUCAUGUCUCUCUUUCAAGCUUCAUCACUUUGUGUCAUAUCUAUAUGUUCUUUGUAAAUCUCAAACAUUGGCCCAAUCCCAAACCCUUUUUUUUUUAAGUUUACUUGACAUUUCUAAGAGAGAUGUUGAUCUUUUUACAGAAGGGGUUGCUUCUCUCGAAGGAAAUUGCUAGUUAGAUUAUCAGUUUUGCUUUCCUUUUUGAUUUUUUUUUCAUGUUGUGGCAUUUAAUUCUCAUAAAUACUGCCUAUAUCUUUUAUGCAUACAUAGUCCUCUUCUUGUUUUAAAUAUUCUGUUUUUUUUCUCUUCCUUUAAGAUAUUACAUGUUGGGUUGUUGUGUUGAUGCACCAGUGGAUUGGUGUUGUGAAGAAUCUGAUAUUAGCAAAGGGAUAAUGUCUACAUCAAGUGGACUAGAAAAUGUGCAUUAUGAGGGAUCCAAGUUACAUGCAUUUGAAAAGAUUUGUCAGAGUACUGUGCAGCCAAAGAAACAUAGUAAGUUUCCUCGUGCAUAUCGUAUUAAUGGGGAAAAGAAGGUACAUACCGGGAAAAUGAGAUAUCUACCUGUUGAAGAAGCACUUGGUCUUUCAUCAAGCAUCAAGAAAUAUGGAUCUACGCUGAUAAAUACGGUAUCCUCAAGAGUUGUGUCAACCAAAUCCAUAGCAACCAUGACUCGAGGGAUUUUUGGCAAGCCUAGAGCUCAAAUUUCAAACUCUUUUUGUGAGAAGAGCAAAGUGCAGCUUCCUUUAGCAUCAACAGGAUAUACUAAACCUCAAAAUCUUCGAAUUGCCAAAAACAUUGAACAUAGCAAAAAAAUGUUCAAUUAUCUAAAGGUUAAGUGUUCACCACAAUAUUUUGUAUUAAUUACUUGAUUUGAUUUGUCCUCUUCUUAUACUUUUAUUCUUCAGAAAUUUCAUUUUCUAGCAUAUACUCUGAAUAGUUUUUAAAAAAAAUGAUGUUGACAUAUCUAGAGUUGUUAUUAUCUUUCAAAAUAAUUUCCGUUACACCAUCAACAUCUAUAAAGCUUUCAUAGAAAAAAUUCUUUACUUCUGUACUUCCAUCAAAUUGAUGUAGUCUAUUUUUUAGGUUUGGGUGGUUCUACCAGUCUUGAGCAUACGAUCCUGAUGAUUUGAAUAAGAGUCGAAUAAUGAAUUCAUCUACGACUUACCCUUGUGAUCCUUCUCUAGUUCCUUCCCGGAAGUAAGUACCCUUAAUCGUGUACAAUUAUUACUAAUUCAAAUUUAGCUCAUGUCUGUUUCUGGAUGGCCCAUCUUUGCUAGUAGUCAGCUGACUGAUUAACUACUCUUUGUAAUUUCCUUAUUGAUAAAUAUGAAAACAUAUAUAAUACAUUUUUUCAACAACAUAAUGUUGGUCCAUAAGGAUAUGGCCUAGUGGUUAAGGCAUAAGACUAACAACUUGGACAUUCUAGUUUUGAAUCCCAGCUACAACACAUUGUGCGCCCAUCUGAUCUAGCUUUAUUGUGUCAAUAUGUACUUGUGAGAUGGACAAGUUGCCCAAUGAAUUAGUUGGGGUACAUGCAAUUUGAUUGGAACGCCAUUAGUAUUGCUAAAAUAAUGAGUAGGGCACUGAAGAAUAUAUGGCAUAAUGAUAAUCUGAAUGUGUACCGCUUAGUUAGAUGAUAAAUGAUCUAAUCUCUCUUUCUUUUUUUACAUUUCAGGGGAAGUUUUGACAUCUUAGGUGCUUUGGAAAUUUUACCUGGGAUGCUCAAUAGUUGUAUCCAGGCUCAUCCUUCUUCUAGAGUUAGACGUAAGGUGUAUGAGUUCUCAGGUCUUGUGCCUGAUACUCUUAAAUUUGAACUUGUUCCCCGUGGGGAUAUUUGGGAAAGUAUAUUUAACAACCAUAUUCCGAGUAAAGAAGAUAUAGGACUGUAUUUUUUUGCAAGUGAGAAAAAAAGGUCAGCUUCUGCCUUAUAUAUCUAUCCGUAAAGGGGCAAGGGAUUGCAAAGUAGAAGUCCCCCCUUGCAAAGGAACGUUUUUACUAGAAAUUGAUUCUCAUUUCCCAUUAUAUGUAGGUCUGAGAGAUAUAUUGCUCUAGUGAAGUUCAUGCGUAGCAAAGAAUUGGUGAUGAGAAUGAUUAUAAAUGACGUUGAGCUCUUUAUACUUGCAUCCACAGCCCUGUGCAGUGAUUUUCAAAGUACGUCUAUAAUUUCUAUGUUUUUCUCAUUUUCAAUGAUUUUUUAGGUUGUACAUUUACCUGUGUAUGCAGAUUAUUAUGCCUUUGGAAAGUGGGGAUACUUGUUUGGUUUCAUUUGUGCACAUUUUCAAUGAUUUUUUAGGUUGUACAUUUACCUGUGUAUGCAGAUUAUUAUGCCUUUUGAAAGUGGGGAUACUAGUUUGGUUUCAUUUGUGCAUCAAGGUUUUUGCUCUAUAACGGAUUAUCCAAAAGAAGAUGUUAACGGCAGCUAGAGUGUGUCUAAUGGUAUAACAUUUAAGUAAAAUAACAAACUUAAAUAGAAUAUUUGGAAUGCGCUGGUGGAUAUGUUUCUGUUAUAUAUUAUGAAAGAAGACGAGAACUUGAUUUUGCUGGUUAUAAUUUAGCUUUCCGUAUUUGAUGACAUUUUGUCUCCACAUAUCAUUUUGUUCAUAUGGUAAUCUUAAUUCCAAUUAAGGGUCUGUCAACUUCUAAAUUUCUUAUGUUUUCUAUGUGUACUUGCAGAAAAAAAUUGUGAAAUUUGCGGUGAUACAGGUUUUGAAAAAGCAAUUCUACAUGUUAUCAGUGUAACAAUGUUGACGUGCAUCGGUAAUUAUCUCUCCCUCCUUCUUUUUCUCUCUCUGUCUUUUCUUAGCAUGAAAAGGUAGACAAUCAGUUAGAAAAUCUGAAAGCCAUGACUCUCUAUCAAGCUUCAUCACCUUGUGUCAAAUCUAUAUGUUCUUUGUAAACCUCAAACAUUGGCCCAAUCCCAAACCCUCUUUUAUUUAGUUUACUUGCCAUUUCUAAGAGAGAAGUUGAUCCUUUUACACAAGGGGUUGUUCCACUUGAAGGAAAUUGCUAGUUAGAUUAUCAGUUUUGCUUUCUUUUUUGAAUUUUUUUUUGCAUGUUGUGGGAUUUAAUUCUCAUAAAUACUGCUUGUAUCUUUUAUGCAUACAUAAUCCUCUUCUUGUUUUAAAAAAAUUCUGCUUUUUUCUCUUCUUUUCAGAUAUUGCAUGCUGGGAUAUUAUGUUGAUGCACCAAUGGAUUGGUGUUGUGAAGAAUGUGAUAUUGACAAAGGGAUAAUGUCUUCAUCAAGUGGACUAGAAAAUGUGCAUUAUGAGGGAUCCAAGUUACAUCCUUGUGAAAAGAUUUGUCAGAGUACUGUGCAACCAAAGAAACAUAGUAAGUUUCCUGAUGGACAUCGUAUUAACUGGGAAAAGGUGGUACAGACCUGGAAAAUGAGAUAUCUACCUGUUGAAGAAGCACUUGGUCUGUCAUUAAGCAUCAAGAAAUAUGGAUCUCCGCUGAUAAAUACGGUCUCCUCAAAAGUUGUGUCAACCAAAUCCAUGGCAACCGUGACUCGAGGGAUUUUUACCAAGCCUAGAGCUCAAAAUUCUUCCUGAUGAAUGCCUUUUUGAGAUUUUCAAACGUCUUUCCAGUGGUCAAAAGAGAAGUGCUAGUGCUUGUGUUCCCAAGUGAUGGCUUACACUUUUAAGCAACAUUCGCAAGGAUGAGAUUGCAAAAUUUAAUGGAUAUCUUAACAUGUCCUUUGUUGGUAGGAAAGCCAUAGAUGUAACACUUGCUGCUAUUGCUGUUGGAACUGCAAACUGUGGAGGUUUAGCAAAGUUAUCCAUUCAGGGAAAUAACCUUUAUCGUGGUGUGACUGAUGUUGGUCUCAAGGCUAUCGCUCAAGGUUGCCCUACUCUCAAAGAACUUUCCUUAUCGAAUGUGUCAUUUGUUGGUGAUGAAGGCUUGUCUGAGAUUGCUCAUGGUUGUCAUCUAUUAGAGAAGCUUGAUCUUUUCCAAUGCCCAAGAAUUACUAAUAAGUCCUUGUUAGGUAUAGCAAAGAAUUGUCUCAAUCUCAACUCUGUCAACGAAUGAUUGUUCAUAUAUUGAGAAUGAGUCUCUCAAAAUUAUGGGUCAAUAUUGCCUGAACCUUAAGCUUGUUGGAUUAAAAAUGUCCUUGAGUAGGCAAUGCUACCAUUGAUGUAAUACAUAGACUAUGUCACAAAUUAAUUCAUCUAGAGCUGAAUGGGCUUCUUCGUAUAACGUCAGUGUUAAGCUUGUGAUGAUUUGUUCAUGUCCGAGUCUUAUGUAUUUGUCUUUUUAUAAUAGUAAUAUCCAGUGAAUUUAAUUUCAAAAUUUCUAAUUAUAAUAUCUAGCAAUGUCUAAUCUUUGCGACUAAAAAAUCAUUUUUAUUUACUAGAUAAAGAAGAAAACUUAAUUGGUUAUUAUAAAUCUCUUAAUACAAGUAAUAGUACUAUCUAAGAAUGAUAACUUUUUAGCUUGCCUUGUAUGUGACAGUGAAAGUCGGAUCAAAGCACCACAAGUGCUAUGAAGAGAGGUGAUUUACAAUAAAUUAGACCAUCAACGUAAAUUUUGUCAAUUCAUGGUAAAGUUUAUCAAUACAUUUAGCUUAAUUAAAAUAAUGAAAAUUUGUAUAGGUGAUUUCAACUUAUACAAGGAUUGGGUUUUAUUUAGAGUGAGUUAAGUUCUGAACAAAUUUAUUUAUUUAUUUUUUACAGCUAUCAUAUCAUUAAAUUGGUAUCGAAAAAUUAUAUUUUCAAUUAAAAAGGAAUGCGAGGAUAACUAAUUAAUCAACUAUAUAAAUCAUUUGGAUUGGUUGCGCUCUAUUUAGGUCUAUAUAUUAAAUUAAAGAUUCACCUUAAAUUGUUCAUUUUUUAUAGGAUAAAUUUCUUAAAUGAUCACUAGCUUAAUUGAAUAGUAAAAUCACUUAUUUAUUGUCAUAUCAAUAAUAUCACACCAAUAGGAAAACAAUUUCAACACUAAUCUCAACUUAUUCAAUUCCAAAUCAUCUAUUAGUAUUUUUAAGAAACUUAUUUUCCAUAGAAUAUUUUUCUCCGUACCAAAAACAUUUCUCUAAUAUUAUGACUGUUCUUAUAGGCUACUAAAAUAUUUCCAACAAAAAGCAAUUUGCUAUUAGCUAUUCAAUUUGGUCCAAUCAUUUUAAUAUGUCAAUCAAUCUAUUUGGAAAACCUACCAAUUCUAUAGGAGGAAAAAGCCAUAAUUGUGGUUCCUAUUGAAAGGAAUAAUUGUCUUUUUAUUAAGAACGGUGUUCGAUUCAACUUGUGCACACCUAGAUAGCCUGUGGGAACUUGCUACAUCCUACGAGCACAGUCGAGUUGAAAGAAAUCACCUAGGGUGGUGGCUAGCUCUGACAUCAUAGUUUCAACCCAAGGAGAACCACACCCCAAAAAAACACUAUUGAGGUGGGAGAGACCGACCCCGAGGCUAUAUAAACCCCACAUCAACACUUUGCAGUAUCAAUAUGGGACUUGCAAUGGACCAUAACACAAAAGUUCAUACUAGAAAACAGCUCCAAUAAAGUACAUGGUCUUUUUACUUUUUAUAACAGAGAAAUCGCAAAGGUCCAGAGGGGCACGAUUCGAAACUCAGAGGAUAAGGUGACUACACUACACUGACUCGAGGGAGGAAAAGAUUCAUAAUACCUGAACAAAGCUAGAGCAUCAUGUAAUGUAUAUGUAAUUUAUAAAUACACCUUAAUAAACAAGCAACAACCAUUUGGUUCAACAGAACAGUUUCAGCAGCCAGUAUUGUCCCCAGUUUUCUGCAACUGCAAAGUACUCAACUAGUAGAAAAGACAAAAAUUCUUAAGGAUUUCUGGCUACUCAACAUUUAGAUAACAGAGGCAAGCAGUCUGCAUAUUUCUGAUGACCACACUCAGCAAUCUUGAAAGAAGAUAGACCACUACAAAUUCAACCGUGCUGCGCUGACUAUAGACAAAAUGGUGAUGUUUGACCAGUACAAUAUCAAGUGCAUUCAUUUCUCAUCUUAUUCAUACCUUUGCAAUACUUCAGGCAAAGAGCGAAUGAAGAUUGCUCCAUGAGUAUAUAUUCGACUUCAGUGGUUGCUUCUAAUGCUCGAUUGUGACGUGUUCCUGCACCAGAUUAGUCUCUAUUCGAGCUUUAACACCAGUCUCAGUCUGGCUCGGUUCAACAACUGAUACAAUCUCACACUCUUGACCAUCUGCGUCAAAUUCAGUAGCUUGCUUGUGUUGGUUAUUUGAUUGAGAAGAAACUUCACUUGUUUCCUUGGGUAAAGCAUUCAGCAGAGAUGCAGCUUCAGUUGAUUCCUUGGAUGAGCUAGACUUGCGAAUGGAAAGCUUUCUUGUUUCAUUGGAUAAGUUGGUUUUCUCAGAUGGCAGCUUAGGAAGUGACUUCCUUUGAGGCUUCUUAACAAUGAGAGGAGAAUGCCCUUUGACAGGGUUACUUUGGGAUGCAUUUUCGUCCAAGCUUAACCUACCUGGGCGCAUGACACUCUCAUUGAUUCUUUCUUUGGUGGGCGAGCUCUUUCUCCUCCCAAGUUUGGGGGAUUUAGCUCUGGUUGGUGGAAUCUAGCAUCAUAAGAUAGUGACAGAAGGUGUUAAUUAAACACCGGGAUAACUUGUAAAUUUCAAAAUAAACAGGAAGAAUAAACUACUUUAGGAGGGGCUUCAGCUGUACAUAAACAAAACUAGCAAGUAAGAAAGCAAAUAUUAGAAAAUUUCUUUAGAUAAAACGCACAAGAGCAUGACAUACCAGCAUCC
rnacentral:lncRNA from 1 species